rnacentral:lncRNA from 1 species
ACGAUGGAGCUCACUAAGGUCUCGAUGCACCUCACCGUGCUCCACUGCCCCUUGUGCCUCCGCCCCUUGACGCCUCCAGUGUAUGAGGUUCGAAUACACCUCGUCCGUUUGGCUGAUUGAGCAAGGUGCAGGUUUCUUGAUUGAUGUGAUGUUCGAUUGAUUUAUGCAGUGCAAGGGAGGGCACCUGGCCUGCAAGAUUGCCGCAUCGAGCGCCCCGGGAACCAGCGGCAGUGCCAGAAGUGCGAGCGCGGCGGUGGCUUCAACGUGCGGAACACGACGGUGGAUGUCGUCAUUUCGUCGCUGAGGGUGGAGUGCCCGCACGAAGGAUGUGGGCUCUACGUCACUUACCACAAGCUCGCAGAUCACUAGAGCGUGUGUCCGCUCGCGCCCUGCAAAUGUCCCAUGCCCAUGUGCGGCUACGAAGGCCCGCCGCCGGCGCUCUACCACCACAUCAGCAACGCGCAUCCCAUGUCCGUGCACAGGAUCCAGUACGGCAAGGUGUUCCAGCUACAAGUGCCACUGUCGGAACCACGGCUCUUGCUGUUCGUGGAGGAGGACGGCCGCGCAUUUUACUUGGUGGGCGGCGUGCUCGACAUAUUGCCAUGUCGGUCGUCUGCAUCAGAGCAGGGGCAUCCCCACUGCCGCACUACAUGGCCAAGAUGUCGCCGGGGGAGCCCAAAGUCAUGACCGACGCCGUCAAGGUGGAAAUGGAGGUGACAAGCAGCAAGGAUCCCGGCGACGUCGACGUGCAGGAGCUGACCUUCUUCACAGUUCCGCCCAAGCUGCCGGCCGGGGCUAAGCUAGUGUCCCUCCACAUUCAGAUUGACAAGCUCACGUCCUAAAGGUUUCUACAGUGCCUUCUGUUUAUCUUAGUAAUAUGCUAAUAUAGGGAUUACCUCGGUCUACUUUAGCUUAAGAAAUGGUGGGUUUUGGUGGCGAUGCAGCAAUUACUUCGACAUCAGAUCAGUAAUUUCCAACAAUCGAACGGAUAUUUUGUGUCUGUUGGAUAUAAAGUUCCUUUGGGUAAGAAGUAUUAGAUAAAAGGAGAUGUAUGUAGACGUAUUUUAGUUCUAGAUACGUCCCUUUUUAUCCAUUUUGAUGACAAGCACUCCGUCCGUUCCACAAUACAUGCCUUCCAUUUGUCAAAAUAUAGAUAUAUCUAGACAUGUUUUAGUAUAUAGGUACAUCCAUGAUAGAGCCAGUCAGAUGGUUGAGAACACUACAAUUCGUAGCUACAGAUGCGUGUGUGACUCCCAGAUGCAGAGGCCGGGGGUCAUCAUCCUCCUUUUUGAGAAAAAAUAGACGCGUGUGUGAGAGGAAGAGUGCGUGCGUGCACCUCUUCUCUUCCUGUAUAACAUACUAAACUCAUAGUACAAGUUUUUGUGGGUGGCACGAUGGUGCGUGCGAGAAGUCCCGAGAGAUAGGUUUAAUGCGUCUAAAAAAAGACUAGCCUAUAGCUCGCCAGGCAGCUAUUCCUGUCGAACGCCCCAUUAACCGUAAGAUAUGUAUACAACAGUGCCAGUUAUUGCACGUACACAAUAGUAGAAAAAGAACUACUACACCACGGCCAAGAACACGUGCCCACAUAACGCCAUCCGGGAAUAGUGCCGCACUUCGAAACUAGAACCGUCAAUAAAUUUUGAGCUUGCGUCUCCUCACAUUCCAAAUUACUCCAAGCUAUAUGGAAUUGCAAACUUGUUCACAACGAUCACAACCUAAACGGUUUCCCACUUAGGAGCGUAUUAGUACUCGGUUAUAAAUACUAGUAUGCCAAGAUGACUGCAAUUCCUCCUCAACUCCUCAUCCACAAAAACAAACAAGUCAUUCAACAUCCUUCCCUUGCGUCUGCCAUGGCCAGCGUGAGUUCUGGGUCGAGAGAUUGCCCCCAGAGAGAGGCGAGUAUGGAUGCGUAAGCACGAGAGAUGUCCCGCCUCGCUGCAAAAGCAGCCGACAUGUCCCGCCGCAUGGAAGUAGCAGCACAGAGGUCCCGCCGCGCCAUCGAUGCAGCAAACCGGUCCGGCCGCGCCACGGAAGAAGCAGAGAUGUCUCGCCGCGCCGUGAAUGCAGCAGAGAUGUCCCGCCGCGCCGCGGCAGCCUGGGAAAAUUUCUCGCGGGCAGGCGACGACUGUUACAGGCGCAUGCAUGCGAUCGUCCAUAGCCAGAUGGAUCAGAUCUCCGGCUAGGCGAGGUUGCAGGACGACAUGAAAGCCUCAUUUGAACAGGCUACCGGCGUCAUUCGACAACUAAGGGAGGGCAAUGAGAGGCUCCGGGGCAAGCGCGACCUGCUGAGUGCGAAGAUCGUUCGAAGUGCAGACCAGCAGGAGGAGACCAGUGCCUUGUUGAAGAGGACCGGCAUCAUCGUCAAGAAACUUAUGGAUGAGAAUGACAUGCUCCGCAUCGAGCGCCAAAGGCUGGUGGAGGAAUCCGUGGAUGUUCUCAAGCAGCGUCUUGAGGACACGAAAGAGCUCAUCGCCGCUCGCCGCGGAGACUAGUUCUCGCGGCCUGCGGCAACGCAUCAAGAAAGUAGAUAUCAGCAAGCCAGAUCCUUGUCGUCCUUCUUCUUUUGCCCUCGUGUAUUUCAGGCAUAGCCACAUGUGGCUUUUUUAAUUAUCUUUCUAAUUAUGUAAGACAAUUAAUCGUCCUUAUAUAUUCUUCAGUAUUUCUAUAAGUCGCAGUAGAUGCUAUAUAGGUCCGUUGGAUCUUACAUCAAGAUCCGUGCUUUCUGAUUUUCUUUUUUCUCUCUUAAAUCUCAGUCGAGUGAGACAUAGCCACGCCAUUAAACAGAGGCUCGGGCGCCAAUAAUGGAGACCUUGGGAGAGAGGUAGACGGCAGAUGGAGGUCAAAGGGCUCUCCUCCCAAUAAGCACGCGCAGGGGUCUGAUCGACGCCUCUUGUACUCAAAUAGCUACCCUGCACGGCGCCUCCUAGCUAAUAAAAAAUGGGGACGCAUGGCGGCACGUAAAUGGUAGUAAAUAGAACGCCCACGGUUUCAAUAAUACUUGUGUUUCCGAUAGUAACAUGACAACACUUGUUCCAAAAUGACUUUGUUGAUUGUUAAUGUGUGCGCCUUCGCAAAUCGAACAUGGCAGCAAGCCAAGUUUCAUUAUUUUCAUGCGUGUUUUGGAAUUCAGGAAUUAAAAAACUAAGUUUCUCAAUGUUUCCAGCCCAGCCACGACGCCCAGAAUUUGAAUUUCAUUCCCAUUUCUUGCAUGGAACCUAGAAAUUUACCCGAGGACACACAUGUGAUUUUUCAACCAACUUUGGUGCACUGGAACAUGUGCUUGUAUUUCAAAUUUCAAUUAUGCACACAAAGGUGACACGUUCCCUCUCAGAACCACGAGCCUUCUUGAGAGAAGCUCUGAUUUGCAAGAAGAUUAUACCCAAAUUUGUUCCUAUUCGGCCAAAUGUUUUUACCACGGAAUGGUACUACCAUGACAUGACACCAUGCCAAGUAUCAUGAUUUUAAAACCAAGUUUCUUAAUGUUCUCGACCGAGCCAUGAUGCCCAGUUGUUUGAAUUUUAUUCUCAUUUUUUGCAUGGGACCUAGAAAUUCACCCGAGGACACAAAUGUGAUUUUUCAACCAACUUUGGUGCACGGGAGCAUGUGCUUGUAGUUCAAAUUUGAAUUAUGCACAUUAAAUGACCAAAAACUCAAGUAAUGUGUAAAAAGGCCAAACGAAGCCAGAAUGAUUCCAAAAUUUAAUAGGGCACUCAUGUAGUUCUAUGUUACCUUUGUAAUUAAACUCAAGGGGGACAGUGUAUAUCGUUUCACACUCAAAGGUGGCACGUUCCCUCUCAGAACCACGAGCCUUCUUGAGAGAAGCUUCAGUUUACAAGAAGCUUAUACCAAAAUCUGUUCCUAUUCGACCAAUUCUUUUACCACAGCAUGGUAGUACCAUGACAUGACACCCAUGCCAAGUUUCAUGAUUUUCAGACGUGUUUUGGAUUUACAAGAAUUUUAAAUCCAAGUUUCUCAAUGUUCUCGGCCGAGCCACGAUGCCCAGAUGUUUGAAUUUUAUUCUCAUUUCUUGCAUGGGACCUAGAAAUUCACCCGAGGACACAAAUGUGAGUUUUCAACCAACUUUGGUGCACGGGAGCAUGUGCUUGUAGUUCAAAUUUGACUUAUGCACAUUAAAUGACCAGAAACUCAAUUAAUGUAUAAAAAUGACAAAUGAACCCGGAAUAAUUCCAAAAUUUAACAGGGCACUCAUGUAGUUCUAUGUUGCCUUUGUUAAGAAACUCAAGGGUGGGGGCAGCGUAUAUUGUUUCACACUCAAAGGUGGCACGUUCCCUCUUAGAACCACAAGCUUCCAAAUCAGCACAAUUUUUUACCACAACAUGUUAGUGCCAUGACAUGACACCAUGCCAAGUUUCAUGAUUUCUAGACAAGUUUUGGAUUUACAUUAAUUUAAAAUCUAAGUUUCUCGAUGUUCUUGGCCGAGUCACGACGUGAUGUUUGAAUUUCAUUCUCAUUUCUUCCAUGGGACCUAGAAAUUCAACCAAGGACACACAUGUGAUUUUUCAACCAACUUUGGUGCACCAGAGCAUGUGCAUGCAGUUCAUAUUUAGAUUAUGCACUUUAAAAGUCCAGAAACUCAAUUAAUGUAUAAAAAGGCCAAACGAACCCAAAAUAAUUCCAAAAUUUAACAGGGCGCUCAUAUAGUUCUAUGUUGCCUCUGAAAAGAAAAUCACGGGGGAGGCAUCAUAUAUCAUUUCACACACAAAGGUGACACGUUCCAUCUCGGAACCACGAGGCUUGUUGAGAGAAUCUCUGGUUUUGCAAGAAGCUUAUACCAAAACUUGUCCCAAUUCAGCCAAAAAUUAUACAUAUGAAAACAGGGUUUAGAUUAUCCCGAACAUCUCGCUACCUAGACCAAUAAUGUACUAUGAUUUAAAUUCAACAUAAAAUGGAUACAAAUAUUUGAAUUGGAGAGCAUAUGGUACAUGUAGUUCAUAGUGAAAUAUGAUUACUACUAUAUGCAUGCUUUUUGUUAUCAAGAUAAUAUUUAAAUUAUUGUAUAACUUGACAACAAUCGUAUUCAAAUAAGGAAAAUUGAUUCAAAUUUAGUCCAUAUGGUAGACGACAAUAUAUAUGUUCACAUGGUGGAGUAAAAUGUUCAUAUAUGAUGGAAGAUCAAAAUGUACGACUACAUCAAUUAUAAACCGCGAGGUCACCUAACGAUAUAUUCGAAUUCAACAUAACGUGGAUUAAAAAAAUUGAAAUUCGAGAUCUUGGCAUUUGUAAUCAUAUAAAAAGGGACAUUACUCUUUCUUUUGGUGGGAAUUGAUUUGUUUUUUGUUGUUGUUGAGGGAAGUGCGAAUCGAUUUGGUACUGUGCAGGGUAACCUUGUUCUCCCGAAUUUUUUUACAUUUUUCUUGUAGUUUUUUCAAUGGCAUCUAUAGCAAUAUAGUAAAAGGCGACAUGACUCUCUUGUGUCUUGUAUGAAUUGUUUUUUUUUGCACGUUAAGUUUGUUCUGCUGAACAAGGAAUCCGCACCUGGUUAUCCCGAAAUUUUCAAGCUCAAGUAUCUUUUGUCUCACCUGCUUUGAAACUCCUGCCUCUUCAACCCACGCCGCGCCUUGUUAUCCCGAAAUUUUGACGCGCACGAAAACUCCCUCCUCAUCCGAAAUCGGUCCCGCAGCCCAGACAUGGGAAAUCCCCCUUCUACCCCUCAGCCGGAAAUGAAGCUCCAGGUCGCAGUGUCAAAACUGGUGGGGGUACACUGGUAACUUACCCUACAUUUCGGACAAGCGNNNNNNNNNNNNNNNNNNNNNNNNNNNNNNNNNNNNNNNNNNNNNNNNNNNNNNNNNNNNNNNNNNNNNNNNNNNNNNNNNNNNNNNNNNNNNNNNNNNNNNNNNNNNNNNNNNNNNNNNNNNNNNNNNNNNNNNNNNNNNNNNNNNNNNNNNNNNNNNNNNNNNNNNNNNNNNNNNNNNNNNNNNNNNNNNNNNNNNNNNNNNNNNNNNNNNNNNNNNNNNNNNNNNNNNNNNNNNNNNNNNNNNNNNNNNNNNNNNNNNNNNNNNNNNNNNNNNNNNNNNNNNNNNNNNNNNNNNNNNNNNNNNNNNNNNNNNNNNNNNNNNNNNNNNNNNNNNNNNNNNNNNNNNNNNNNNNNNNNNNNNNNNNNNNNNNNNNNNNNNNNNNNNNNNNNNNNNNNNCUCUUCCCCGACUACGUCGUCCACCGCAACAGCUCACCUUCCCUCAUCCACCGCACCGAAUGAGGAUCCAUCGUCGAUCUCGUCGUCCCGCCGGAUUAGCCGCCCCGUCCUCCACCUCCAAGGAGCUGCCCCGACGUUCGCCUCGUCUAUCGCGCCACCUCAAUCCCCAUAGUGCCGUCUUGACCUGCCCCACCGGAACCGCAGCACCCUCACCAAUUCCUUCGAUGAAGUCGAGGCCAACUCGGCGCCACCGAGGAGGUUCUGCACUCACCGCUGCAUUUUAUCUUUUAUUCGAUCUCACGGGGUUUCCGGUGCUCGAUACCAAGCAGACAUGGCGGGUCUCCAUCGAUGGCGCCGUCGCCGGCCACAUCAUCCACGGCGUCUCUCCCCCAUGUCGUUGCUUCCUCAGCAGCGACUUCCACAACGGCACUAUGGGGAGGCCAUUGCGGCUCUAUUCUUGCUGUCGGUCGUGCUGCUGCAGUGCUCUUGCUUUCGUUCAUGCUGCUGCUCUGCUCUUGCUCUCGCUUGCGCUGCUACUGCUACUACACGACCUCCGGUAGCUACAGGAGUUGCUGCUUUAGCACUCACUCGCGGUGCUACUGCACGACUUGCUCUCUACUAGUGUGUUCCCUGCUCGAGCGUCUGCUGAUUUAGAUUGCUGCUUCUCUGCUACUAGUGCUUGAACUCCCUAAACAUCUAUUGCAAUGCUCUGCUACUAGUUCAAUCAGUUUCGACAUUAAAAUAUAGUUUUGACUGUAAAGUUCAUUUUCUUCAGUUAAGUUCAGAGUGAACUGUCGCGACAGAUGCGUUCUACAUCUAGCACUUUUUGGUGAUGUAUUUUAGAUGAUCUAUCACAGAUGAUAUUAGGGUCCCACUUCAGAUUAACGUUGUCUGUCUUGUCCUGUUUCAGCCUCGUCGCCGUACACCUCACCGGGGCUGCUCCAACAACGGAACUGUCCAUCACAGCAGAGCAGUACCCUCGGCGCCGUUUCCAGAGGCCUCGGAUCUUCUUCCCCACCUCCGACAGUCACACCAGCAUCACCAUCCUCCACGUCCAACCCAAUGAUGGUGAGGUCCACAAGGCCAUGCCAAAGAAGUUGUACACUCGUCGCAUCACUUUGUUACUCUACAUUCAUGUCGAUCCCUCAGGGAUCCUUUGCUAUGGAACUACUAUUUGUGCAAAUCUGUUAGAAGGAGUGGAGCAAAGCAAAACUGGAGGAUUUUUUUUCCUUUGGUGUCUCUUUCGAAGAAAAAACGUUGGAAUUUUAUUCACUUGGAUGUCCUUUUCAAAUUAAUAUGCAUGAAGAACAGAACUAAUUGCAUUACUGGCAUAAUAAGAUGCUUAUUUUUUCAUUUUCACAUGGUUUGACUUUAAUUUGACCACGUUUCUCCAUUCCUGUCUUCUUCCAAUUCAUGUGAACCAAACACCUAGGUUGACUAAAAUCCUAUGUUUCCAAAUGCUCUGUUUUGCACGUGCAUUCCUAUCCUAUUCCUGUGUUUUUCCUGUCCCUGCGUUUACAGAAUCCUCCAAUUCUAAGGAGCCCUUACAGAUUUACUUCAUUCUCAGAUAGGCGUCAAAGAAAACUCUGUUUGUUAUGUCCUGCUCCUACCGUGCCGUCAUCCACCCCACCUGAGGUGCACCAUCGACAAAAGCGUUCACAACAGCAGAGAUCCCCCCUGCAGACUUUCUUUCGAUGCCUUAGAUCAUCUUACCCGUUGCCGGCAGCCACGCCAACUGCAUUACCAUCAUCGACUGAGCAGAUGAACCUGAGGACUACACAGUUCUGGAAGAGAGGUCGCAGUCUUUCGUGUUUGCUUACGUUAUACAUCGGUUAUUAUUACCUGCUACUUUAUCAUUCAAACUUGAGUUUUGAAAUGCCCAUGGGUCUCAUAUCGAGCCAGCAACAAAUAGUAUAUGUCUACUAUCUGGUUCAUCUGGGUCUUCUAUGUGGUUCAUGUUGGGUGGGCAACAAACAAUAGAUGAUCCACUGUCUAUCUUUUUAAACUGAAGCUAUAAUCUACCUGCUAUCAUUAGUUUUGAAUCCAUCCACUCAUUUGCUACCAUCAGUCUUGAUUUUUGCAUGCACCCCUUAGGUCUUACAAAGUCUAACUAUUUUCUUAUUAUGCAUGUCAGAUAUUGUACACAAUCAUACUGAACAUGUAGAGAAAAAGAGAGGACCAUUGCGUGGGUAUAUAAUGUCAUGCAGACGCCGCUCCAUGGUGGGCGAAGUGCCCCCCCCCCUCCCGCAUUUCCAGAUUGUAUUCCAGAGGAAGAUAACUAUUUAGAUGGGGAUUCAGAAGGAGGCGACCACGCCUGUUUACCACCUGAGGUGUUUGCUCUAACUUGGCAUGCUGAUGUUGGUCAUAUCAUGCAUAUGGCGCCUUGCAUUGCUUACAUUAUACAUCUUAUAUGUCAUCAGCUUAGUUUAUAUUUGCUUUGUGUGAAUGCCACCUGUUUGGUUUCUAUAUCAUACUCCCACCAUUUCUAAAUAUUUGUCUUUUUAGAGAUUUCAACAAGUGACUACAUACGGAACAAAAUGAGUGAAUCUACACUCUAAAAUAUGUCUAUAUACAUCCGUAUGUGCUAGUCCAUUUGAAAUCUCUAAAAAGACAAAUAUUUAGGAAUGGAGGGAAUUAUGCAAUGCAUCUUCUUUAGCCAGGCAUCAUAUACGUGAAUCAUGCAAUGCCAUCCUGUUUAGCCAGUCAUCGUAUAUGUGAAUUGUAUCGUGCCAUAUUUUUUCCAUAAUGUAUUCCAUUUGUCAACAAUGUUUAUAGAUUCAUCUACUCUUUCUGUGCAUCAGCCAUUUGAGUCGGUCAUGGGAACAUCUGGGGUGAAAACAAUGUCUUCUGAGCAGUCAGUGCUACCUGUCGAUGCAGAUUUGUUGCUGGUUACAGAUAGCUCCUCAGAGGAGGAUUCAGAGACAGAUGGCGAGUCGUAUCCCCCCCCCCCGAGGUGCAUGCUCUAACUUGGCUGGGUUAUAUUGCUCAUAUCAUGCAUAUGGUGUCUUGCAUUGCCAUGCCAUCUGCUUAGAUUAGACAUGCUUUGUGUGAAUGCCUCCUGUUUGCUUUCUAUAUCACAUAUGUGAAUUAUGCAGUUCCAUGUUUUUCAGCCAGUUAUCAUAUAUGCGAAUUAUGCACCGUCAUGUAGCCAGGCAUCAUAUAUGUGAAUUAUCUCAUGCCAUCUUUUUUUCAUUACAUAUUCCAUUGUCGACAAUCUGUGUAUAUUGAACUACUAUUCAUGUGUAUCAGCCAUUUGAGCCGGUUAUGGAAAAAUCUGGAGUGAAAACAAGGUCUUCAGAGCAGGCAAUGGUACCCGUUGAAGAAUAUAUCUCGAUGGUUACAGGGAGCUCCUCAGAGGAGGAUUCAAAGACAGAUGACCAGUCCUAUAUCCCGCCUGAGGUGUAUGCUCUAAGUUGCAAUGUUUUAUAUUUCUCAUAUGAUGCAUAUGGUGUCUUGCAUUGCUUAGUUUAGACAUCAUAUGCACAAUAUUGAAUUCCAUCUGCUUAAUUUAGAGAUCAUACAUGCGAGUGCCGGCUGCUUAGUAUAUGAAUCAAUUAUGUCAAUUAUAUCAUGCCAUCCUGUAUACUUAGACAACGUGUAUGUGCAUUAUUUCAUCCCAACCUAUUUUAGAAAGACACCAUAUAGUUUUGCCAUGUCAUCCUGUUUAGGUACUCAUCAUAUAUAUGUUGAAUUAUGCCAUUAUAUCCUGUUAAGUUAUCCAUCAUAUAUCUGAAACUGUGUCAUGCUAUCCUGUUUAGUUAGGCAUCAUAUCUGUGAAAUUGUGUCAUGCUGUCCUGUUUGGUUAGACACCAUAUAUGUUAAUUACCACAUCUGUCUAUCAUACAAUGUCUGUAUGUUCAGUUUGUUUUCUUGUUUAUCAGCCAUUUGAAUUGGAGGGGGUGAUGGCAGUAUCUAAGGGAGCAAAAACCCGUUCUUCACAAAAGACAGUGCUACCCGUCGAUGCAGAUAGAACCAUGGUUGUACUGGCCCACAAACUAGCCCCACCACACAUAAUCGAUACUCUUCCAGAUUGCACACUUACAUCGGUGGGCAGAGAACCAGCUACAACCCAUCUAACCGCAACCCCAGCGGAUAGUAACCCACUUAUAGUUGACAAAGCACCAUGUCCACCAUAGAGUACCCCCACAUGAGCAGUUUGUAAAGCUACUGCAGUGCCCAAAGCACGAAGACCACCACAGCUAACCCAAACUCCACGUUUAAAGCAGAAGAGGAACUGUUCUCAGGUCAGAUUCCGUAGCUAUGGUCCAUACUCCUUUGCUAUUGCAUCACUGUAUUUACUCAUACCAACUACUUUCGAAUUUGAAGGAUCCAAUUGAAACUCCAAUGGCGCAAUAGGUAUAUUUUAAACCUAUUUCUUUAACUGGAUUGCGGUUCUAACUUCUUGCUCUAUGUUGAUUUCAGUUUAAGUUGUAUAAACAGUUAUGUUCUCAUGUGAUGUACAUUACAAGUGCUGCCAAUGUUGUGUAGUUUCUCACACUUAUAUUCUACCUAUGAUGUUGUGUCUUAAAAAUAUAUGAGUUGAACUGUGUCUCUAUCUUGAUUAGGCAACAUAAACUAGAAUGAUAUGGACAAUAAAGUGACCAUAGUACAUAGAUAUAUGUUUGUUUCAUGCCGUUAUCCUGUCCACCUUACUACUGAACCAGUUUACCAAAAUGAGUUUCAUAUACUACAAGCUAAACCUGUGAUGUGUCUGUUUGUUUCUCUUGUAGUAUGCAAACAGAAUAUUCGAGAAGAGCACCCCACUAUGCAAUGGUAGAGAAAGUAAUGCGGAUAAGGUUCAAGAUAGUGAGACAACCCUGUUGAUCUCCAAGAAAGGUGAUAAAAGCGAUCUUGUAGACAGUGAGAAAACCCCACAGUCCUGCGUUGAUGUAGUGUUCGAGUUACUGGCCAGUACCGCUGGCAUGAGCUCUUCGAACUCGCUGCCUGAAUCACUUCGGCUUCUUCAGUCUCAACUACAAGCUGAAAGGCAUCAGUCAGCUGUGCUGCGGCAAGAAGCCGAAGGACUGAGGAAGUCCCUGCAGAAUUCAGAUGUGUACUUUCUUGUGCAAUAGCAAGCGCUGGAGGAUUUAAGCGCCAAACAAGAGAAAGUUAAUAAGCUUGCUAAGCAUCUUUCCAGCAUUAUGGGUACCCAGGAUAUUGUUUCUUGAGCUCUUCUGAAGUGGUUUCAGUUCUGGACUUGUUUUGCUACGGCGUUUAUAUGUUGCUUUGUUCCCUAUAUUUGCACUAGUGGCGAACUUUGAUGCCCAGUGGAUGUAAUAUGUGUAAUAGCCGUGAUAGCCUAGCAUAAGUUGCUUGCUUAUUUAUUUCCUUGUUGUCUUGUUUAUUUGUUUGCUUGUAGUUAGUGCAGUUCUUUUUCCGUGGUUUUCUAGUGGCCGCAAUAACCUAUUUUUUAAAACUAGGCCACAAUAACCAUGGGCUACAUAUUUACUGUAGUGGCACUGGGCCUCCUACCAGCCGUAGAAACAAUGGGCCUUCUAUGGGCCGUAGAAACAAUGGGCCUUCUAUGGGCUGUAGACACAAUGGGCUUUCUACGGGUCAUAUCAUCAAUGGGCCUUAUAUGGGCCGGACGAUCGAUCGGCCAAACAUGGGCCAAUAACAGACCGCAUUAUGGCCGUAAACGGGCUAGAGUUGGAAUCGUCUAUUCAUGGGCCGACCAUAAUGGGCCAUCGUUAAUAGGCCGUAUUUGAUGACGCUAUGAAAAUGGCCCAACGUAUUAACGGGCCACAAACGGGCCGACUGUAACAACGGGCUGAAUAUGGCCCACAAGUAGAAAAUGACAGUAACGGGCCAUAAGUAACUGAAUGCUGGAAAUGAGCCCAAGAAUAAAUGGGGCCUGAGAAGGCCGAAAGAUAACAUGGGUUGGAAACGGCCCAAUGGAAUAAUGGGUCGUUAAUGGGUAUAAAGUGAUACACUAUUCAUUACAGGCCAGUUUCACCACGGGCCAUUAAUGGGUAUAAAGUGAUACACUAUUCAUUGCGGGCCAGUUUCACCACGGGCCGUUAAUGGGCCAAGAAUUACAAAGUGCCUCAUAUGGGCUGAAAUACGUCAUGGGCCAUACAUGGGCCAGAAGUGAAAACAGGCUGGAAUCAUAUUGGAUGGCCCAGAUGACGCUACUGGGCCUAAUUCGGAUAGGGCGUAAUGGGCCUUGGGUUAGCAGACUGUAAAUGGGCUAUAUGCGAACAUGCUGUUAACAAGCUUUCCAUGGGCCGGCCCGCCACCUUUUGACCAAGUCAAACGGGCCGGCCAUUUAACAGGAAUGGGCCUCUGUUGGGCCGUGCACGUGUCGACGUAUUAUAAGCGCCUUCUGUCCAAUGAGUGGAUGACAUCUGUCCCAACGAUGAGCCGACAUGUCUUUCCUCCAGCCAAUGAUGAUUUUACACGUGGAAAAUCCCCAUUGGUCCGGGAUGUUAACGGGUUAUUGGAUCCAAAACCCGACCCGGUAGCUUAACCGCGUUCCGUUACGGUGGAUGCCACGUGUCAGUCACCCUUGACGAGAGCACUUCUGUGACGCGCGAUUUAUCAUCAUGGAAGUGGACACUUCCGUGAUGAUAAUUUUGGUAAUGUCAUGGAACACUUCUACGACAACACAUGUAUGACUAUCUUGAUUCUGUCAUAAAAUCGUCAUGGAUGUACAUGCAUGACAAAAAACGCGACCUACUAUGACAAACACGUAUCAUCACGGAAGAGUUUUUUUUGUAGUGGAUGCUGACUACUGGAAGGAAGUAGUUCAUAGCGAGAUGGAUUCCAUCUUGGCGAAUGAAACUUGGGAGAUAACUGAUCGUCCUUGUGGGUGCAAACCUAUAGGAUGCAAAUGGGUAUUCAAGAAGAAGCUUAGGCCUAAUGGUACUAUUGAAAAGUACAAGGCUCGGCUCGUGGCUAAGGGUUAUACCCAAAAGGAAGGUGAAGACUUCUUUGAUACUUACUCACCUAUGGCUCGAUUGACCACUAUUCGAGUUCUACUUUCAGUAGCUGCCUCACAUGGUCUUCUCGUUCAUAAAAUGGAUGUUAAGACUUCUUUCCUAAAUGGAGAGUUGGACGAGGAAAUUUAUAUGGAACAACCAGAUGGGUUUGUAAUAGAUGGUCAGGAAGGGAAAGUGUGCAAGUUGUUGAAUUCUUUGUAUGGACUCAAGCAAGCACCCAAACAGUGGCAUGAGAAGUUUGAAAGAACUUUAACAGCUUCAGGCUUUGUUGUGAACGAAGUUGACAAAUGUGUGUACUAUCGCCAUGGUGGGGGCGAGGGAGUUAUCCUUUGCUUGUAUGUUGAUGACAUACUGAUUUUCGGAACUAAUCUGAAUGUUAUUAAGGAGAUCAAGGAUUUCCUAUCUCGCUGUUUUGAGAUGAAGGAUUUAGGAGUGGCUGAUGUCAUUCUGAACAUCAAGUUGUUGAGGGACGAUGAUGGUGGGAUUACAUUGCUUCAAUCUCACUAUGUGGAAAAGAUCUUGAGUUGCUUUGUCUACAAUGACUGCAAGCCCUCUCCAACACCAUAUGAUGCUAGUGUGUUGCUUUGAAAGAAUCAAAGAAUUGCUAGAGACCAAUUGAAAUAUUCUCAGAUUAUUGGCUCGCUCAUGUACUUAGCUAGUGCUACAAGACCUGACAUCUCUUUUGCUGUUAGCAAACUGAGUCGGUUUGUCUCAAAACCAGGAGAUGUGCAUUGGAAAGCUCUAGAGAGAGUUUUGCGUUAUUUGAAAGGCACUGCAAAUUAUGGAUUUCACUACACUGGGCACCCAAAGGUGCUUGAAGGGUAUAGUGACUCAAACUGAAUCUCAGAUGCUGAUGAGAUAAAGGCCACGAGCGGAUAUGUAUUCACUCAUGGAGGUGGCGCUGUUUCUUGGAAGUCUUGCAAGCAGACCAUCUUAACGAGGUCAACAAUGGAAGCAGAACUCACAACACUAGAUACAGCUACAAUCAAAGCAGAUUGGCUUCACCGGCUCUUGAAUGACUUGCACGUUGUUGAGAAACCUGUACCGGGUAUCCUUAUGAACUGCGACAAUCAAACUGUGAUCAUGAAAGUGAAGAGCUCAAAGUAUAACAUGAAGUCAUCAAGACACGUUCAGAGAAGGUUAAAGUCUGACAGAAAAAUGAGAAACUCCGGAGUUAUUGCAUUGGAUUAUAUCAAGACACGUUCAGAGAAGGUUAAAGUCUGGCAGAUCCUUUUACUAAGGGUCUAUCACGUAAUGUGAUAGAUAAUGCAUCGAGGGAGAUGGGUAUGAGACCCACAAUAUGAGUUGUUCAUAGUGGUAACCUAUUCUUUGUGAUCGGAGAUCUCGUGAAUUAGAUGUGGAAGACAAGUUGUUGGUCAACUAGGAGGAGAGUACCCUUACUGUUAAAAAAUACCACUCCAUGAAGAUGCAAUACUCUCCUAAUCUGCAUGCCAGGUUGAUGUAUAUCUUAAUGUGUUCUAAGUGGCUCUUUGAAGCAGAGAUGUUGUCCUGCAGAACAUCUUUUGAAGAAUGCACCUAUAUGAGUCUGAUUGUUAAAUGUCGCAAUCUAUGAGAGUAGGGUUUUCUCUAGUAAACUCAUGAAAGGUCUCGGAGUAUGACGCAUAAGCUCCACCCGCGGGGAAGACCCACGGUAGGCACGUAUCGGUCAAGGCUUUAUGUGAAGCUAGAUUCGCAGAAAACUUGCAGUUCAAGGCCCAGUCCACUGUUCAAGUUGCUUACUAGUGUAGCAUAGAGUUCUAGGUGGAAUUUCAACUUAACAGUCUCCACUGCAGUACCGGUAUAUAAAACAGUGUUUUGGAACGAAAGGCAAAUUUUGUGUGCCUCUGGGAUCUGGUGGGGGAUUGCUGGAAUUUUUGUCAAUUUGGGCCUACCCCAAUAGCAGUUUCAGAAAUUCCUAAUAAAUCCUAGAGGCCCACGCAACCCAUUCGUGCAAGGCAAGAGGUGGAACUAAAGUUUAGUCCCACAUUGCUUGUUUAGAGGGAGUUGGACCUCUUUAUAAGGGAGGUUCUUUCCCCACUUGUAUAAGCACGAGAACAAGAGGGACAUCCACGCGCGCUCCUCCUCUGCCGCCGCCUUGCCAUGCCACGCCUUGUCAUGACGCGCCGCGGGUUACGGGAAUGAGCCAAGCCGAUGUCUAAAUUUUUGCCACGCACUACGCGCAUACGAAAGGUCGCUCGAAAGCUGAAAUGUUUUUCUGUACUGGACACUGAAUUCAAACGGCGCGCCUCUUCGGCUGCUGCAUGCUCGUUUCGUCUCCCGCGUUCCCUUCAGCUCCCGGCGCAGCCUCUCGCCUCCUUCUCUUGCGCCUAUAAAAGGGAGAGAGAUGCACCAGAACUACUUCCUCCUCUCGCCACCGGUUCCUGAGCACUGUGCUGCUGCUAUGAUCUUCCCCAUCCCGGCUUGCGGCGUGCACCGCAGGUCGGGACAGUAGGCCUCCGAAACUGCACCUUUUGAGUCCUGUGCAGGAGAAGGGUGAUAAGGUUUUUGGGGAGCACUCUGCGCGACUACUGACUCCACUCCUUCAUCACGGACUCCAAUGACUACUUCCUCGACGAUGACUUCUUCCCCGACGUCGACAACCUCCUCGACGACAUGGCUGGCGAGGACACCGACCCCAAGUCCAGUGCUACCGCUACUGCUGGUGUCUCGUACGUGUUAUUAAUCUUUCUGUUAGAGGUCUUGUCACAGUUCCUUGUUCUACUGUUUGCCCUACAUAUGUUAGGCUGUACUUCAUAUAUGCUGCUUGCCCUAGAUAUGUUUGCCUACAAUUCAUAUGUGAAGGUGAUAUUUACCUUCUCUUUGUUAGAUUGCAUGACUUGCUUUAUCUCUGCUAUUUUAGUCAUGCUUUAUUCAGUAUUUCCGUUAAUAAAAUCAUAUGGUAAAUUGCUCAUAUUUCCAACAAUCCAAAAACCUUAUGAUAGGCAAUUUACCCAAGUGGUUUUGCUGCUUCCAUGAGACCUCCUAUGUUUGAGGGUAUCCACUAUAAGAGGUGGUGCGUGAGGCAGUCUUAUGGUUUCAAACCAUGAGUUGCUAUGAUGCCACUCUUGGCAAACCUGAAGGAGAGCAAGAUCCACAACAGGCACAAGCUUUUCAGAAAAUGGAUACCUUGUUUAAGGCUGCUCUCUUGAGUGUUCUUGGUGAGAACAUAGUGGAUGCUUAUGCAUCAAUUUGAUAAUGAAAAGAUAUGUGGGACGCACUCGAGCCCAACUUUGGGGUCUUGGAUGCUGGCACUGAGCUGUACAUCAUGGAGCAAUUCUAUGAUUACAGGAUGACUGAAGAGCACUCCGUGGUUGAGCAAGCUCAUGAGAUACAAUCAUUUGCUAGAGAACUUGAGCACUUCAAUUGUAUCCUACCAGACAAGUUUAUUGCCGGAGGUAUCAUCACUAAGCUUCCUCCCACGUGGAGGAACUUUGCUACCUUACUGAAUCAUAGCUGGCCGGAGUUUUCCGUUCCGGAUCUCAUUGGUACUCUUGAUGUGGAGGAAAAGGCGAGAGCAAAGGACAACCGUGCUCGAGGUAUUGAGGGAGGUUCUAGUGCCAAUCUGGUAAAGAAGAAGAAUUUCCAGCCCCACAACUUCAAGAACAAGGGCAAGUUUGAUGGUAAAGCAAAGUUUGAUGGGAAGAACAAGGUUGUGCAGCACAUGAACUUCAAGAAGAAGAAUGACAAGAAGAAAGACGUUUGUCAUGUGUGUGGGGAUCCUGAUCAUUGGGCUCCUAGUUGCCCUAAUUGCUAUGACAAGCGUCAUCCUGGGAAAGGCGGCAAAACCUCUAAUGUUUUCAUUGGAGACACUGACAUGAAGGAUGUUGGGUAUGGUAUAUUUCCCACUAUUCUUUCAGUAUGUCAUUCUCCUGAUUGGUUGAUUGACAUGGGUGCUAAUGUGCAUGUAUGCGGUGAUAUUUCCAUGUUUUCGUCUUAUCAAACCGCAGGGACUUCCACCGUGCUGAUGGGCAACAGUUCAAGUGCUUCUGUUUAUGGUGUUGGCACGGUCGAUCUGAAGUUUACUUCGGGGAAGAUCGUGCAGCUGAAGAACGUGCAUUAUGUCCCCUCCGUCAAUAAAAAUCUUGUUAGCGGAUCUCUUCUGUGUAGAGAUGGCUACAAGCUUGUCUUUGAGUCGAAUAAAUUUGUAAUAUCCAAGUAUGGAACCUUUGUUGGUAAAGGCUAUGAGUCAGGAGGCCUGUUUCGUUUAUCCUUAUCAGAUGUUUGCAAUAAAGUUGUUAAUCAUGUUUGCAACAAUAGUGAAUCAAAUGUGUGGCAUUCACGUCUUUGUCAUGUUAACUUUGGUUGCAUGUCGCGACUAGCGAAGUUGAACUUAAUCCCUAGUUUCACCACUGUCAAGGGAUCUAAGUGUCAAGUGUGUGUGCAAGCUAAGCAAUCUCAUAAGUCUCAUGUGACUGCGGAAACGAGAAAUCUUGCACCAUUAGAGCUCAUACAUUCAGAUCUAUGUGAAAUGAAUGGUGUUUUGACAAAAGGUGGAAAGAAGUAUAUUAUGACGUUAAUUGAUAACUCCACUAGAUAUUGUUGUGUGUAUCUUCUGAAAUCUAAGGAUAAGGCUUUGAACUAUUUCAAGAUCUAUAAAGCUGAAGCAGAAAACCAACUUGAUCUAAAGAUCAAGAGGCUUAGGUCCGAUCGUGGUGGAGAGUAUUUCUAAAAUGAAUUUGAUUCCUUUUGUGCGGAACAUGGUAUAAUCCAUGAAAGGGCGCCUCCCUAUUCACCUCAGUCAAAUGGGAUGGCCGAAAGAAAGAACCGUACUCUAACUAAUUUGGUUAACGCCAUGUUAGACACAUCUCUCUAAGGCAUGGUGGGGGGAGGCGAUAUUGACUGCAUGUCAUGUCCUAAACCGAGUUCCCACAAAGAACAAAGAGAUAACUCCAUUCGAGGAAUGGGAGAAGAAAAGGUUAAAGCUCUCUUAUCUAUGAACAUGGGGUUGUUUGGCGAAAGUCAAUGUGCCUAUUCCAAAGAAGCGGAAGCUUGGACCAAAGACUGUGGAUUGUGUUUUCUUGGGAUAUGCUUUUCAUAGCAUUGGUUAUAGAUUCUUGGUUGUAAAAUCUGAGGUACCUGACAUGCAUGUUGGUACGAUCAUGGAAUCGAAUGAUGCGACUUUCUUUGAAGAUAUUUUUCCCAUGAAGGAUAUAGCUACCUCAUCUAAUCAGGAGAUGCCUAGUUCAUCGAAUCAGGAACCAGUUACAAUUACUGAACCUGCCAUCUCGAUGGAACACUUUGAAAGUCCUGUGGAGGAGAACAAUGAAGUUCCUACUAGGAGCAAGAGACAGAGGACUGCAAAGUCCUUUGGUGCUGAUUUUCUUGUGUAUCUCAUAGAUGAAACUCCCAGUUCUAUUUCACAGGCCUAUACAUCUGAAGAUGCUGAAUACUGGAAGGAAGCAAUUCGUAGCGAGAUGGAUUCCAUCUUGGCGAAUGAAACUUGGGAGAUAACUGAUCGUCCUUAUGGGUGCAAACCUAUAGGAUGCAAAUGAGUAUUCAAGAAGAAGCUUAGGCCUGAUGGUACUAUUGAAAAGUACAAGGCUCGGCUCGUGGCUAAGGGUUAUACCCAAAAGGAAGGUGAAGACUUCUUUGAUACUUACUCACCUGUGGCUCGAUUGACGACUAUUCAAGUUCUACUUUCACUAGCUGCCUCACAUGGUCUUCUCGUUCAUCAAAUGGAUGUUAAGACUGCUUUCCUAAAUGGAGAAUUGGACGUGGAAAUUUAUAUGGAACAACCAGAUGGGUUUGUAAUAGACGGUCAAGAAGAGAAAGUGUGCAAGUUGCUGAAGUCUUUGUAUCGACUCAAGCAAGCACCCAAACAGUCGCAUGAGAAGUUUGAAAGAACUUUAACAGCUGCAGGCUUUGUUGUGAACGAAGUUGACAAAUGUGUGUACUAUCGCCAUGGUGGGGGCGAGGGAGUUAUCCUUUGCUUGUAUGUUGAUGACAUACUGAUUUUCGGAACUAAUCUGAAUGUUAUUAAGGAGAUCAAGGAUUUCCUAUCUCGCUGUUUUGAGAUGAAGGAUUUAGGAGUGACUGAUGUCAUCCUGAACAUCAAGUUGUUGAGGGACGAUGAUGGUGGGAUUACAUUGCUUCAAUCUCACUAUGUGGAAAAGAUCUUGAGUUGCUUUGUCUACAAUGACUGCAAGCCCUCUCCAACACCAUAUGAUGCUAGUGUGUUGCUUUGAAAGAAUCAAAGAAUUGCUAGAGACCAAUUGAAAUAUUCUCAGAUUAUUGGCUCACUCAUGUACUUAGCUAGUGCUACAAGACCUGACAUCUCUUUUGCUGUUAGCAAACUGAGUCAGUUUGUCUCAAAACCAGGAGAUGUGCAUUGGAAAGCUCUAGAGAGAGUUUUGCGUUAUUUGAAAGGCACUGCAAAUUAUGGAAUUCACUACACUGGGCACCCAAAGGUGCUUGAAGGGUAUAGUGACUCAAACUGAAUCUCAGAUGCUGAUGAGAUAAAGGCCACGAGCGGAUAUGUAUUCACUCAUGGAGGUGGCGCUGUUUCUUGGAAGUCUUGCAAGCAGACCAUCUUAACGAGGUCAACAAUGGAAGCAGAACUCACAACACUAGAUACAGCUACAAUCGAAGCAGAUUGGCUUCACCGGCUCUUGAAUGACUUGCACGUUGUUGAGAAACCUGUACCAGGUAUCCUUAUGAACCGCGACAAUCAAACUGUGAUCACGAAAGUGAAGAGCUCAAAGGAUAACAUGAAGUCAUCAAGACACGUUCAGAGAAGGUUAAAGUCUGACAGAAAAAUGAGAAACUUCAGAGUUAUUGCAUUGGAUUAUAUCCAAACAUCUAAAAAUCUGGCAGAUCCUUUUACUGAGGGUCUAUCACGUAAUGUGAUAGAUAAUGCAUCGAGGGAGAUGGGUAUGAGACCCAUAAUAUGAGUUGUUCACAGUGGUAACCUAUUCUUUGUGAUCAGAGAUCCCGUGAAUUAGAUGUGGAAGACAAGUUGUUGGUCAACUGGGAGGAGAGUACCCUUACUGUUAAAAAAUACCACUCCAUGAAAAUGCAAUACUCUCCUAAUCUGCAUGGCAGGUUGAUGUAUAUCUUAAUGUGUUCUAAGUGGCUCUUUGAAGCAGAGAUGUUAUCCUGCAGAACAUCUUUUGAAGAACGCACCUAUAUGAGUCUGAUUGUUAAAUGUCGCAAUCUAUGAGAGUAGGAUUCUCUCUAGUAAACUCGUGAAAGGUCUCAGAGGAUGACGCAUAAGCUCCACCUGCGGGGAAGACCCACGGUAGCCACGUAUCGGUCAAGGCUUUAUGUGAAACUAGAUUCGCAGAAAACUUGCAGUUCAAGGCCCAGUCCACUGUUCAAGUUGCUUACUAGUGUAGCAUAGAGUUCUAGGUGGAAGUUCAACUUAACAGUCUCCACUGCAGUACUGGUAUAUAAAACAGUGUUUUGGAACCAAAGGCAAAUUUUAUGUGCCUCUGAGAUCUGGUGGGGGAUUGCUGGAAUUUUUGUUUAUUUGGGCCGAGCCCAAUAGCAGUUUCAGAAAUUCCUAAUAAAUCCUAGAGGCCCACGCAGCCCAUUCGUGCAAGGCAAGAGGUGGAACUAAAGUUUAGUCCCACAUUGCUAGUUUAGAGGGAGUUGGACCUCUUUAUAAGGGAGGUUCUUUCCCCACUUGUAUAAGCAUGAGAACAAGAGGGACAUCCACGCACGCUCCUCCUCCGCCACCCGCCUCGCCUCGUCACGACGCGCCGUGGGUUGCGAGAAUGAGCCGAGCCGAUGUCUAAAUUUUUGCCACGCACUACGGGUAUACAAAAGGUCACUCGGAAGCUAAAAUGUUUUUCUGUAGUGGACACUAAAUCUGAACGGCGCGCCUCUUUGGCUGCUGCCUAUUCGUUUUGUCUCCCACGUUCCCUUCAGCUCUCGGCGCAGCCUCUCGCCUCCUUCUCUUGCGCCUAUAAAAGGGAGGUCGCUCCUCUCAGAGAGAUGCACUAGAACUGACUUCCUCCUCUUGCCACCGGUUCUUGAGCAUUGUGCUGCUGCUACGAUCUUCCCCAUCCCGGCUUGCAGUGUGCACUGCAGGUCGGGACAAUAGGCCUCCGAAACCGCACAUUUUGAGUCCUGUACGGGAGAAGGGUGAUAAGGUUUUCAGGGAGCGCUCUGCGCGACUACUGACUCCACUCCUUCGUCACGGACUCCGACGACUACUUCCACGAUGACGACUUCUUCCCCGACGUCGACAACCUCCUCGACGACAUGGCUGGCGAGGACACCGACCCCAAGUCCAGUGCUACCGCUACUACUGAUGUCCCGUACGUGUUUGUACUCUUUCUGUUAGAGGUCUUGUCACAGUUCCUUGUUCUACUGUUUGCCCUACAUAUGUUAGGCUCUACUUCAUAUAUGCUGCUUGCCCUAGAUAUGUUUGCCUACAGUUCAUAUGUGAAGGUGAUAUUUACCUUCUCUCUGUCAGAUCGCAUGAGUUGCUUUAUCUCUGCUAUUUUAGUCAUGCUUUAUUCAGUAUUUCCAUUAAUAAAAUCAUAUGGUAAAUUGCUCAUAUUUCCAACAUUGUCUGCCGCAUGAAGAAGAGGAGAAGACGGAGGGGAGGAGAGAGAGGAAGUGCAGCCAGAUAUUUUCUAGGCUCGCCUCAUCUCUAGCCGGAACGACGUGCACCUGAGUAACCGUAAAAAUCAGGUGAUUCACUGGACUAUGGAUAACGAGGCCCACCUGGCAGCUACUCUCAGAAGAAAUGUGAAUGUCAAAAAGAAUGGAUGGUCCACCACAUGCCAGCAGCCAAAAUUCAGCUACAGGGAAAGGAUCGAGCGGCCCAGCGAUCGUAGCGCACGCGGAAGCCUCAAAAUGGCGGGUUGCCUAGCAAGGUUAUGUUCAAUGAUUAUGCUGGUUGCCGGCAUGAGCAGGGGUUUGGGACUCAUGAUCGAGGAUUGGGAUAUAUGUUAUGUGGAUUGGGCUGAAAGGAAUGAUAUGUGUUGAUUUGUGUGUAAAUGACGUCCCAAUGGCUCCCCGCUGCAGGGGAGACUUUGCUGUGUUUUCCUUCUAAUUACCGUACUUAUUUUAUACUUCCUCCGUCCUAAAAUUCUUGUCUUUGAUUUGUCUAGAUAUAAGUGUAUCUAACAUUAAAAUAUAACCAGAUACAUCCGUAUUUAGACAAAUCUAAGACAAGAAUUUUGCAACGGAGGGAGUACUAAGUAUGGGUUUAUGCUCAUUGGUUGAUGCAGGUUAAGAUGUAGCCACUCUUCUUUUGUCACCCUGCUUCUUCAUACUCCGCUUGCAAAAUCUGGUUAUUUUUCUAUCUUUUGUCAUAUGAUUAUGUUGGUUCCACUAUGAGGAGAGUUUGGCCUCACGACCGAGGAUUGAGACAUAUUAUUGUGUGGGUUGGGCUAAAAAGAAUGAUAUGUGUUGAUUUUUGUGUAAAUGAUGUCCAACAGCUCCCGUACAUUUUUUUGUAGGAAAACUUUCGAUCUAUUCCUCUUCAAUCGUGGUAGUACAACGAAGACAAGAAAUAAUAAAAACUAUGUUUAGAUUCAUAGACCACAUAGUGACGGCUACAAGUGCUGAAGCCUAAUAGAAAAGCCUAGUAGAGGCAUUCGGAAAACGUUGUAAGUGGCGCUGACUAGAGAAGCCGCUAGUAUGACGCCUUUGAUAAGGCCCACUAGUCACUAGUGGCGCCGACUUCCAAUGCUGGUAGAAACCUUAUAUUACUGGCAUCGGCGGCCAGCGUCGCUGAUAACUUUGGUACUGCUGGCACGGGUCGACCGAUGCCACAUGUACCUAUUGUAUUUGUUGUGUCCGGUAAAAAACAACGCCACUACAAAAUAUGACAAAAUUAUAAAAAUAAUAGUUGUGUUGCAUAUGAAAUCUUGAGACAUUAAAAAUUGCAUUGCAUACGAAAUCAGAUUACAUUACAUUAUAUAAUUGCAUUGCGUAUGAAACCAUAUUGCAUUGCAUAUGAAAUCACAUUACAUUAUAUAAUCUGAAAUCACAUACGAAAUCAUAUUGCAUUGCAUAUGAAACCACAAGGCUUUUGCCGGGUGCUUUUGGCACCCGGCAGACGUUCAAAUCCGGUAGUGAACUUAGUCUUGUUGUAUAUUUGGACUGCGUCUUUUGAAAGAGAAAACAUCACGCAUGAUUUCUUUUCUACCAAACUCCAUUGGCCUCGUUGAUAUGUUCAUUCUCUUCUUUUCCAAUCUUGUGUAUGCAUUGGCUGUAUUCUCUUGCUUCUUGAGCACUCCCAUUUAAUGAUUUCCUCACGCAAAGGUGGACAUAUCGUGCCAAGAUGAAUCUUGCAUUCCUAGUUUUCUUUUGCGUAAACUAAUAUAGGAUCCUCUAACAAACUAUGGGUUUUACUUAGGACUUGGAAAGCUGACAAUUAUGCAAACAAAAUCCGCACGACAUUGUUGGAAGUUGAAAAAAAGUUACGAUGCGUCAACAUAAUACAAGCCCACAAGCCACUCACUCAGAUGGUAUGAUGGACAGCUAGGGUUUUAUGUCCGUUCCGUGCACCUCUUUGCAUUUCCCUUGCCAUAUAUAUGAACCAAGGAUGUAGCUAACUUUGUCGAUAUGGUAACCAUCCUAGCUUUUUAGUAGUUAACAAACUAUGGGUUGUAAUCACAAUGUUCAGAUGCAUGCCAAAUACAUCACCGCACUGGAUCAAGAACAACGACGUGGAAGCCCAAGCUAUAGGCACUAGACAAAAGCCACCCACGCAGAUCAUGAACAACUUAUGUCUAUUGCCUUCCACCUUUUUAGCUUUAUCUAGCUAUAUAAACCGUCCAGAGAUCAAGAGUGUAGUUAUCCAUAUACACAACUGGUUAAUAUAGUACUAAAUCAGAGAUAGAAAGUCUGUGCGCAGAGGAACAAUGUCGAUGAAGACCGUGUUCUCGGUGCUCCUGCUAUGUAUGCUCGUGGCGACACCCAUAGCGGCCGAGUACGACGCAUGGAGCGUUAACAGUGGUCCCUGGAUGUGCUAUCCAGGGUAUGCCUUUAAGGUGCCAGCGCUCCCUGGCUGUCGUCCAGUGCUGAAGCUCCAGUGCAAUGGCAGCCAGGUGCCCGAGGCUGUCCUAAGGGAGUGCUGCCAGCAGCUCGCCGACAUCAGCGAGUGGUGCAGGUGCGGUGCCCUCUACAGCAUGUUGGACAGCAUGUAUAAGGAGCAUGGCGUGCAGGAGGGACAGGCGGGGACAGGCGCGUUCCCAAGCUGCCGGAGGGAGGUGGUGAAGCUGACGGCGGCGAGCAUCACGGCGGUCUGCAAGCUACCCAUCGUCAUUGAUGCGUCUGGAGAUGGAGCGUAUGUCUGCAAGGGUGUGGCCGCAUACCCGGACGCCUAGUCAAGCGAAUGAGUAGCUACUAUGUUGUGUCAUGCAUCUGCCUCUUAAUUUGUGGGGUGCGCACAAGUUGAAUAAAAUGGUGUAUGCGCCUAUGCGAAAUGCAUCAUUAAUGAAUAAAAGCGAAGUUCCCUGUUGAUCGAGAAAUUUUGAUCCAGCAUGCAAAAGAAUAAGUAGACGCAUCUCCUGUGGUCGAUCUUGUGGAGCCUUUGGCUAUACCGCAGCUAGGUGUUGUUUUUGUAAGAGUGGAGGCAUCCGGGUGCUGGUAGUCAGAGGGCGCUGCAUCAACUAGUAAUAUGCAGAAACUCACGGAGAGAGAAAUUCGCUAGCACCGGUGCAGUAUGAUGUGACAAUUAAUGUGAACUUAAAAAAUAAAUAGGUACAUUGUAUAGUUUAUUCUGUGUUAUAAAACUAUAUAAGUAACCAAAAUCUUAGAAAAUAUAUGUUUCCAUCUUUGCAUCUGAUUUAAAUGCGUUUAUGCACCUGUUUGCAUGCACAACUGCCAUCAUGUUGUCUGAUUUCUUUGUGAUAUAUGCACCCCGUUUAUCCUUUCUCAUGUUCACUAACAUGUCUUUUUAGAGAAAAGGCGCUGGCCGAACCCGAGAAGAGCUCGAACUUAACCCAACUUUGAAUUAAUUAAGCCAUCAACUGGCCAGGAUUACAAGGGCACCACAUUACAAAGGAGAUGCAAAGCAAAGCAGAAAGGAAGAUACAAGGAACUAGGCAGAACAACACAAAUGCAACAGCGGGAAUGCCGAUGCAGACAACUAGCACUACGCCUGCACCGACUAACCAACUAAGUACACCGAAGAAGGGCCACACCGAGCAAGCAUUGAGCGCCAGCUGCAUCAACAAGCCAAACUUGGGCAACACUUGAGUUGUCUCCGUCGUCGCAAAGGGCCACUACCCUUUCACCCAGGCUUGAUGGGUGCCGCACCAGCGACCGACAGAGUGGCUACCACAUAGGUGUCCGAGCUGCCAUAUGAGAAGCAAAUAGAGCUGACCCGUGAACCACAGGAGACCAACCAAACAAGAACCAUAGCCGGCAGUGGCAGCACGGAGCAUGGGAAGCGAGCUAUCGAACGAAGGCGCACACCCAUGAAGAAGACCAAAGAGGGCAUCACUAUGCACUAGGAGAAGCUGAGCAGGAUGUAGCAGGAAGACCACGCCAUCAUGCUUCGCAACAAAGACAUCAGUCACUCCACCAACAAGAGCAAAUCCCAGCCGCCGCCUUCAAGAAGGAGCACGCCAUCGAGGUGCUGCCGACGCCCGGAUUAAGGGAGUACCGGCUUUCGCCGGAGCUCAGGAGGGAGGCGGAAGAGAGAAGAACCACCCCAAAGCCUCCAGGAAGAGGAUUGACACCAAAGGCGUCGACUUUNNNNNNNNNNNNNNNNNNNNNNNNNNNNNNNNNNNNNNNNNNNNNNNNNNNNNNNNNNNNNNNNNNNNNNNNNNNNNNNNNNNNNNNNNNNNNNNNNNNNNNNNNNNNNNNNNNNNNNNNNNNNNNNNNNNNNNNNNNNNNNNNNNNNNNNNNNNNNNNNNNNNNNNNNNNNNNNNNNNNNNNNNNNNNNNNNNNNNNNNNNNNNNNNNNNNNNNNNNNNNNNNNNNNNNNNNNNNNNNGGUUUCCCACUCCAUGUUGCCAUCAAGAACACUUGCCAGCAUAAUUAUCAGUUUCUGGAGGACAACCUAUUGGUUGACGAGAACUACAGGAAGAGGAAUGUUGAGUACAUCUACAAAGCUCAUACAUCUUCUUUGGCUGCUUGAGAUGGGUUGUGUUAAAUCCUUCCUUACAUAAAAGACUACUUUGGUUACAUAAUUGCGAAAAAAAGUUCAUCUCAUCGUAGUUAUUUAAAUCUACCUCUCUAACAUUACUUAAGAAAUGUGAUUUUGUAUAGCUCAACUUGUGAGAGGGACACGUUUACCUUUUAGAACUCAUGUAUUUAUGUCCAUAAUACAGGAGGCAGUUUUUCUUUUUAAUCAAUGGGGAAUGAGUCAAGUUUCUCUGCAAUUAUAAGUUUAGGAUGCUGAUAGAAUUGGAUGUCAAUCUUUUUCGUUAUGUAUACUGUAAGCACCUGAAGUGAAAGAUGUUAUUUAUUAGAAACUUAUGCAUAAGAUCUUGAACACCACUAGAUUGCUUGCAACUCACACUGAUAAUGUAGUCGAUGAGCUCUGGAAUUGCAUCAAGCAGGGGAAGCUUGCCCCUUAUGCUAUGUUGCCCCUUGCGGCUCACAGGCAAUACCGUAACCUCAAUGGAUUUGAUAUCAUCAAGGCUCGUAUGGAGGAUACUAUGUUUCCCCUGGGAAGUGGUAAAAAUGCCAAGGAAAAAAAAAAGCAGCUCAAUGAGAUGAAAGUACAUCUUAUCAAUGCAUUGGUGCUUGUUAGAAUAAUUCUCAAUGCCGGGAAGCUCUAGAGGCAUAUAUUCAAACUCAAUAAGUAGUAUCACAUUUGCAACAAAUAAAAUAAUUUGGAUGCUUCAUUUCAUCAUGGUUUUAUUGCCUUUAUACAUUUUUUCUUGUUUUACCGAAUCUUAAGACGCUAAUAUGUUACGGUUUGGCUUUUAAACCUUAAAAUAUUGAUCGUAGAGAAAGAAUAUUGUACAGCAGUUCUCUUGCUGAACCACGUGGAAAAGAACAAAGUAUCUAUAUCUCAACCAAUUUGUACUUUUCUAGUGUUUGUCCUGUUCUUGUAGAAUUUUUUUUGACCAAGUAUUUAUUCAAAUCAAAUACUAAUAUCCGGUAGACAGCUGUCCAAUGAGUUGGGUUUCCACUGUUAUGAAACCUUUCCAAUUAAUACCUCCUGAAAAUGUGCAUUAUCAGUAUUUGCCUACAGGUAGUACUAAAUCGAUUAUUCGGGGAAAGCCAUAUAGGCACUAUAAACAAUUUCCAUAUUGUAGCUGGGUACUACUUCCUGGCUGACAAUGGUUGUUCCUAUCACAAUAUGAUUUAUUUUGAGAUACAUGAUUUUCUUGACCAUACCAACCUUACCAAAUGUUGGUGUCACCAAAACCCAAGCAUGGCCAAUAGCUUGGCAAAACAAGAGUAUUUGGUCUGGAUCCGUAUAGACUUUCACUUUGGGUGUCUAUUCUUUGGUUGAGCCAAAUAGCAAGGUUGUGUCACUGCUCUGCAGCCAGUCUGGUCAAGGUCACGUUGUCAUGGCGACACUAGGUUGAAAUGAAGCAUCCUAAUUAAUGACAUAUAGUACAAAUUAACGAAAGGGCACUUACCCGCACACACAUACACACACAACGUACGCUUGUAUCAUCCAUACUUGACACAGAAUCAGUUAGCAUAACAUGCAUAUUGCAAUCACAGGGUUGACACAGAAUCGCGACGGGAUGUCAGUUUUCUCAAAAUUCAGAAGACACUUAACCCAUAUUUGAUAUGACAUCCUCCCGACUACCAGCCAUACAACUCAUUAUCUCUGCAAAAGUAUUUUGCGGAAAAUACACUGAACACAUCCCUCCUUGCCCCCCAUAACUUUCUGCCUCUUAUUCUGCUGCAAAGACAAUGAUCAUGAGUUGAUGUCAGGAUAAUUUAAAACAAUGAAGAAAAAUAGAGAAAAGGGCAAAAACUAAUGAAGCUGGUCACUUAUGAGGAAAACACAAAUACCUCAGUUUUAAGGUCGAAAUUCGAGCAGAACUUUGAAAAUUCUCUUUCGACUGAUUUGAUGGUCUNNNNNNNNNNNNNNNNNNNNNNNNNNNNNNNNNNNNNNNNNNNNNNNNNNNNNNNNNNNNNNNNNNNNNNNNNNNNNNNNNNNNNNNNNNNNNNNNNNNNNNNNNNNNNNNNNNNNNNNNNNNNNNNNNNNNNNNNNNNNNNNNNNNNNNNNNNNNNNNNNNNNNNNNNNNNNNNNNNNNNNNNNNNNNNNNNNNNNNNNNNNNNNNNNNNNNNNNNNNNNNNNNNNGAUACAAAGAUCGCUCGGGCGAGCAGCACAUCAAGCCCAAAAGAAAAAGAAGAAGAAGCAAAUGCCAACAACGGCAGCUUGACAAAGCGCGGAUGACCUUCCACUGCUACGCCCUUCAAAAACAAAUCACCACAACCCGAGGCUCCAAAUUGCCGCGCACCAAGCAACACCUCUAAGAAGGAAUGCGACGACGAUGACGCUGCUGCCCAAACAUGUCCUAGGGUUUCCCCCGACAUGCGGAGGGAGGUGGGGGAUGGAUAUCAUCGACACCCUCCAGGAAGGAAUGGAGGCACUCGCAGGUGUCACUGCAUCGGAGCCGAAGAACCGGUAAGGAUUUCUCCCGCACUCCAACCCCACCGCCCAACCGGAUCGGAGCCGACCAGUCAGACCGCCGCCCACCACCAUGCGCCAUCGCGGUUGCGCCGCCACCCACGCCGCCUCACUGCAAACACCAACACGAGGCCAAGAGGACCAGAGAGAAGCGCCCUGCGAAGGAGAAGCAACACCGUAGCCGAACGGGAGGGAACCACCUCCACCACCGUCGUGCGUGUGGCCAGAGCCUUCGGCACCGUCGCGGUCACCGUCCGGACGCAGCAGCAGGACAUGCCAGGCCAUCCCUGGCCCGGCCAGGCUCGCUAAGCCCCGCUGGCCACACUGGAGCAAGCCGAUGAUGGCGCCGCCAGCACCCAGCCGCUCAUCGCCUAUCCGNNNNNNNNNNNNNNNNNNNNNNNNNNNNNNNNNNNNNNNNNNNNNNNNNNNNNNNNNNNNNNNNNNNNNNNNNNNNNNNNNNNNNNNNNNNNNNNNNNNNNNNNNNNNNNNNNNNNNNNNNNNNNNNNNNNNNNNNNNNNNNNNNNNNNNNNNNNNNNNNNNNNNNNNNNNNNNNNNNNNNNNNNNNNNNNNNNNNNNNNNNNNNNNNNNNNNNNNNNNNNNNNNNNNNNNNNNNNNNNNNNNNNNNNNNNNNACCUAGGGUAGGGUCAUGGACCUGUCCAAGGUACCCUCCCCCAGGACAUCUUUUGAUGAAGUCAUCUUCCAGUCGACCUAGAGGGACUCCACUCGACUGACUGGAAGACACUCGACGAACUUGAAGACACUCGACCAUGAAGACUCACUCGACCACCAGGAGUUCAAGAUCUACUCUGUAUCCAAACGGUCUGUAAUUAAGUAGUCUUUAUGGCCAUGAUGACACUUUAUGUAGGGCAUUACCAGUAACGCCAGACCUCAAUGUACUUUAACCCUCCGCUGCGUGGGCUGGCUGGGGUCUUGGCAUCCUCUAUAUAAGCCACCACCCUCCACUGGUAGAACGGUUCGCACCCCUGUAACUCUCACACAUAUAAUCCAGUCGACCGCCUCCGGGCUCUGAGACGUAGGGCUGUUACUUCCUCCGAGAAGGGCCUGAACUCGUAAAACCCUUGUGUGCACAACUACUCCAUAGCUAGGAUCUUGCCUCUCCUUAGUACCCCCCUACAUUACUGUCAGGCUUAGAACCACGACAGUUGGCGCCCACCAUGGGGCAGGUGUUUUAGCGAAUUGUUGGAGAAGUUGCAAUUUUUCCGAUUCCCAUCGUCAUGGUUUCAGGCGGAGUUUUGGUUGAGGGCCGCGAGAUCUGUCUCGGCGCGCUCACGUUCAUCGCCGACGACUCUGCUUGGCUGCAGGAGGCUCCGCUCGACGUCGACGCGCUCCCAGUCCGCGGGGCUACGCACUUUCGAGCGUCCGUCCGCGGCGUCCUUCUGCGGCAACCGUCGACCCAGUAUCGGCCAGUGUUUGUGUGAUCCUCCCUCCCAGCUUCCCGCCAGCGUAAGCGCUCCGGUCGAUCGAGGCUUCAGCGGUGGGUGAGACACGCGGUGGCUCGCCAGUCGACCACCGCCCAAGUCACGUCAAUCGAGCCCGACGAAUCCCUCUACGGCCUGUUCGACCUAUCGACUGGCUCCGCAGAGACUGCAUCCGAGUGCGACAGCAGUGAUCCAGCGGCGGAGAUCCUGAUGGUCAAUGGACCGCACGUUCCCCCCGGCUUUCCCGGUGCCGAGGGAGGCAACGACGGAGGCGAUCCCUGAGCCCCUCAAUUCGCAGCAGAGGGAAGAGCUUCGCCGCCGGAACAUGGAUGCGCUUCACACUCCGAUCGUUGAAGAAACCCCUGAGGCCCGUGCCUUGGAGGACGCGCGCUUGGCCAACCUGGCCGAGCGCACUCGACUGGAGAACCUUCAGCGGGCACUCGACGAGCGCACACGACAACGGAUUCUAGACUCCAGUCGACACCAGCUCUUUCCACCUCCGACUCAGGUAUAUCAAACUCCGAUUCAGAAUUUAGUAGCUGCAGCCCGUAUAGCAGAAUCAAUUCAGCCUUCCUAGUCAGAGGCUGGCAGAGGCCUGAUGCAGAUCAGAGAUUUACUCCGGGCAGCAGGAGAUCAGAAUUCAGCCGUAUCGCAGUCGCGGAACAGGAUUCACAGUAGAUCCGUGGCAGCGAAUACGGUCCAGUCGGCUCAUAGCCCCAGAUCGCCCCCGAGGCGUGAAGGGCGUGGUGACCGGCAUGAUCAGUACAGGAACCAUGAGCGGUAUGAUCACCGAUUCGAUCGCAAUGAUCAACGUCGAGUUCCUACUCCCCCCAAGGGGUGGGUCCUAUAUGCCUCGACGGCAGGGUGAUAGACGCCAGCACAGUGGCAGGCGGAAGAUUCCGGUCGACCCCAGGGAACCAGGCUUUGAUGCAAGAUCCAUCAUCGUUCAAGGUCUGGUCGACCGGAACAGAGCCCACAGAGAGGGUAAUGACAGAUAUGUACCCACCAGCAGUCGAGUGCAUGUCUCUGGACCAGAGUGUUUCAGCAGAGCCAUCAGAGCCGCGGUGAUUCCUCCCAACUUCAGGUUGGCGACUAGAGUCAGCAAGUUCAACGGUGAGUCUAAGCCCAAUACUUGGCUUGAGGACUACCGAGUGGCUGUACAGAUCGGUGGCGGAAAUGAUGAGGUGGCCAUGAAGCAUCUGCCUCUUACGGUGGAAGGGUCAGCCAGAGCAUGGCUGAAUCAGUUGACACCCACAGCAUUUACACGUGGGAGGACCUCUCCCGAGUGUUUGUCAGAAUGUUUGAAGGAACAUGCAAGCGACCAACAGGACUGACAGAGCUGCAAUCUUGUGUGCAGAAGUCGAAUGAGACUUUGAGAGAUUACAUCCAGAGAUGGAUCACACUGCAUCACACAGUAGAGAAUGUGUCUGAUCACCAGGCAGUCUGGGCCUUCAAGGAGGGCGUAAAGUACAGAGAGCUAAGCCUGAAAUUUGGUCGAACCGGAGACAUGUCUCUGAGUCGAAUGAUGGAAAUAGCCACCAAGUAUGCCAAUGGUGAGGAAGAGGAUCGGCUCCGGAGCAGCAAGCAUAAGUCAGUCGCCCAGGAAACCAGAGGUGGGAACUCCAGUCGGAAGCAGAAGCGGAAAGCCGAGCCAGCUGCUCCUGGAGAAGCCCUGGCCGUGACUCAAGGAAAAUUCAAAGGGAAACCCAAGGGGCCUUGGAACCCCAAAAAAGUAAAGGAUAAAGAGGGAAAUGAUGUGAUGGAUUUGCCGUGUCACAUCCACACGAAGAAAGAUGAAGAGGGUAAUUUCAUUUACCCAAAGCAUACCACUCGACAGUGCCGGCUUCUGAUACAACAGUUCCAGGGGAAACAACCCAAGGACAAGGAAAAGGAGUCAGACAAAGCUGAGGACAAGGAAGAUAGUGACGAGGAAUACCCUCAGGUCAAUUCUACUCUGAUGAUUUUUGCUGACGUUGAGAGCAAAAGUCGACUGAAAGUUAUAAACCGAGAGGUGAAUAUGGUUGCUCCGGCAACACCCAGUUAUCUGAAGUGGUCUCAGACCGCCAUCACAUUCGACCAGUCUGAUCACCCAACGCACAUAGCCACCCCUGGGAGGCAAGCUCUGGUGGUCGACCCAGUCGUCGAGGGCACUCGACUGACUAAAGUGUUGAUGGAUGGCGGCAGUAGUUUGAAUAUACUGUACGCUGAGACACUGAAAGGGAUGGGCAUUCCGAUGUCCAGACUCAGCACAAGCAACAUGAGUUUCUAUGGAGUCAUUCCUGGCAAGAAGGCCGCGUCACUCGGCCAGAUUGCUCUUGAUGUGGUUUUUGGUGAUUCAAAGAACUUCCGCAAAGAGAAGCUGACAUUUGAGGUUGUAGAUUUCCAGAGUGCCUACCACGCUAUUUUGGGCAGGCCAGCUUAUGCACGUUUUAUGGCUCAACCAUGUUACGUGCACCUCAAAUUAAAGAUGCCUGACCCUAAAGGUGUGAUCACUGUUACUGGUAACCGCAAGAAGGCAGAAGAGUGCUUCCAGAAGGGCUCAAAGAUCGCUGAUGCUCAGAUGGUGGCAGAAGAGUGGCAGGAACACCAGAGGAACGCAGAUCCGAGUGAUUUGUUGCGAGCCAAAAAGCCUGCUGCAGAAUCAGCAAUCAAGUCGAUCGGGGAGACAAAACCAGUUCACAUCCACCCGACCGACCACAACGCUGCUCCGACUCAUAUCUCCACAACACUCGACCCCAAAUAGGAAGAAGCGCUCAUACACUUCCUCCGUGAGAACUGGGACAUCUUUGCAUGGAAACCUUCUGACAUGCCGGGUGUGCCCAGGGGACUGGCUGAGCAUCGUCUGCGAGUCGAUUCAAAGGAAAAACCUGUCAAGGAACAUCUGCGAUGGUCCGCCGUCUAGAAAAGGAAGGCUAUUGGCAAAGAGGUGGCUCGGCUCUUAGCAGCAGAGUUUAUCCGAGAAAUUUACCACUCCGAGUGGCUCGCCAAUGUUGUCAUGGUCCCCAAGAAGGACAAGUCACUUCGCAUGUGCAUUGACUUUAAACAUAUCAAUCGGGCCUGCCCGAAAGAUCAUUUUCCUCCCCCCCGCAUCGACCAAAUAGUCGACUCGACUGCGGGAUGUGAGCGACUAUCUUUCUUAGACGCUUACUUCGGGUACCAUCAGAUCCGUCUGUUUGGACCCGAUGAGAUCAAAACAACUUUCAUCACCCCAUUCGGGUGCUUCUGUUAUGUCACCAUGCCAUUCGGCCUCAAGAAUGCCGGAGCCACAUUCAUGAGGAUGAUUCAGAAAUGUUUGCUCACUCAAAACAGUCGGAAUGUGGAAGCGUACAUGGAUGACAUUGUGGUCAAGUCACGGAAAGGUUCCGACCUGCUGACUGACCUCACUGAAACAUUUGCCAACCUCAGGAGGUAUGAUAUCAAGCUUAACCCAUCCAAGUGCACAUUCGGAGUUCCUGGUGGAAAGUUACUCGGUUUUCUCGUUUCAGAACGAGGAAUCGAUGCAAAUCUAGAGAAAGUGGGUACUAUACUCCGAAUGAAACGACCUGUGCGUGUGCACGAUGUUCAGAAGCUUACUGGUUGCUUGGCCGUUUUAAGUCGAUUCAUCUCUCGCCUUGGUGAGAAGGCAUGCCUCUUUACCGACUGAUGAAGAAGUCAGACAAGUUCGAGUGGACUCCUGAAGCUGACGUAGCGUUUGCAGAGUUAAAAAACCCUACUUUCCACCCAGCCGGUGCUUGCUGCCCCGAUCAGCAAAGAGCCUUUGCUGCUUUACAUUGCAGCCACAGGACAAGUCGUCAGUACUGUACUUACGGUCGAGCGGGAAGAGGAAGGAAAAGCCUUCAAAGUUCAGCACCCAGUAUAUUACAUUUCUGAAGUCCUAAUCCCAUCAAAGCAAAGAUACCCUCAUUAUAAAAAGCUUGUUUAUGGGAUAUAUAUGACCACAAAGAAAGUUUCUCACUACUUCUCUGACCAUACCAUCACAGUCGUCAGUGACGCCCCCUUAUCAGAGAUUCUGCACAACAGAGAUGCAACUGGCCGAGUGGCAAAAUGGGCGAUUGAACUUCUUCCCCUGGAUAUCAGAUUUGAGGCAAAGAAAGCCAUCAAGUCCCAAGCAAUAGCAGAUUUCCUCGCCGAGUGGACUGAACAUCAGUUAUUGACUCAAGUUCACUCGAAGCAUUGGACUAUGUUCUUCGAUGGCUCUAAAAUGCUGAAUGGUUCCGGUGUCGGGGUAGUGUUGGUUUCCCCCCGAGGAGACAAGCUCAGAUAUGUACUCCAGAUUCACUUCGACUCCUCCAACAAUGAGGCAGAAUACGAAGCACUCUUGUAUGGGUUGCGUAUGGCCAUUUCGCUCGGCGUUCGUCUCCUCAUAGUCUACGGUGACUCGGAUUUAGUGGUUAACCAAGUGAUGAAGGAGUGGGACGUCAGAAGCCCAGCCAUGACUGGUUACUGCAAUGCAGUCAGAAAGCUGGAGAGGAAGUUUGAGGGAUUAGAGCUCCAUCACGUCCCCCGACUGAAAAAUCAAGCAGCUGAUGACUUGGCGAAGAUAGGUUCCAAAAGAGAAGCCAUCCCAAGUGGCGUGUUUUUGGAGCAUGUUCACACGCCGUCAGUUCAAGAAGAUCCCUUCACUGAAGAAGCCCCGCAGCCAAAAAGCGCCAUAGAUCCGAGUGAAGUCGAGGUUCCAGCUGUGGUCGACUUAAUCAUGGAAGUUCUGGUUAUUACUCCCGACUGGACAUUGCCCUAUAUUGCGUAUAUUCUAAGGAAAGAGCUCCCAGAGAAUGAAGAAGAGGCUCGAGAGGUCGUCCGUCGAUCCAAGGCCUAUGAAGGGACAAUUGUACAGAGAAAGCGUGACUGGGGUCAGCCAGAAAUGCAUAACGCCGGAAGACGGUCGAAUGAUUCUCAAUGACAUCCACUCGGGGACAUGUGGCCAUCAUGCGUCCUCUCGGACCAUCAUGGCUAAAGCAUACCGAGCGGGUUUUUACUGGCCCAGAGCAAAUGAAAUGGCGAAAGAGAUAGUUGACAAGUGCGAAGGUUGUCAGUUCUACUCCAACAUGUCACACAAACCUUCCUCAGCCUUGAAGACCAUCCCGAUCGUCUGGCCUUUCGCUGUUUGGGGUUUAGAUAUGGUUGGACCACUGAGGACUGGCAGGAGCGGCUUCACCCAUGUACUGGUGGCAGUCGACAAGUUCACCAAGUGGAUCGAGGCCAAACCCAUUAAAAAUCUUGAUGCUGGCACUGCCAUCAGCUUCAUCAGAGAAUUAAUAUUCAGAUAUGGAGUUCCGCAUAGCAUCAUCACUAAUAAUGGGUCAAACUUCGACUUCGAUCAAUUCAAAGCCUUCUGCGCUUCUCAAGGCACACGAGUCGACUACGCUUCAGUCGCCCACCCCCAGUCGAAUGGAUAAGCAGAAAGAGCAAACGGUCUAAUUCUCAAAGGACUGAAACCCCGGCUGAUGCGCGACCUCGAGCACGCAGCAGGUGUCGUGGUUCUAAGUCUGACAGUAGAGUGGGGGGUAGGUACGGAGAGGCAAGGUCCUAGCUAUGGAGAGGUUGUAAACACAAGAGAUGUACGAGUUCAGGCCCUUCUCGGAGGAAGUAAAAGCCCUACGUCUCGGAGCCCGGAGGCGGUCGAGUGGAUUAUGUGUAUAUGAGUUACAGGAUGCCGAACCCUUCUGCCUGUGGAGGGGGGUGGCUUAUAUAGAGUGCGCCAGGACCCCAGCCAGCCCACGUAAUGAAGGGUUUAAGGUGUAUUUAGUCCGGGGCGUUACUGGUAACGUCCCACAUAAAGUGUCUUAACUAUCAUAAAGUCUACUUAACUACAGGCCGUUGCAGUGCAGAGUGCCUUUUGACCUCCUAGUAGUCGAGUGAGUCUUCGUGGUCGAGUCCUUCAAGGUAGUCGAGUGAGUCCCUCGUUGGUCGACUGGAAGGUGACCUCUUCUAAGGGUGUUCUUGGGCAGGGUACUUAGAUCAGGUCUGUGACCCUACCCUAGGUACAUGACCCCACCAUUAGCCCCCGAAUGGAUUGAGGCUUUGAGUGACGGAGGAGUUGAUGCUGUUUCCGAUUAACCUUCGCACACUGGUCGUGCGUUGUUCUGAACCAGAGAAUCUCUUCGUUGAUAGUGAGCAACUUGUCUUCAGUUGACUCGAUCCAUUCUUUUCUUUCGUCGAGUGAUCUUUCAGGCUUCGUCGAUUUCCGAGCGACGGAUCGCAGGAAAUCCCGUGCCUGACAGACCGAUCUGCCGUUCGUGGAUUACGCGGGAUGUGAAAUUUGGGGAAACGCGCUAAGCGGAGCGGCCGCGGCGUUUGGAUGGGACGGGACAUAGACGCCUCGAUCCCCGCGCCGCUUUCUUCGCCACGUAUCCCGCCCGCGUAACAGUUCCAGGAUAUGAUUAGAUCGACCGGGCCCACCUGACAUCCACUCGGAAGGGAUCUUAUAAAUGCGCCCGGCGAGGGUUUUUUGAACAAUGCCUCAGCAUUCUCUCUCUGCCCCCUUCGUCUCCUCCCAACGUGCUCGCUCUCGCCUCCGCACCACUUCUCCUCACGCGCCCCGCCGGUAGCCAUGGUCAAGGAGAAGACGGCGGCGCUGGAGCGCGCGAAGAAGGCGUCGGUGACGGAGAAGGCGAAGGGGAGAUCCACCAGCCGCGGUGGGUCUUCGUCUAGAUCUCGCCUGCUGAAAGGCUGGGUCCAGGGAGACUAGAUCCAGUCGACCAUCACAGAGAAGGAUCUCCUCGACAUGGCCAACGAGGGCCUGAUCCCUCAUGGAGCUGCGAGGCUUCCGGGGAAAGAGUGGCAGCCCCAGCCGGAAGAGGGUGAGUGCGUGCUUCUGGCUACCCAUGUUGACCACGGAUUCUCUUUGCCGCCGAGCAUUUUCUUCCGUGGUUUCUUGAACUUUUUUGGAGUGCAACUCCACCACUUCACCCCGAAUUCUAUCGCCUACCUUGUCGCGUUUGUGUCCAUGUGUGAGAGUUUUCUGGGCUGUCGACCGCAUUGGGGCUUGUUCAAGCACAUAUUCACAUCUCGCUCUCAAACCGUGAAGAAGGCGAGUCCAGGCGACGAAAGAACCCGAGUGGUCCAAAUGUGUGGAGGUCUGGGGAUACAGGUGAGGAACAAGAGCACCUUCCCAGCCAUGACAUUUCCCGAGUCAGUCAGAGGCUGGCAGUCGACCUGGUUCUACUGCCAGGAUGAGUCGACGCCGGGGCAGUCGAGUGGACUCCCUCAAUUUACCAUGGACCGAGUGAACAAGCCCUCCUCUCUGAAGUUGAUUCCGGAGGAGAAAGCUGACGUGAAUAUGCUGAUGGAGCGCGUAGUUCAAUUGGUUCGGGAGGGAGUGACGGGCAUGGAUCUCCUGGAAGUUUUCCUUAGGCGCCGAAUCCAGCCUCUUCAGUUCCGGAGCCAUUGCAUGUGGUUGUACUGUGGGACUGAGGAUGUGACUCGGGUCAAUCCAGAAAUAAUCGACGAUGCCACUCUGGAAAGGUGGAUGGCCGUUGUUACUGGGAACAAGGACAACCCUCGCGGGGCCAGAAGGAUUCCCCCACUCGACUGCCACAGUGACCCAAACAAGGUAUGUCUGCUCCACUUCCCAUUGUAUUCUCGUCAUAUUUAUUUCUGUUUUCUCUGCCGAUCGGUCGACUGAUCUUUGUCUUGUUGUUUAUUAGGCCCUCACCGAACUGUACUCGAUGCCCAACGGAGCGCAGGCUCCGACUGAGGAGGGAGAAGCGAGCGGGGGCGAGAGCCAGGAGGAGGAGUGGGACUCGGACGCCGCUGAGGCCGAUGAUGAUGACGAUGACGAUGACGAUGAUGACGAUGAGGACGAGGAAGAGGAGGAGGAGGAGGAGGUCGCACCACCGCGCUCGGAAAGGCGAUCGAAACUUGUCCAUGACCCUGCGACCGAACGCGGCGAGGGGGUUGCGACUGUUACACAGUCGACUAAGCGCCCUCGGACCACCUCUCCGGCGCCGACUGAAAAGGCGCCGAAGCAGCCCAGGGCGGCCCCGUCGAAGCCGACCAAGCACCUGCCGAAGAUGAAGGUGUCCAUCCCCACCAUAUCAGGGUAAUCAUGUUGCUUAAGUCUUCUUGUUCUGUGUGAACUUUGUCUCUGGUUGGCGCUGGAGUUAGUCGACUGAUUCUUUGGAGUUGCAGUGCUGCUACUUCUGAGACCUCAGCCCGGGCUGAUGACCAUGAGAUGGAGGACGCAGCAACCUCAAGACCAGGUACUAUACUCUUAACGCCAUUUUUAGUCGACCGACUCAUGAUCUCUAAUUCUGAUUCUUUUCUGUAGCUCCAUCCAAUGUUGUAAUCACUCUCCCUGAUGAAGAUGAAGACGAGGAACCGCUGAAGUACAGAAGGAGUAGGAAAGCGUCUGCCAGCAGGGUGACCCAGGAUGUGACGGUGCCUGAGGCUCUGGUCGCAGAGGAGGAGAACACCACUCGACACACCGUGUCCUUCGCAGAUCCACUGACGAGUGCUCCGCAGCUCUCCCUCUUCACGACGCACCACGUCCCAGAGGACCAAGCUGGCGCAGCGAAGGAGGCAAUACGCCAGGCAGGGAUCAUGAUGGAGCAGUUUGAAGACCAUCCGGGAUGCAAGCCAGGCAGCUUACGACGCCAGUUCCGCCCUCCAACGCAAUGUUCAGGUCAGUCGACCACCAUUUAUUCUGUUAGGAUAUGCUACCAAAAACUUUUCCUUUCCAGAAUUUAUAGUAGUCACCGACUGGGUGUGUCAAUUAAACUCCGUGUUAGCGGGGGCACGCUGAGUGCACCCGCUGGGUGUAGUCCCCAAGGCUAAGGUCGACUGCUGGCAGUCGGCCUUAGGCUUUAUAAUUUCAGUCUUUCCGUCAUUCGACUACAUCGAAUGAAUUUCGCAAACUGGUCGACUGGUCGACUCUGUCUUCAAUAGGAUUAGUGGGGGCACGCUGAGUGCACCCACUGGGUGUAGUCCCCGAGACUACGGUCGAAUGCUUGUAUUCGGCUGUAGUCUUAGAAACGCGUGAUUUUUCCUUUUUCACUCGGAAGUGAAUUAUGUUUGACAUUUUAGUCGAUUGGUUCUUCGCAGAACUCCUGUGAUCUUGUGGCUCGCUACUCUGAGCUGGAAAACAAGCACGUUCAGCUCGAGCUGAAUUUGAAGCUGGUUCAGGAGAAACUGACGAAGGCAAAGGAGGAGACCGAAGGUAUGUUUGGUGAGACCUUGACGACUGCUUUUUCCCUUCAUUUGUUUCAAAAUCUGAUCUUGCUUUAACUUGCAGGUAAGGUGAGGGAGGCCCAACGGAAGAAGGACCUUGAACUAGCUGAGAAGACCAAGCUUGUUGACGAGAAGUUAGCUUCAGUCGCCAAGCUUGAGCAAGAAAAUGCCAAUCUGAAAGCUACUCUUUGGAAGAAAAAAGAUCUGGAGGCCUUCCUGAAUGGUCUUGCCAAGAAGUUGUUUCUUAUGCUUGAAGGUAAAUUUCUAUGCUCGGCAAUCAUUUCCAACCGUGGUUUUUCCAUUCGACCACCGCCUUGACUCGGUGAUCGUCCUUGCAGAAUUUUGUCAAAACUUUGAAGAAGAAACUAGCCGGCUGGAACCAAACCUUGACCCCGUCAACUCUCCGAUGGACGACGAAGUUGCCAUGAAUGUUUUCCGACUGGAGUCCCGUGUUGCAGCUGUCGUGGACUAUCUUGCAAGGCUGAAGGUCGCCACAUCUCGCAUCGACUCGACGCUUUGGCCCGGGGAGACACUUCAGAACAACCUCGAGUCGCUGAUGGCUCGCUUGAACACGAUCCCUGGUCGAGUGCAGGAGUGGAAAAAGUCCUCGGCUCGGUGCGGUGCAGAUGUUGCUCUGUGUCUGGCCCGAGUCCACUGCAAAGAUGCGAGAGAAGACAAGCUGGCGGCCCUCCGGGUGGCCAACACCAAGAAACACGACUUCGGGUCCUUUAUGGAAACUUUCCUUGCGGCUGCCACUCGGAUCGCAGAUGGAAUUGAUCUUGAUGAGUUUGUUGCACCUUCCAGCCCUCCACAGGAGGGGUAAAAAACUUCUUCUAAGCUCGACGCUUUAAAUUUGCCUCGGUAUGCCGAGUGGAGUUGUAACCGAUAAACCUUAACGGGCUUAGCGCCUGAGCACUUUUGGUUCCUUUAGGUAUCGAUCCGAACUUGAAUUUGGUGUUUGAAUAUGAUUGCUUUUGGCUCGAAAUGUCUUUUGCAGGUUCAAAGCAGGGCGCUUACUGCAAUCGACUUAUUCCUUAGUCCACUUAGGUGAGCGCUGGGCUGCAGUUAAGCCUCCCGAGUGAGAAGUUUGCUUUUCACUCGGUAGGAUUUCUAUAUCUUAGGCGAGCACUGGGCUGCAGCUAAGCCCCCGAGUGAGAGGUUUGCUCUUCACUCGGUAGGAUUUUUGAUAACUUAGGCGAGUACUUGGACUGCAGCUAAGCCCCCGAGUGAGAGGUUUGCUCUUCACUCGGUAGGAUUUCUGAUAACUUAGGCGAGCAUUGGGCUGCAGCUAAGCCCCCGAGUGAGAGGUUUGCUCUUCACUCGGUAGGAUUUCUGAUAACUUAGGCGAGUACUUGGACUGGAGCUAAGCCUCCGAGUGAGAGGUUUGCUCGUCACUCGGUAGGAUUUCUGAUAACUUAGGCGAACAUUGGGCUGCAGCUAAGCCUCCGAGUGGAAGUCUGGCUUACCACUCGGUAGGAUUUNNNNNNNNNNNNNNNNNNNNNNNNNNNNNNNNNNNNNNNNNNNNNNNNNNNNNNNNNNNNNNNNNNNNNNNNNNNNNNNNNNNNNNNNNNNNNNNNNNNNNNNNNNNNNNNNNNNNNNNNNNNNNNNNNNNNNNNNNNNNNNNNNNNNNNNNNNNNNNNNNNNNNNNNNNNNNNNNNNNNNNNNNNNNNNNNNNNNNNNNNNNNNNNNNNNNNNNNNNNNNNNNNNNNNNNNNNNNNNNNNNNNNNNNNNNNNNNNNNNNNNNNNNNNNNNNNNNNNNNNNNNNNNNNNNNNNNNNNNNNNNNNNNNNNNNNNNNNNNNNNNNNNNNNNNNNNNNNNNNNNNNNNNNNNNNNNNNNNNNNNNNNNNNNNNNNNNNNNNNNNNNNNNNNNNNNNNNNNNNNNNNNNNNNNNNNNNNNNNNNNNNNNNNNNNNNNNNNNNNNNNNNNNNNNNNNNNNNNNNNNNNNNNNNNNNNNNNNNNNNNNNNNNNNNUCUUCACUCGGUGGGAUUUUUAUAACUUAGGCGAGUACUUCGACUGUAGCUAAGCCUCCGAGUGGAAGUCUGGCUUACCACUCGGUAGGAUUUUCAUAACUUAGGCGAGUACUUGGACUGCAGCUAAGCCUCCGAGUGGGAGGUUUGCUCUUCACUCGGUAGGAUUUUUAUAUCUUAGGCUAGCACUGGGCUGCAGCUAAGCCCCCGAGUGAGAGGUUUGCUCUUCACUCGGUAGGAUUUUUAUAUCUUAGGCGAGCACUGGGCUGCAGCUAAGCCCCCGAGUGAGAGGUUUGCUCUUCACUCGGUACGAUUUUGAUAACUUAGGCUAGCACUGGGCUGCAGCUAAGCCCCCGAGUGAGAGGUUUGCUCUUCACUCGGUAGGAUUUUUAUAUCUUAGGCGAGCACUGGGCUGCAGCUAAGCCCCCGAGUGAGAGGUUUGCUCUUCACUCGGUGGGAUUUUGAUAACUUAGGCGAGUACUUAGACUGCAGCUAAGCCUCCGAGUGGAAGUCUGGCUUACCGCUCGGUAGGAUUUUCAUAACUUAGGCGAGUACUUGGACUGCAGCUAAGCCUCUGAGUGGGAGGUUUGCUCUUNNNNNNNNNNCUCGGUAGGAUUUUUAUAUCUUAGGCGAGCACUGGGCUGCAGCUAAGCCCCCGAGUGAGAGGUUUGCUCUUCACUCGGUACGAUUUCUGAUAACUUAGGCGAGUACUUGGACUGCAGCUAAGCCCCCGAGUGAGAGGUUUGCUGGUCACUCAGUAGGAUUUUUGAUAACUUAGGCGAGUACUUGGACUGCAGCUAAGCCCCCGAGUGGAAGUCUGGCUUACCACUCGGUAGGAUUUUAUUUAAUCUUAGGCGAAACGGAUUCGCAGCUAAGCCUCCGAGUGGGAGUCUGGCUCACCACCCGGAGGAUUUUUACAAACUUAGGCGAAACGGAUUCGCGGCUAAGUCACCCACUGAGGGGAAAUUUUAUUGGACAAAAUAAAAAGUGACAAAAAUUAUGGAGGAACUAUGACACUAUUAUUUUGAGGUCCAAGAACUUACAGAAGUACUUUAUUGCAACUCAUCCGAGUGAUAAAGCUUAAGUGUAAAAUGGGCGGAGUAGUUCCGCGUUCCAAGCUCGAGGCUCGUCGAUAUUAUGUUCGACGUUGUAAAGACGGUAUGCCCCGUUGUGGAGAACUUUGGUGACGAUGAAGGGUCCUUCCCAAGAAGGAGCAAGCUUGUGUUGUUUCUUCUGAUCCACUCGGAGAACUAAAUCUCCUUCCUAGAAGGCUCGACCCCUCACAUUUCUGGCGUGGAAAUGACGCAAAUCUUGUUGGUAGAUGGUCGACCGGGUCAGAGCCAUCUCCCUUUCUUCCUCUAAAAGGUCGACUGCGUCCUGCCGCGCUUGUUGAGCUUCUGCUUCGUUGUAGAUUUCAACUCGAGGAGCAUUGUGGAGAAGAUCACUCGGCAAGACUGCUUCAGCUCCGUAGACCAAGAAGAAUGGAGUUCUUCCGGUCGACCGAUUAGGUGUGGUCCGCAGUCCCCAAAGCACUGAGGGAAGUUCGUCGACCCAAGCUCCAGCUGCAUGCUUGAGAUCACGCAUCAGUCGGGGUUUCAAUCCCUCGAGAAUCAGGCCAUUGGCUCGCUCUGCUUGUCCAUUCGACUGCGGAUGAGCGACUGAAGCGUAGUCGACUCGUGUGCCUUGAGAGUUACAGAAAUCUCUGAAUUCCUCCGAGUCAAAGUUUGACCCAUUAUCCGUAAUGAUGCUGUGCGGGACUCCAUAUCUGAAUACUAGUUCCCUGAUGAAGCUAACAGCAGCACCGGCGUCAAGGUUCUUGAUUGGUUUAGCCUCAAUCCACUUGGUGAAUUUGUCGACUGCCACCAGUACAUGCGUGAAGCCACUUCGCCCUGUUCUCAAAGGACCGACCAUGUCCAAUCCCCAUACUGCGAAAGGCCAGACGAGUGGGAUGGUCUUCAGAGCCGAUGCAGGCUUGUGCGUCAUAUUCGAGUAGAACUGACAUCCCUCGCACUUAUCCACUAUUUCCUUUGCCAUCUCAUUCGCCUUUGGCCAGUAAAAUCCAGCUCGGUAUGCUUUGGCCACGAUGGUCCGAGAGGACGCAUGAUGACCACAGGUUCCCGAGUGGAUAUCAUUGAGGAUGAUUUGACCUUCUUCUGGUGUUAUGCACUUCUGACCAACUCCAGUCGCGCUUUCUCUGUAUAAUUGUCCUUUGAUUACGGUAAAGGCCUUAGAUCGACGAACGAUCUGUCGAGCCUCUUCCUCAUCCUCCGGGAGCUCUUUUCUCAGGAUAUACGCGAUAUAUGGAACUGUCCAGUCGGGAAUGACCACCAAGACCUCCAUGACCAAGUCGACCACUGCUGGGACAUCAACCUCAGUCGGAUCUGUGGCACUCUUGGGCUGUGGAGCUUCUUCGGUGAAAGGAUCUUCUUUGACUGACGGAGUGUGUAUAUGCUCCAAGAACACACCACUCGGAAUGGCUUCUCUCUUGGAACCUAUCUUUGCUAGAUCAUCAGCUGCUUGAUUUUUCAGUCGGGGUAUAUGAUGGAGCUCCAACCCCUCGAACUUCUUUUCCAGCUUCCUCACUGCACUGCAGUAUCCAGUCAUGGCUGGGCUUCUCACGUCCCACUCCUUCAUCACUUGGUUGACCACUAAAUCCGAGUCUCCAUAGACCAUCAGGCGACGGACGCCGAGUGAAAUGGCCAUGCGCAAUCCGUAUAAGAGGGCCUCAUAUUCUGCCUCAUUGUUGGAGGAAUCAAAGUGAAUCUGGAGCACAUAUUUGAGCUUAUCUCCUCUGGGGGAAACCAGGACAACCCCAGCACCGGAACCAUUCAACAUCUUAGAGCCAUCAAAGAACAUGGUCCAAUGCUCCGAGUGAACUUCAGUCGGCUAUUGCUGUUCAAUCCACUCGGCAAGGAAAUCUGCUAUUGCCUGGGACUUAAUGGCCUUCUUUGCUUCAAACUUGAUAUCAAGGGGAAGAAAUUCAAUCGCCCAUUUAGCCACUCGACCAGUUGCAUCUCUGUUGUGCAAAAUCUCUGAUAGUGGAGCGUCGCUGACGACUGUGAUGGAAUGAUCAGAGAAAUAAUGAGCAACCUUCUUUGUGGUCAUGUAUAUUCCAUACACGAGCUUCUGAUAAUGAGGAUAUCUCUGCUUGGAUGGAGUCAAGACUUCAGACAAAUAAUACACUGGGCGCUGAACUUUGAGAGCUUUUCCUUCUUCUUCCCGCUCGAUCGUAAGCACAGUACUGACGACUUGUCCUGUGGUUGCGAUAUAGAGCAACAGAGGCUCUUUGCUGAUUGGAGCAGCAAGCAUCGGCUGGGUGGAGAGCAGAGCUUUUAGCUCGGCAAACGCUGCAUCAGCUUCUGGAGUCCACUCGAACUUGUCUGCCUUCUUCAUCAGUCGGUAAAGAGGCAAUGCCUUUUCACCGAGUCGUGAGAUGAAUCGACUUAAUGCGGCCAAGCAUCCAGUAAGCUUCUGUACAUCGUGCACUCGCACAGGGCGUUUCAUUCGGAGAAUAGUGCCGAUCUUCUCUGGAUUAGCGUCGAUUCCUCGCUCGGAAACGAGAAAACCGAGUAACUUGCCACCAGGAACUCCAAAUGUGCACUUUGAUGGAUUGAGCUUGAUAUCAUACGUUCUGAGGUUGGCAAAUGUUUCGGCGAGGUCAGCAAGCAGGUCGGAACCUUUUCGUGACUUGACGACGAUAUCAUCCAUAUACGCUUCCACAUUCCGACUGAUUUGAGUGAGUAGACACUUCUGAAUCAUUCGCAUAAAUGUGGCUCCGGCAUUCUUGAGGCCGAAUGGCAUGGUGAUAUAGCAGAAGCACCCGAAUGGAGUGAUGAAAGCUGUUUUUACCUCGUCGGGUCCGUACAGACGGAUCUGGUGGUACCCGGAGUAGGCGUCUAGAAAAGACAGUCUCUCGCAUCCCGCGGUCGAGUCAACAAUUUGAUCUAUGCGAGGGAGAGGAAAAUGAUCUUUCGGGCAGACCCGGUUGAUGUGCUUGAAAUCAAUGCACAUUCGGAGCGAUUUGUCCUUCUUAGGAACCAUGACGACAUUAGCGAGCCACUCGGAGUGGUAUAUCUCUCGGAUAAAUCCUGCCGCCAACAGUCGAGCCACUUCCUCACCAAUGGCUUUUCUCUUCUGGACAGCGGACCGCCGAAGAUGCUCUUUGACUGGUUUUGCAGAUGAGUCGACUCUUAGGCGAUGCUCAGCCAGUCCCCUAGGAACACCUGGCAUGUCAGCGGGCUUCCAUGCAAAAAUGUCCCAGUUCUCACGGAGGAACUGGAUGAGCGCUUCUUCCUAUUUCGGGUCGAGUGUUGUGGAGAUGUGGGUCCGAGCUGCAUCGGGGUCGGUCGGGUGAAUGUGAACAGGCUUUGUCUCACCGGACGACUGAAAUGCAGAUUCUGUGGCGGGUUUCUUGGAUCGCAACAAAUCACUCGGAUCUGCGUUUUGCUUGUAUUCUUCGAACUCGACCGCUGUCACCUGGGAAUCGGCAAUCUUUGAGCCCUUCUGAAAGCACUCUUCUGCCUUUUUCCGAUCACCGGUGAUAGUGAUCACUCCUUUGGGGCCGGGCAUCUUCAAUUUGAGGUACACGUAACAUGGUCGGGCCAUGAACCGUGCAUAAGCUGGUCUCCCCAAAAUGGCAUGAUAUGCACUCUGAAAAUCCACGACCUCAAACGUCAACUUCUCUUUGCGAAAAUGUUUCGAAUCACCAAACACCACGUCCAGAGCUAUUUGGCCGAGCGACUUGGCUUUCUUCCCUGGUAUAACUCCAUGAAAGCUCAUGUUACUGGUGCUCAGUCGGGACAUCGGAAUGCCCAUUCCUUUCAGCAUGUCUGCAUACAACAAAUUCAGCCCACUACCACCGUCCAUCAGCACUUUUGUCAGUCGAGAGCCUUCGACAACUGGAUCGACCACCAAAGCUUGCCUCCCAGGGGUGGCAAUAUGAGUCGGGUGAUCAGAUUGGUCGAAUGUGAUGGGCGUUUGGGACCAUCUCAGAUAAUUUGCUUUUGCUGGGGUGACCAUGUUCACCUCUCGAUUAAUGACUUUCAAUCGACUCUUGCUUUCCACAUCUGCAAAGAUCAUCAGAGUGGAGUUGAUAUGCGGAUAUCCUUCCUCACUGUCCUCCUUGUCUGCGGCCUUGUCCGACUCCUUCUCCUUGUCCUUAGACUGUUUUCCCUGAAACUGCUGGAUCAGGAGUCGACAUUGGCGAGUGGUAUGCUUCGGGUAGAUGAUGUUCCCCUCUUCGUCUUUCUUCGUGUGGAUGUGACACGGCAUAUCCAUCACGUCGUUCCCUUCUUUAUCCUUUACCUUCUUAGGGUUCCAGGAUCCUUUUGGUUUUCCUUUAAACUUUCCUUGAGUCACGGCCAGAGCCUCUCCAGGAGCUGCCGGUUCAGCCUUCCGCUUCUGUUUCCGACUGGUGUUUCCCUUUUCCGACUGACUCGGCUUGUGCUUGCCGCUUCGGAGUCGGUCUUCUUCUUCGCCGUUGGCGUACUUGGUAGCAAUCUCCAUCAUCCGACUCAAGGUCAUGUCACCGGUUCGACCAAAUUUCAAACUCAAUUCUCUGUUCUUGACACCAUCCUUAAAGGCGCAGACUGCCUGAUGAUCAGACACAUUCUCCACAGUAUGGUGCAAAGUGAUCCAUCUCUGAAUAUACUCUCUGAGAGUCUCAUUGGUCUUCUGCACGUAGACUUGCAGCUCCGUCAAUCCAGCCGGUCGCUUGCAAGUUCCUUCAAACGUUCUGAUGAACACUCGGGACAGAUCUUCCCAAGUGUAAAUGCUGCUGGGAGGUAAUUGAGUCAACCAUGCCCUGGCAGAUCCUUCCAGCAUGAGGGGAAAAUGCUUCAUGCCCACCUCGUCGUUCCCACCACCAAUCUGAACCGCCACUCAGUAGUCCUCAAGCCAAGUUUCAGGCUUAGACUCACCAGUGAACUUGCUGACUCCUGUUGCCAACCUGAAAUUGGGAGGGAUAACUGCGGCUCUGAUAGCUCUGCUGAAACAUUCAGGACCAGAAACAUGCACUCGACUGCUUGUGGGCGCAUCUCUGUCGAGUCCACCUCGAUGGGCUCUGUUCCGGUCGAGCAAACCUUGCACGAUAAUGGAUCGCGCGUCGAAGCCUGGUUCUCGUGGGUCGACUGGAACUCUUCGCCCCGCACUGAGCUGACGCCUGUCAUCUUGCUGCCGAGGAGCGUAAGACCCACCCCUCGGAGGGGAAUUGGGCAAUCGACGCCUAUCAUCUCGGUCGAGUCGGUUUCCAUAUUGGUCUCGCCGAUUCUCGCGCCCUUCACGCCGCGGAGGCGAUCUGGGGCUGUGAGCCGACUGAACCGUAUUCGCAGCGACGGAUCGACUGUGAAUUCUGUUGCGCGACUGCGACACGGCAGAAUUCUGAUCUCCUGCCGCCCGGAGUAGAUCCCUGAUCUGCAUCAAGCCUCUGCCAGCUUCCGACUGAGAGGGCUGGAUGGACUCUGCUAUACGGGUCGCAGCUGCUAAAUUCUGGAUUGGGGUUUGAUAUACCUGAGUCGGCGGGAAGAGUUGACGUCGACUGGUGUCGGGAACUCGUUGCCGCGCGCGCUCGUCGAGUGCUCGCUGAAGAUUCUCCAGUCGAGUGCGUUCGGCAAAAUUGGCCAAACGUGCCUCCUCCAAGGCGCGAGCCUCGGGGGUUUCUCCUGCGAUGGGAGUACGCAGGGCAUCCACGUUCCUGCGGCGAAGUUCCUCUCUUUGCAGAGAGUCGAGUGGCUCGGGCUGGUACUCUUCAUGGUCUCGUGCGGGGUCGCCUCCGUCGCCUGCUCCACCAUCACGGGCGAAGCCAGGGGGACUGCGGGGCCCGUCGACCAUCAGGAUUUCCGCCGCUGGGUCACUGCUAUCGCAGUCGGAUGCAGUCUCUAUGGAGCCAGUCGACAGAUCGAACAUGCCGUAGAGAGAUUCGUCGGGCUCGAUUGCCGCAACUUGGGUGGUGGCCGUCUGGCGAGCCACCGCGUGCCUCACCCACCGCUGAAGCCUCGACCGGCCCGAGCGCUUGCGCUGGCGGGAGACCGGGAGGGUGGCUGAUGGGGAAGUCGACCGAUACGGGGUCGACGGUUGCCGCAGCAGAAUGCCACGGACACAUGCGCGAAAAUGUGUCGCACCGCGGACGGGGAGCGCAUCGACGUCGAGUGGAGCCUCCUGGAGCCAGGCGGAGUCAUCGGCGACGAAGGUGAGAGCACCGAGACGGAUCUCUCGACCCUCAACCAAAACUCCAGCAGUCACCAUGAUGAAAGUACUCGGAAGAACCGCAACCUUUCCACAAAAUCGCUAAAACACCUGCCCCACGGUGGGCGCCAACUGUCGUGGUUCUAAGUCUGACAGUAGAGUGGGGGGUAGGUACGGAGAGGCAAGGUCUUAGCUAUGGAGAGGUUGUAAACACAAGAGAUGUACGAGUUCAGGCCCUUCUCGGAGGAAGUAAAAGCCCUACGUCUCGGAGCCCGGAGGCGGUCGAGUGGAUUAUGUGUAUAUGAGUUACAGGAUGCCGAACCCUUCUGCCUGUGGAGGGGGUGGCUUAUAUAGAGUGCGCCAGGACCCCAACCAACCCACGUAAUGAAGGGUUUAAGGUGUAUUUAGUCCGGGGCGUUACUGGUAACGUCCCACAUAAAGUAUCUUAACUAUCAUAAAGUCUACUUAACUACAGGCCGUUGCAGUGCAGAGUGCCUUUUGACCUCCUGGUAGUCGAGUGAGUCUUCGUGGUCGAGUCCUUCAAGGUAGUCGAGUGAGUCCCUCGUUGGUCGACUGGAAGGUGACCUCUUCUAAGGGUGUCCUUGGGCAGGGUACUUAGAUCAGGUCUGUGACCCUACCCUAGGUACAUGACCCCAUCAGCAGGCACGUGGGUCGACGAGCUUCCAUCAGUUCUUUGGGGACUGAGGACUACUACAAAUCGGUCAACUGGGAGGACCCCGUUCUUUUUGGUCUACGGAGCUGAAGCGGUUCUGCCAAGUGACCUGCUUCACAAUGCACCACGAGUCGAUCUCUACUCCGAAGCUGAAGUAGAACAAGCACGGCAGGAUGCAGUCGACCUUCUGGAAGAAGAAAGGGAGAUGGCCAUGAUCCGAUCGACCAUCUAUCAGCAAGACUUGCGUCGAUUCUACGCCAGAAAUGUGAAGAGCCGAGCCUUCCAAGAAGGAGACUUGGUCCUCCGAGUGGACCAACAGAAGCCACACAAACUCGCCCCUACUUGGGAAGGCCCCUUCAUUGUUACCAAAGUUCUCCACAACGGAGCAUACCGUCUGUACAAUGUCGAUCGCCAGAUUGAUGAGCCAUGAGCUUGGAAUGCGGAUCUACUCCGCCCCUUUUAUACUUAAGUAUUCACUCGGAUGAGUUGUAAUAAAAGUACUUUUGUAGUUUAUUUAUCAAAGACAAGAGUUUCAUAAUUUUCCCAGUGAUUGUUAUUACUUUUGUUUACAUAAAUCAAUCCCCCAGUGGGUGGCUUAGCUGCGAAUCCGUUUCGCCUAAGUUUGUAAAAAAAAUCCUACCUAGUGGUAAGCCAGCCUUCCACUCGGAGGUUUAGCCGCGAAUCCGUUUCGCCUAAGUAUAAACAAAAUCCUACCGAGUGGUAAGCCAGCCUUCCACUCGGAGGCUUAGCUGUAGCCCAGUGCUCGCCUAAGUUUCUAAAAAUCCUACCGAGUGGUAAGCCAGCCUUCCACUCAGAGGCUUAGCUGCAGCCCAGUGCUCGCCUAAGUUUCUAAAAAUCCUACCGAGUGGUAAGCCAGCCUUCCAUUCGGAGGCUUAGCUGCAGCCCAAUGCUCGCCUAAGUUUUUGAAAAUCCUACCGAGUGGUAAGCCAGCCUUCCACUCGGGGGCUUAGCUGCAACCUAGUGUUCGCUUAAGUAUAAAAGACAACAUGCGCUCCGCAAGGAGGAUGAGGCGCAGGUCUACUCCUGCCUUCUCCUUCCGAGCUACGCCACAAAUACAAUGUGCGCUCCGCAAGGAGGACGAGGCGCAGGUCGACUCCUGCCUUCUCCUUCCGAGCUACGCCACAAAUACAACGUGCGCUCCACAAAGAGGGCGAAGCGCAGGUCGACUGCUAUCUUCCCCUUCGGAGAUACACCUUGGAAAUCCUACCGAGUGGAGAGAAAACCUCUCACUCGGGGGCUUAGCUGCAGCCCAGCGCUCGCCUAAGUUUCUAAAAUCCUACCGAGUGGAGAGCAAAACUCCCACUCGGGGGCUUAGCUGCAGCCCAAUGCUCUCCUAAGUUUCUAAAAUCCUACCGAGGGGAGAGCAAAACUCCCACUCGGGGGCUUAGCUGCAGCCCAGUGCUCGCCUAAGUUUCUAAAAAUCCUAUCGAGUGGAGAGCAAACCUCCCACUCGGGGGCUUAGCUGCAACCUAGUGCUCGCCUAAGUUUCUAAAAUUCUACCGAGUGGAGAGCAAAACUCCCACUCGGGGGCUUAGCUGCAGCCCAGUGCUCGCCUAAGUUUCUAAAAAUCCUACUGAGUGGAGAGCAAACCUUCCACUGGGGCUUAGCUGCAGCACAGUGCUCGCCUAAGUUCCUAAAAUCCUACCGAGUGGAGAGCAAACCUCCCACUCAGAGGCUUAGCUGUAGCCCAGUGCUCGCCUAAGCGUGACGAGCAUGAGUCGAUUGCAAAUUGUGCUUCGUCCCUACCUACAAAAGAACAUCACAGGCACUAAUUUAUAUUCCAAGCAAAGGAUGAUGAUCGUUCGAAGGCGGAAGCAAACAUAUCAAACGACAAACUGAGUUCGGAUAACGUCCUACGGAUCCAGAAGUGCUCAGGCAUCAAGCCUGUUAAGGUUUAUCGGUUACAAAAAUCACUCGGCAUUCCGAGGCAAAUUUAAGGCAUCAAGCAUAGAAGUUUUUUACCCCUCCUGCGGAGGGCUGGAAGGCACAACAAACUCGUCCAGGUCGAUUCCAUCUGCGAUCCGAGUGGCAGCGGCGAUGAAGGUCUCCAUGAAGGAUCGGAAGUCGUGCUUCUUGGUGUUGGCCACCUUGAGAGCUGCCAGCUUGUCCUCUCGCGCAUCCUUGCAGUGAACAUGGACCAGAGAUAGAGCAACGUCGGCACUGCAUCUGCCAGAAGACUUCUUCCAUUCGUGCACUCGACUUGGAACUUCGUUCAGUCGAGUCAUCAAGGACUCAAGGUCGUUCUGAAGUGCUUCUCCUGGCCAGAGCGCCGUGUCGAUGCGUGAUGUCGUAACCUUCAGCCUUGCAAGAUAGUCAACAACAGCAGCAACACGAGAUUCGAGUCGGAGCACGUUCAUGGCAGCUUCAUCCUUCACGGGAGAGUUGAUGGGGUCCAAGCCAGUUUCCACUCGACUAGUCUCUUCUUCAAAGUUUUGACAGAAUUCUGUGGAUAUGGUCCAAGGAUAAGCUAAUGUUCCCAUAAAGUCAGUAAUUACCAGUCAGAUAUUAGGGAUUACCUUCGAGCAUGAGGAGUAACUUCUUGGCGAGCCCUCCCAGAUAAGCCUCCAAGUCACUCUUCUUUCCAGCCAGUUCGCUAGCCUUGUCACUCAGGGCUACCUUCUCAUGCUUCUGUUGAGUGACCUCCUUGUUGGCCGCGUCGAGAGCAGCUUUCAGAGUGGCAUUCUCCUCUUCAAGUUUGCUGACCGAAGCCAACUUCUCUUCUGCAAGUUCGUCUUGUCCGAAGCCGCUUUCUGCGCCUCGACGAGGUCACGGUCCUUCUUCUUCAGAGCAUCCCUCAGUUUAUCUGUAAAAGCACAAUAAGAUCAGACUCGGGGACGGACAAGAAGCAAAGACAGUCGUCAAGAUUCUCGCCAAACAUACCUUUUGCCUCCUCCUUCGCCUUCGUGAAGUUCUCCUGGACAAGCUUCAGGUCAAGUUCGAGCUGGAUAUGCUUGUUCUCCAAUUCGGUAUAACGAGCUGAAAGCUCGCAAGAUCUCUGCAAAAAACCAAUCGACAGACGUCACAGAUAGGUCACUUCUGAGUGACUAAGAGAAAAAUUAUAGUAUUUCUAAGACUACAGCUGAAUCUAAACAUUCAACUGUAGUCUCGGGGACUACACCCAGUGGGUGCACUCAGCGUGCCCCCACUAGUUCUAUCAGCUAGACUCAAAGUCGAUCAGUCGACCAAAAAGGUGUGUGUGUGUUCUUCAGACUAUAGUCGACUGCCAGCAGUCGACCACAGUCUCGGGGACUACACCCAGUGGGUGCACUCAGCGUGCCCCCACCGGUUUACGAUUCCAUUCGACCAGAUCGAGUGAAGACAGUAAUGAGAAAAAAGAAAAACUCAAGACAUAAAGACUAUAGUCCACUGCCAGCAGUUGACCAUAGCCUUGGGGACUACACCCAGUGGGUGCACUCAGCGUGCCCCCACCAAUCCAGAUUCUCAAUCGAUACACCCAGUGGGUGUACAACAGAUACUAAGAUUUUCAGAAAGAAAAGUUUUCAGAUAACAUAUCCUAACAGAACAGGCAGUGAUCGACCAACCUGAACAUUGCUCUGAAGGGCUGAACUGGCGUCAUAAGCUGCUUGACUGGCGUCUCGGAUCUCCUUCACUUUCUCCAUCAUAACCCCCGCCUGGCGUAUGGCUUCUUUAGCAGCGCUCGCUCGGUCUUCAGGGACGUGGUGGGAGGAGAAAAGUGAAGGCUGGCCAGCACUCGACGACGAAGGGCGAGCACUCGUCAGCGGCACCGCAAAGGAUACGGUAGGCCGAGUGACACUGUCACCCUCCGCAACCAACGUCUCAGGUGCCGAUACGACCUGAGCUGCCUUGCCAGCGGACGCUCUCCUAUUCCUCCUCUGCCUCAGUGGUUCCUCGUCUUCAUCAUCAUCAGGAAGAUCAAUGAUGAUAUUAGAUGGAGCUGCAGAAAAGAGUCGAAGUUAAAAACGAAGAUUCCACCAAGUGAAAAUGAAACUUCAAAAGUCAUACCAGGGUUGGAAGUGACGGCAUCCUCCAUUUCUUGAUCAUCAGGUCUGGCCGAGGUAUCAGAAGUAGCAGCACUGCAGUUUCAGAAAUCAGUCAACCAGCUAACGAAUCGACCAAGAAUAAAUCCAUGAGAAACACGAGGACACGAGCUAUGUCAUUACCCAGAAAUAGUGGGAAUCACCAUCUUCAUUUUCGGCAGAGCCUUCGUCGGCCUCGACGGCACCACUCGAGAUUGCUUUGGCGCUUUCUCAGUCGGCGCCGGGGAGGUCGUCCGAGGACGCUGGUCGAUUGCACAGCAGGUGCGGCCCCCUUGCCACGCUCGACCGCAGGGUCAUGAGCAAGCUUGGACCUUCUUUCAAAACGGGGAGGCGCAACUUCCUCCUCCUCUUCCUCCUCCUCCUCCUCAUCGGAGCCAGCAUCUUCAUCACCCUCGUCACCAUCCGAUUCCCACUCCUCUUGACUUUCACCUCCACUUCCCUCCUCCUCCUCAGUUCCUUAUAUAGAGUCGCUUCCGAGUGGCUGACUGGUGGACCCAGGCAAUCCUGUCAAAUCCAGAAACAGUCGCGCGAGGGAUACGUGGCGAAAAAGGCGGCGCGGGAAUCGAGGCGUCUCUGUCUUAUCCCGUCCGAGUACCGCGGCCUUCCCCGCUUCGCGCGCUUCUCGAAAUUUGGAUCCCAGUAAAUCCGCUAACCGCGGGGCAACUUGUCAGACGGAAGAUCUCCUGCGAUCCGUCGCUCGGAGAUCUCCAAGUAUCGAAAGAUCACUCGACCUACAUCCAGAAUGGAUCAAGGCGAUUGAAAAAGAAGUUGAUACCGUCACCUACGGUCAUUUGAUCCAAAACAAGACGUACUCGUAGCAAGAAAGGAGGAGUCGGAAGAAUUCUCAACUCCUUCCUCACUCAAACCUCGAUCCAUUCGGGGGCUAAUGAUGAAGUCAUGUACCUAGGGUAGGGUCAUGGACCUGUCCAAGGUACCCUCCCCCAGGACAUCUUUUGAUGAAGUCAUCUUCCAGUUGACCUAGAGGGACUCCACUCGACUGCCUGGAAGACACUCGACGAACUUGAAGACACUUGACCAUGAAGACUCACUCGACCACCAGGAGUUCAAGAUCUACUAUAUAUCCAAACGGUCUGUAAUUAAGUAGUCUUUAUGGUCAUGACGACACUUUAUGUAGGGCAUUACCAGUAACGCCAGACCUUAAUGUACUUUAACCCUCCGCUGCGUGGGCUGGCUGGGGUCUUGGCAUCCUCUAUAUAAGUCACCCCCCUCCACUGGCAGAAGGGUUCGCACCCCUGUAACUCUCACACAUAUAAUCCAGUCGACCGCCUCCGGGCUCCGAGACGUAGGGCUGUUACUUCUUCCGAGAAGGGCCUGAACUCGUAAAACCCUUGUGUGCACAACUACUCCAUAGCUAGGAUCUUGCCUCUCCUUAGUACCCCCUACAUUACUGUCAGGCUUAGAACCACGGCACCGCCCCCGCUCGUGCCAGGAACCCCCGCCGCCGCGCAGGACCGCCGCCGCCCAGAGACACCACUCGGAAUCGCCCCGUCCCGCGCGGGAGGACACCCAAGAGGGGAAAUACCAGGGGCCGCCGCCGCCAGCGUCGCCCAUGCCAGGCCCACGGCAGGCGCCGGCGCCGACGGCAGGGAGGAAGGAGGAGGGGGAGGCGCGUGGAAGAGGAGGUUGGGCACGGCCGGCCGCCUCGGGCGGCACGGUCGCGGGGGAGGAAAAAGGAGUUCCUUCUGCGCUCUUGGCAGAAUCGCCCUUUGAUUUAGAUAAAUUUCUUGCAAAAGAAAAGAAAAAAGAAAGUGCACGACCUCCUUCCUAAAAAAACAAACAAAGCAUCCUCUAAGAUCUUUCUCCUUCGAGUCUGGGCGAAGGUCACUUCUUGGCUUGGACUCCGUCACAUCAUGAACGGAUUGGUAUCUUAUGGCCUCGGUGAAGGAGUGGCCGAUUGAGAUGGCUAGUACGAGAGACCAAACACAGAAAGGCCAUCUCCUCCUUGAAGAUGUUUGUUACAUGGGAAAUCUGGAAAGAGCGGGAUGCCAGAGUUGUCCGCAACCUCAGUGCCCCCACUAUUGUGAUUGUGACGACGAUCAAGGAGGAGGCCCGACUUUUGGCAUUGGCAGGAGCUGCGCAUUCACCACGGCCCGCACAGUCUUCUAGUACUGGACAACGUCCCUCUGCAGCAGGUUGAACCCCGUCUCCCCGGGAUCUGCCCACGCACGCCAUGACGGUGACGACGGUAGUGUUCCUAUGGUCAGGGGAGAGCACUGGGGCAGAGGAGAGGGUUCGAGCGUGUGGGGGGAGGGGGUGUGGGGCGGCAGGGUCGCGCGGGAGCGGUGGAAUGCCGCGGUGGCGCGCAGAGAAGCCGUAGGCGGCAGUGGCGGUGCCAGAACUGCAAUCUUGUGUAGUCAUUUUCAAAUUGUGUAGUCAAGUAUAUAAAUUCGAACAAAAAAAUUCAACAUUUUUGCAGCUGGGUGGUCAAUUGACUACCCAGUUGAUGAGUGGCUUCGCCACUGGUCGGCGGAGAGUCCAGUGCGGCGCGCGAGGGGAACGAGAAAGGGGANNNNNNNNNNNNNNNNNNNNNNNNNNNNNNNNNNNNNNNNNNNNNNNNNNNNNNNNNNNNNNNNNNNNNNNNNNNNNNNNNNNNNNNNNNNNNNNNNNNNNNNNNNNNNNNNNNNNNNNNNNNNNNNNNNNNNNNNNNNNNNNNNNNNNNNNNNNNNNNNNNNNNNNNNNNNNNNNNNNNNNNNNNNNNNNNNNNNNNNNNNNNNNNNNNNNNNNNNNNNNNNNNNNNNNNNNNNNNNNNNNNNNNNNNNNNNNNNNNNNNNNNNNNNNNNNNNNNNNNNGGGGUUCCAGACUGUUGGUCGGCGUUAUUUGUCGACCGAUGAAUGGAUGCGCAUGGGAGUUUUCCCGACCCACAGAUCGACAAUAAAUGUGCUUGUAUUCCCGUCCGAUGGUCUGUUGUUGUCCACAGGUUUUCCCAACCAUCUGUCACAACAUUUCCCAACCAACUGUUGAUCGACGAUGGUAUUUUUUCCCGACACACGUUUGUAGGGAAUGCAGUGUCGAGCGUUGACCUUUGUCCUUGCCUUUGCUUUGCUGGCAGGGUUGCUUGAGCUGGUCUUCGCUAUAGUGCCAAGGUGUUUGGCCAAGUCAAAGGUACUGGCAUGCUGGUAGAACUUGGCGACCUGAUGGGAUUUCUCGAGCUCGAGCUUGGUGGCUAUGACGGCCGAACUGAGCUAACUCGAAAGGACCUACACAUCCAUGAAUGCAUAUUUUGCCGCCACUUUUAUUUUAUCGCAGGGUUUGUAGUUAGACUUAUUGUUUGUAUCGGACUUAUUGUGUAUGAAAAUUAUUGUAAUAACUCUUAAACUGGUAUUGAAAUAGUUUACUUUCUUUAUGAUGUGAAAUCCUAUGGAUGUGGAUGUAUACUUAUUAUGAUCCUAGGAGAGUAUGUUGAACAUAUCCACGGUAUGGAUUCUCCUUUUAAAUCUUCUUUUGUCAUCAGGUUAAUUGCCUUAAGUGGUGGUUAGCACCACAUGAUUAAGGUAGAUUAUGAUUAGAGUAAUCUGCUCCAUUACAGUAACCCUCUAACCCAUUAUUGCCAUUCUUAUAGCUAUAGUGUGUUUUGCUAACUAGGUCCUUAUUUGUGUAGUUUACAACGGAUUCAAAUAACCAUACACAGCACACAAGCGAUGGAGCGCAGAGGAGCCCUACAAGCAAUGUUCUUGGUUCUUCACCAUCGAGAAACAAUUCGUUCUUUAGCCUUUAUCAUAUGAUUAUGUUGGUUGCCGGCAUGCGGAGGGGUUUGGGACUCAUGAUCGAGGAUUGGGAUAUAUGUUAUGUGGAUUGGGCUGAAAUGAAUGAUAUGUGUUGAUUUGUGUGUAAAUGACGUCCCAACGGCUCCCACUGCAGGGGAGACUUUGCUGAUUUUUUUCUUCUAAUUACCGUACUUAUUUUAUACUCAGUAUGGGUUUAUGCUCAUUGGUUGAUGCGGGUUAAGAUGUAGCCACUCUUCUUUUGUCACCCUGCUUCUUCAUACUCCGCUUGCAAAAUCCGGCUAUUUUUCUAUCCUUUUGUCAUAUGAUUAUGUUGGUUCCACUAUGAGGAGAGUUUGGGCCUCGAGACCGAGGAUUGAGACAUCUUAUUGUGUGGGUUGGUCUGAAAAGAAUGAUAUGUGUUGAUUUGUAUGUAAAUGAUGUCCAACGGCUCCCGUACAUUUUUUAACUUCCGAUCUAUUCCUCUUCAAUCAUGGUAGUACAACGAAGACCAGAAAUAAUAAAAAUUACGUUCAGAUUCGUAGACCACAUAGUUACAACUACAAACACUGAAGCCUAAUAGAAAAGCGUAGUAGAGGCAUUCGGAAAACGUUGUAAGUGGCGUGGACUGGAGAAGCCGCUAGUAUGACGCCGCUGAUAAGGCUCACUAGUGGCGCCGACUUCCAACGCUCGUAGAAACUUGAUAUUACUGGCAUCGGCGGCCAACGCCGCUGAUAGCUUUAGUACUGCUGGCGCGGGUCGGCCGAUGCCACAUGUACUUAUUGUAUUCGUUGUAUCGGGUAAAAAACAACACCACUAUAAAAUAUGACAGAACAAUAAAAAUCUGGUAAAUCACAUUGCAAAGAUGGAAAUCAUAUCGCAUUGCAUAUGAAACCACAAGGCUUUUGCCGUGUGCCAAAGACAUUCAAAUCCGGUAGUGAACUUUGUCUUGUUGUAUAUUUGGACGGCGUCUUUUGAAAGAGAAAACAUCACACAUGAUUUCUUUUUCACUAAACUCCAUUGGCCUCGUUGAUAUGUUCGUUCUCUUCUUUUCCAAUCUUGUGUAUGCAUUCGCUAUAUUCUCUUGAUUCUUGAGCACUCCCAUUUAAUGAUUUCCUCACGCAAAGGUGGACAUAUCGUGCCAAGAUGAAUCUUGCAUUCCUAGUUUUCUUUGCAUAAACUAAGAUGGGAUCCUCUGACAAACUGUGGGUUUUAUUUAGAACUUGAAAAGCUGACAAUUAUGCAAACAAAUCCGCACGACACUGUUGGAAGUUAAAAAAAAUAGUUGUGAUGUGUCAGCAUAAUAUAUACAAGCCCACAAGCCACUCAUGUAGAUGAUAUGAUGGACGGCUAGGGUUUUAUGUCCGUUCUGUGGACCUCUUUCCAUUUCCGCUGCCACAUAUAUGAACCAAAGAUGUAGCUAAUUUUGUCUAUGUGGUAGAGAUUAACAAACUAUGGGUUGUAAUCACAAUGUUUAGAUGCAUGCCAAAAUACAUCGCCGCACUGGAUGAAGAAAAAUGACGUGGAAGCCCAAGCUAUAGGCACUAGACAGAAGCCACCCACGUAGAUCAUGAACAACUUAUGUCUGUUUCCUUGCACCUUUUUAUCUUUAUCUAGCUAUAUAAACCGUCCACAGAUCAAGAGUGUAGUUAUCCAUAUACAGAACCAUUUAAGAUAGUACUAAAUCAGAGACAGAAAGUCUGUUCGCAGAGGAACAAAGUCGAUGAAGAUCGUGUUCUCGGUGCUCCUGCUAUGUAUGCUCGUGGCGACACCCAUAGCGUCCGAGUACGGCGCAUGGAGCUAUAACAGUGGUCCCUGGAUGUGCUAUCCGGGGCAGGCCUUCCAGGUGCCCGCGCUCCCUGGCUGUCGUCCAUUGCUGAAGCUCCAGUGCAAUGGCAGCCAGGUGCCCGAGGCCGUCCUAAGGGACUGCUGCCAGCAGCUCGCCGAUAUCAGUGAGUGGUGCAGGUGCGGUGCCCUCUACAGCAUGUUGGAUAGCAUGUAUAAGGAGCAUGGCGUGUCGGAGGGACAGGCGGGGACAGGCGCAUUCCCAAGCUGCCGGAGGGAGGUGGUGAAGCUGACGGCGGCGAGCAUCACGGCGGUCUGCAGGCUACCCAUCGUCGUUGAUGCGUCCGGAGAUGGAGCGUAUGUCUGCAAGGAUGUGGCCGCAUACCCGGAUGCCUAGUCAAGCGAAUGAGUAGCUAAUAUGUUCUGUGAUACAUCUGCCUCUUAAUUUAUGGGUUGCGCACAAGCUGAAUAAAAUGGUGUAUUCACCUAUGCGAAAUGCAUCGUUAAUGAAUAAAAACGAAGUUCCCUGUUGAUCGAGAAAUUUCAAUCCAGCAUACAAAAGAAUAAGUAGACGCAUGCCCUGUGAUCGAUCUUUUGGAGCCUUUGGCUAUAUCGUAGCCAGCUAUUAUUGUAAGAGUGGCAUCCGGGUGCUCGUCCAUGAUUAGGUUGUAGAUGUCAGAUCACUUGUACAGACAGACACAUUAUGCUGAUGCCGUUCUUAAUCGAGUAGAAGAAUUCCAUGGUCACAAAUAGAUCAGAGAAGAGAUGGUUGACCACACAAAUAGAUCAGAGAAGCGAUGAUCAUAUUGGGUCAGGAUGUACAUACCUAUGUUCCUCCUUGAUGUAGGGAACAUCCGGCACGGCCUUGCGCCACUCCUUGCUGCCCGCAACGCGGCCAUGCCCUGCCCUAGGGUUCCGCGACGACGGCGGCGACGGCGUCCCACAACCACACCCUCCCAUGGGUCCUGCCUUGAUGUGGGGUUCCGCAGUGGUGGCGGAGGUCUCGGAGGCCGCGUUGACGCCGGGGCCAGAGAAGCAAGACGUUAGCGGCGGAGGCGGCGGAAGAUUCUGCAGUCCCGGAGGCAGCGUUCACACCUAGGAAAUAGAUCGAGGGAGUAUCUCGAUCGAGAGAGGAGUACAGGGGGGCCUCGUUCCUCUGAUUUUGUUUAGUGGGACGGGGCUCAGUUCCUUGUUUUUUUUUUGGCUAGGUGUGAGGGGAAGCAGUGUGGUGGGAGGGGGGAAGGAAAAAACCAGUCGAAAAAAACCGAACGAAAAUCCUACCAACUGCUUCAUUAGGAAUAAAGAUUAGUGUGUUCCUUUUUUAUUCUUGCAUGCAAAGAUUUAAUGUGUCUCGAAAACUAAAAAUGAGAUGGAGUGAGCCCUUUAAAUUGGAAAAAACAAAAAAAAUUGAGAUAAACCCUAUAAACCGGGAAGGAGGGAGCAGGUCCUUGUUUGUGUAGCUUACAAUGGAUUCAAAUAACCCUGCACAGCACACAAGUGAUGGAGCGCAGAGGAGCACUGCAAGCAAUGUUCUUGGUACCAUCGAGAAAUGGUUAUUUCUUUUGCAGGGGAGAGAAAUGGUUAGUUCUUUAGCCUUUAUCUUUUGAUUAUGUUGGAUGUCGGCAAGAGGAGCUGUUUGGGACUCAUGACGGAGGAAUGGGAUAUAUUAUUAUGUGGGUUGGGCUGAAAUGAAUGAUAUGUGUUGAUUUGUGUGUAAAUGACGCCCCAACGGCUCCCGCUACAGGGGAGACUUUGCUGUUGAUUUUGUAAUUAACAUACUUAUUUUAUACUUAGUAUGUGUUUGUGCUCAUUGGUUGAUGUCGGUUAAGAUGUCGCCACUCUUCUUGUGACACCCUGCUUCUUCAUACCCCUCUUGCAAAAUCCGGUUAGUUUUCUUGCCUUUUGUAAUAUGAUUAUGUAUUUUUAGGGUUGUAAUAUGAUUAUGUUGGUUGCCAGCAUGACGAGGGCUUUGGGCCUCAUUGUAAACGAAGGAGAAGUAGAUUGGAUCGGCGCGCCCAACAUGGUGGCCUCGGGAUGUAUUUAUAUGGGUGCAACUAGGGCACAAAUUACAGGUUAUUACAGGAGAUAAGUACAGACUCCUAGAUCACAACAAUAUACAAUUUAACAUCCCCUCUCCAUCUGAACUUCCUUCGCGAAGAUUCAGAUUGUAUCUAUUUAAGACACAUGGUGCCUCAUCUAGUGGUUUGGUGAAGAUGUCAGUAACUUGUUCCUUGGAAGAGAUGAACCUAACAUCCAAUGCUUGGCUGCAACUUUUUCUCGAACAAAGUGGAAAUCCACCUCUAUAUGCUUGGUUCUGGCAUGAAACACCGGAUUUGCAGACAAAUACGUGGCACCCAGAUUGUCACACCACAAGAUUGGAGGUCAUGACAUAAAGAUUCCAAGUUCACCAAGAAGUGACUGUAUCCAAAUUAUCUCAGCCGUACCAUUGGCAAUGGCCUUGUACUCAGACUCCGUGCUUGAUCGUGAGACUGUGGCCUGCUUUCUGGAGCUCCAAGAGACAAGGUUGGGACCAAGAAAAACAGCAAACCCUCCUGUAGACCUGCGAUCGUCACUACAUCCGGCCCAGUCCACGUCAGAGAAGCAACUCAACACCAUUGAAGAUGACUUGCUGAUGGAUAGACUCAUACCACGAGUGUACUUCAAAUACCUCAAGAUCCUUUUUGCGGCCGAAAAAUGUGCAGUCGUCGGUGCAUGAAGGAACUGACAAACACGAUUCACAUCAAAAGAAAUAUCCGGCCUGGUCAACGUCAAAUACUGAAGUGCCCCAAGUAGGCUGCGGUAUUUAGUACUGUCAUCCUGAAAGAGAGGUGCCCCGCUAUCCUUGCUGAUUUUCUCACUCGAGGACAUGGGAGUAGUAGAAACCUUACAACUCUCCAUGUUAGCACGGUGAAGAAUGUAGCCAAUGUACUUCUGUUGAGAGAGCACAAUCCCCUGUGGCGACGACUUCACCUCAACCCCAAGAAAAAAUGCAAGGGACCAAGAUCCUUGAGAGAAAACGUGGCAUGAAGAUCAGCAAGUAGCUUAGUUGUUGUAGUAGGCGAUGAGCUAGCCACAAUGAUGGCAUCCACGUAGACAAGCAUAAACAUGGUGACACUGCCACGAUGAAAAAUAAACAAAGAAGUUUCUGCUUUAGACGCCACAAAACCAAGUUGAAGAAGUCGCGAGCUUAACCGAGAAUACCAGGCUCUGGGGCCUGUUUGAGUCCAUAGAUGGCUUCCCUCAGCUUGCACAGAUACCGAGGAGCAGUAGGGUCCACAAAUCCAGGAGGUUGUCGCAUAUACACCUGUUCCUGAAGAACUCCAUGAAGAAAUGCAUUCUGGAAAGAACUAGCCGAAUAGUAGCUGGUUUGACAACCGGACUGAACGUAUCAUCAUAAUCGAGACCAUACCGUUGCUUGAACCCUUUCGCAACAAGAUGAGCCUUGUGACGAUCAACGGUGCCAUCAGCCUUGUACUUGACCUUGAAAACCCACUUGCAGUCGAUCACAUUGACAUGAGGUGGUGGUGGAACUAAGGUCCACGUACCAUUGUGACGAAGGGCAUCAAGCUCAAACUGCAUAGCGGCACGCCAAGCAGGAGAUUCCAUGGCCUCACGAUGAUCACUGGGUUACAUGGAGACCAGAAACACAUGCCUAGAUGGAUCAUAGUUGACAGUACCAUCCGUAUGGUGCGCAACUUUGCGAGUAUGAUCACGUGUGCGUGUCACCAUUGCAAUGGCAGGAGGUGCAGUGGACCCAGGUGUCGGUGUCAAAACCGGCAGAUCUCGGGUAGGGGGUCCCGAACUAUGCGCCUAAGGCUAAUGCUAACAGGAGGCGAGGGACACGAUGUUUACCCAGGUUCAUGCCCUCUCGAUGGAGGUAAUACCCUACUUCUUGCUUGAUUGAUCUUGAUGAUAUGAGUAUUACAAGAGUUGAUCUACCACGAGAUCGAAGAGGCUAAACCCUAGAAGCUAGCCUAUGAUUAUGAUUGUUGUCCUCCUACGGACUAAACCCUUCGGUUUAUAUAGACACCAGAGGGGGAUAGGGUUACACAGGGUCGGUUACAGAGAAGGAGAUCUACAUAUCCGAACCGCCAAGCUUGCCUUCCACGCCAAGGAGAGUCCCAUCCGGACACGGGACGAAGUCUUCAAUCUUGUAUCUUCAUAGUCCAACAGUCCGGCCAAAGUAUAUAGUCCGGCUGUCCGAGGACCCCCUAAUCCUGGACUCCCUCAGUAGCCCCUGAACUAGGCUUCAAUGACGAUGAGUCCGACACACAGAUUGUCUUCGGCAUUGCAAGGCGGGUUCCUUCUCCGAAUACUCCAUAGAAGAUCUCGAAUACGAGGAUCGUGUUCGGCUCUGCAAAAUAAUUUCCACUCACCACCGUAGAGACCACAAUAUUCCACAAAUCUAAUCCGCUAACAAGUUUUCCUAGCGUGACAUCACCCCGCGGCCCGGCCCUUACGAACCGGUUUUCCCAACCUGGCAUUACACGUAUUGCGAGGUGGUUUUAUUGGCACGUCUUGUCGAAGCAAAGAUCGUGUUCCCCUUAUUACGGGAUUCUCAUCAAUACGGGUGUGGGUAACCCAACUACGCUUGUUAGUAUAACUCCUUGAUUUUAGGCAAGUUCCAAAUGGUCACGCCGAGGACGCUUGAUAUUCACCCCCUUUAUAGAGGGACCGAGGCAUGUCCCUUUCUUCCCACACUUGCUCCUUCCCCCACCUUGAGUUCCAACACCCAAAGCUCAGGCUUAAGCGCUUUAGACCUUCAAUCAUGUCCGGAUCCAACCUUGAAGGUCGGUGGAUGGCCUCCCCUGUCACAGAGGAGGACAUAGAGAAGCUCAGGGAGGCCAGGUAUUUGACCGCCGAAAUCCCGCACAGGCUACCUGCUCAAGGGCAGGUCAUCCCCACUCCCGAACCCAACAAGAGCGUUGUAUUUGUUUCCCACUUCCUCCAAGGCUUAGGCUUUAGUCUUGAUCCCUUUGUUAGAGGGCUCAUGUUCUAUUACGGGCUAGAUUUUCAUGAUCUAGCUCCGGACUCCAUCCUUCACAUCUUGUCGUUUAUCGUCGUGUGUGAAGCCUUCCUCCAUAUCACCCCACACUUCGGCCUAUGGCUCAAGACCUUCAAUAUAAAGCUGAAGGUGAUCGACGGGAGAUAUGCGGAGUGCGGAGGCGCUAUAAUAAGCAAAAGCGCCGAUGCCCCAUGGCCAUAGGGUUCCUUCUCGGAGGUGUCCGACUUAUGGCAGCGAAGGCGGUUCUAUAUCACAGCUCCCCAAGGCACAAAGUGGGCGGCCGCCCCCGCCUUCCGCUCGGGCCCUCCGCCUCAACUGGCGUCAUGGGUCAACGAGGGACUGGAUUGGGGGGCCAGCUAAUGACGUACCGGCAUUGCAAGGCCGCAUUCGGGAUCUUCUCGAGAGGGAUGUCAGUCUUGUCAAGGUAAUGCAAGUAAUGCUAGUUCGUCGGGUCCUGCCGUGCCAACGUCAACCUGUCUGCAUGUGGGAGUUCAACCCGGAAGGACCGUGAACUAUUCAACAAUUCUUCGGCAUGACGCUCGAAGGGAUGUACAGGUUGUUCUUCGGAUCACGAAUAAAGUGUCCGGACACCACCGAGGACGCGGGUCUUAACUGCAACCGUCUAGAUACUCAAGUAAGUAACUUCGCAACCGAACAUGCUGUCUUUAUAUGUGACACAACACCAAUCUGAAAAAACGAUCUUGUCCGGGACUGGAUACGGAAGGCAGAGAGGAUCAGAUGUUCGGCCCCUCUUCCCGAAGGCUCGCCGGAUCCUGUACUAGUCAGGAUGCUUGAGCGCGCACCCUAUCAAGUGCCAUGAGGAGAAGAUGAAGGGAGGAAUAAAGAAGCCGAAAGCGGGCUUCAUACAUUGCACAUCCAAACCGGGGGAAUUAACGUCUCCACGAAGGAGAAUAAUCGAGGAGGUGAAUCUAAAAUUCCCUUCCCCCGUGGGAAGAAAAGGGGCACCUCCGAAGACUUGGAAGUGGAUGUGUCCAAACAAGGGAAGAAACCCUCGCCAGGGGGCCCUGCCCCAGAGGGCGUCCUCACCGCACAGCGCCCGCAAACGGUCCAGCCCUCCACCGAGCUGUAAGUGAAUUAAAAGUAUUUUGAUAAAUAUAUCUUGCUUUAUCUCUAAGAAUAAUAACCGAGACCUAUCUUGCAGUCCGGAUCAUAGCCCUUCUCAAUAGAGUUCGUCCUCGGGGGAUCUUCUUCCGAAGAUGAUGGAGAGCGAAAUGCCUCCUCCUGCCUCCCCACCCCAUGGGGCGGACGACCCCGAGGUGUCGUCACGGAGGAUUUCUCCUGAUCCACUAAGGCCAGAAGUUAAUGCUUCGGCCGCCUGAAGCCCGGAGUAUUCGGCUCCCAGGGAGAGCAACUAGAAGAGUCCGGGAUUGUCCGACACACAGCCGGACACAUUGACAGGCCUUCUAGAGCGAGCGGCUAUCUCAGAGGAGCACCGUACUUUAAUGGGUACGGUGUUUGAGAGGAUUUCAUCCACCAGAAGCAGGUUGAAUGACGCUUUUAUGAGUCUGCUCAAAGGCUUUGAGGUACGCAAAGUAAUAUGUAAACUUUCGGCUGUACCGCACACGCUAGGUGUGUUCCGUAUAUAUAGUAGCCCCUGAGACUCUGGUUGCCAGCCCGAGGCGGCAAACGGAGGAUCAUACUCCCCAGUAAUGAUCGCGCUGCGUUAUGUGCAGACAGUUGAGGGUCUGGCGGUUGACCGGACUGCUGAAUUCGCCGAACUGAAGCGACAGCUUGAUGUGGCGGAUGCCGACAUCGCGCUUGUGAACAAGCAUCUUGACGAGGCACAGGGUAUGUGUUUUUCAGUAUUGUGAGCAACUAUUAAGAGGAGCAUGAUGCUAGUAUCUAUAAUAUGUUGUGGCUGCAGAUGGAGCUGCUGCCGUGGAGGCCCUUCGGGGGGAACUUGCCCUAGCCAAGCAACAAGCCAGGAUAAGUGAUGCGGCCGCCCUAAAGGCGGGCGAAGAGUUAAGAGCCGAGCAGGCUGCUCAUUGCUGGAGCAAAGAUAAAAUAGACGAGAUGGCUGUUGAGCUGAAAGAUGCCACCGGCCAAUAUGAGCUCCUUGAAAAGAAGAGACAAGCGAAAGCGGCUGACCUGAAGAAGGCCUUGGAAGCAGCCAAGGAAACACGCUCUGAAAUCAGAGCUACACGAGAGGAGCUUCGACAAGCCGGAGAUAUCACGGCUGGGAGGCCCUUUUUGUUGCGGAUAAAGUUCGGAGAUCCAAAGUAUGCUCCUCUGUAUCAAUUAAGGAGUGCUGCAGACGCAUAUGCAAACCUGACAAAGAGUACUGCUGAUGCGACUAAGUUUUUCAAAGAUCAGAAAGAUCAUGAGGUAGAAAGGUUGUUCUGGUCGCAGUUCGGUGCCCCAAUGCGUCCGCUGCCAUUGAAUGAAAAGCUGGCCGCAUGGGCCAAGCUCCAUAGGUUGUCCGGGCUUGCCAUGAGGUCUGUCAUGGAUCAUCUUUGGCCGAAGGGACCAAGGCCGGACAGUUAUUUUAGUUUAGUGCAACAAUUCCUUGGUGUUGUGUCGCAUAUCGAUGCUGUGAAGAGGUCGGCAUGCAUAGAGGGUGCGCGGAUGGCUCUUGCCCGUGUUAAAACAUUUUGGGCAGGGAUGGAGGCCACGGGUAUUGCAACCCGGGGUCCGGCGGAAGGCCAGGACCUGGCCGAGCACUAUUUUGAACAGGUCUUAGAAGGCGCCCGUUUAAUAGAGGCUCAGUGCUCAAAGAGUAUCAUGUUCGAGUGACAUAUAUCUCAAUUGUAAAGACAAUGCUAUUUUGAUUAUAAAGGUUGUGUUUAUACUUUUGUCCGAAAGUAUUGUAGUGCCUCCUGUGCGGCCGUUUAUGUAUGUAUAUAACCUGAAAGUUUGGAGUCGUUGGCUUCAGCCCCCACGGAUAUAAUGCGGGGGUGUUCGAAAAAGGCGCGUAAUCACACUUGAUCCAACGUCUUGGUCCAUUAAGGAGGUGAUCGCACGUCGAACUAGGCAACCGGACUAUAUAGCUUUAACACUUUCACUUAGCCAUAGAAGUUUGACGGUGGGGCUACUAUAUAGCCCCUGGUACUUCCGCGUUCAUCCGAAUAUGGUGUGCGUACGUACAUGACCGGGAAACCGGUCCUUCAUUAAUGCGGAGGAAUCCCUAAGAUUCCGCUAAGUCAUCGAGUGGUUGACCAGUCUCUCGCUGUAUCAUGACAGUCAGUUUUCGGCUUUCUCUACUGAGGUGCUCAUCCGGAAUAACCAGGGCACAAUCGCAGUAGUUCUCGGUUGGCCGCCUUAGCCGAUAAAAUGGAACGUAAGGUAGCAAAACCCAGGAGCCGGGCAAACCCAACAUUUGACCAAAGACAUGAUUCGGAGCUGAUGCAUAUAAGGCCAAACUCGCGACGCCGAACACUCCCGAAGGUAUUCGGACUUUGUAACAUAUAUUGGGCUGAGUAACGCCCUGAAUAAUGAACCCCGAAUUUCCAGGUACGUGCAUUAUUCUGUCGUUGCGAAAUGCCAAUAACGCCAGUAUCCCUCGUGGGUGUAUUAAUUACCCUGGGGAUGUCAAGCAACAAGAGACAUUAAAGAAGGUUUAUACAUGGGCUUAAUCUAAAGAGAAACCUUUGAGCGGGGCCCAGCUACACGUCUAUGCCUUUGUCUCUGUUGUGCCGUACCCUGGAAGGGUGUAGCACGAUGGUCAUCUAUAAAAAAGGAAAAACCCAGGUAAAAGAGUCUGGUGUAAUCGUGCGAGAAGUUGGUUAUUCUCAAUGAAUCAUUAAAAUGCAAUAUAUUAUUAUAUUAAUAGGGUCAAGCCGAACUGUUGGCUUUUUUACAUACGGGCAACCCCUAGCACCGCUUAUGGGGGUAUGUCCAUAGACCCAAGCUCAGGUUUAUCUGGGUUGUUACAACCGGCAGUGCGCUGGACUCAUCUAACCGUGUCCGUGGUCUUAACGACCGGUCAUGUAUUCUAGUUGGAGAGGCCGCUCAGUGUUCAGCUGCAAGAGCCGCCACAUAUUCUUCCACGCGUAAGGAACGCUCUAUGUUUUCGUUUACUGUGAUGACGCCACAUGGACCAGGCAUCUUGAGUUUAAGGUAAGCGUAGUGCGGUACUGCGUUGAAGCGAGCAAAGGCCGCUCUUCUGAGUAGUACGUGAUAGCCGCUUCGGAAUGGAGGAAUGUCGAAGAUUAAUUCUUCGCUUCUGAAGUUGUCGGGAGAACCGAAUAUAACCUCUAGUACUAGAGAGCCCGUGCAGCGGGCCUCAACACCUGGUAUUACUCCUUUAAAGGUAGUAUUACUUUGGCUGAUUCUUGACGGGUCUAUCCCCAUUUUGCGGACAGUGUCCAUGUAUAUUAGGUUAAGACUACUACCGCUGUCCAUAAGGACUCUGGUGAGAUGGUAUCCAUGACUUAUUGGGUCGAGCACCAAGGCAGCCGAUCCCCCAUGCCGGACACUGGUCGGAUGAUCCCUGUGAUCAAAAGUGAUCGGCAGGCCGACCAAGGGUUGAAUUUGGGGGCGACGGGCUCUACAGCGUAUACUUCUCGGAGUGCGCAUUAGCGCCUUCUCUUCGGUAUAUGAGUUGCGUAGAUCAUAUUCAUUGUUUUGACUUCUGGUGGGAAUUUUUUCUGUCCCUCAGUGUUUGGCUGGCGAGGCUCAUCCUCGUCAUCACUUGGUGUCUCCCUUCCUUUGUGUUCGGCGUUUAGCUUGCCAGCCUGCUUGAAGACCCAGCAUUCUCUAUGGGUGUGAUUUGCAGGUUUUUCGGGGGUGCCGUGAAUUUGACAUAAUCUGUCUAGAACCUUGUUUAGGCUGGACGAUCCCUCUCUGCUACCUUUAAAUGGCUUUUUCCAUUGACCGGGUUGAGAGCCCCUGAAUCCGGUGUUGACCGCCGUGUUAUCUAGACUGUCUUCAUUGUUUCGAUGCUUGUUUUUAUUGCGCCACGACUUCCCGUUGCCAUCCCUGAUUUCGGAUGUGCCUGGGUCGUUGGUGCCUCUACGAGCCAACCAGCUGUCCUCUCCCGCGCAAAAGCGGGUCACAAGGCUUGUUAGGGCCGCCAUUGUCCUUGGCUUUUCUUGGCCAAGGUGUCUGGCGAGCCAUUCGUCUCGGAUACUGUGCUUGAAAGCCGCUAAGGCUUCGGCAUCCGGGCAAUCGACUAUUUGAUUCUUCUUAGUGAGAAAUUUGUUCCAAAGCUUAUGGGCUGACUCUCCGGGUUGUUGGAUUAUGUGACUUAAAUCAUCUGCAUCCGGAGGUCAGACAUAGGUCCCUUGAAAAUUGGCCCUUAAAGCAUCCUCAAGUUCCUCCCAACUUCCAAUUGAGUUUUCGGGGAGGCUUUUCAACCAAUGUCGAGCUAGUCCUUUCAACUUCAGGGGCAAGUAUUUAAUGGCAUGGAGAUCAUCUCCGCGAGCCAUGUGUAUAUGAAGGAUAAAGUCCUCAAUCCAUACCCUAGGGUCUGUCGUUCCGUCGUAUGCCUCUAUAUUCACGGGUUUGAAUCCCUGUGGAAAUUCAUGAUCCAGCACUUCAUCGGUGACGCACAGGUGGUGCGCGGCACCUCUGUAUCUAGACAUGUUGUGGCAUGCUGUUGACGGCUGUUGUGCUUGGUGUUGAUUUUGAGCUGGUAUUUGAUAAAUAUGAUCAUUUUUGUAUAUGUAAUCAUGAGUCGGAGCGCGCUUUUUGGGUCCGUAGAUGGACCUGUUUACCCCUACUUUUUGUCCAGGAGCUCACGUAGAAAGUGUGCUGACUUGUGUGCGGCAUCAUUGGCCGCCCUGUCGCGGCCAUGGGGUGGCUAGUCCGGCUGAUCGGCCAUAUAUUUUUCCGGCGGAAUGGGCUCUAUGGCCUCCUCGUCGAAUUUGGGCAGCAGCUUGUGCUUUGGGUAGCUCUUUGUGUGGCGAUCGUCGCCGUAUUUUUCUUCAGUGUCUAGCACUUUAUUCCAUCUGCGACACUUUGUUCCAUCUGUGAUUGAGCAUAUCUUACGCAGCCUUAAGCCUUUGCUUCUGCUUCUUCAGGCUCCUUGCGGUGGCCAUAAGCCUUCUAUGGAGGUUCUCUUGUUCCAAACGUUUUUCCAGGAUGAUGUAUGCGUCGUCUUUCGGACUAUCCUCCUCUUCGGAGGCAGGUUGAUGAGUUUUACCCUCGGGAUCGCUGUGAUCGGACACCUGCUCCGGGCUAUGUUCGGCGUCCACUAGCUCAUCCUGCUCCAUCGCUGGGUCCAUGGGGUCGUCGUUUCCUUUGGAGUCGACUGGGGUGUUAUUUUUUCUUGCGCUAUUAUCGCUAUUUUUACUGUGGCUGGAUUUGGAGCGGCGCCUGCACCGUUGCUUUGGUUUCUGCCCAGGGGGAUUAUCCUCUGUUACAUCCUUUUUGUCGUCGUUCUUCUCCUUGGGUGUGUCCACCAUGUAUAUAUCAUAUGAUGAGGUGGCUGUCUAGCGCCCCGUGGGCGGUGGUUCCCGAUCAUCUCCAGCAUCGACGUCUAUACCGUCGAUGUCUUCGGAGUCGAAGUCAAGCGUGUCGGUUAAGUCAUCGACAGUGGCUAUUAAGUGGGUGGUGGGUGGGUAGGGAAUUUCUUCGUCGUCCACAUCCCACUCGGGCCGGACAUAGUCUCUAAAUUCAUUGAGGUCCCAUUGAGGUUUCUGCUUGGGGGGAUUAUCCUCCGUUGCAUCCCUAGCCAAGAGUCUCCUGAUAAAGAGAGAGACCUCAAUGAAAUUAGCAAGUCGCCCAAGGGGGAGUGUUGAAAGAUAUCCACGGAGGUAAACUCCAUGAUCGGUGCCCAAUCAGAUUCGAUAGGUAUCGACGUGUCACGACCGGUUUUUCAAUAAAAUAAUUAUUGAGAAAAUCGAUCUUUAAAUCCCAGUAUAGGAAAAGUCAUCCUCACUGGUAGACAAAAUACUUGAUGAACAGAGGACCAGUAGCAUUAAAUAUAUUACAGAGUUGAGCUAAGGCUGCUCAACAAUUUAUUACAAACUCGCCAAUAUCCUACAUAAGGGCGGUUAUGUCACAUGGAUGUGGUGGCAUGCUACUAGCUCGAGGUAAAAAGUGGUGGAUAACUUAACUCCUAACUGGCAGCUCAUCGAGCGUUGAGGUGAGGCUCGAUGAAUUUAUUUCUGGGGUUGCGGAAGCGGAUAAUACAAUGACCAAACAGGAUCGCACGGGACUGACUGGGACUCCUCUAGGCGUCGGACUCGCUAUCAAACUCUUCAUCCAUGAGAUCGCCUUCAUCAACAUCUGGCCAAAUCAACAAGCCAGGUGAGUACUUUGAAAGUACUCGCAAGACAGUUCGGACAAAGGAUAUAAUCAAUGAAUGCAUGAAUGCGCCACGAAUAAAAAUGAUGCUCAUACAUCAAUAAUAAUAUUUAUGCACGACUCGAUAAGUAAGCAAAUAAAUGAAACCGAUCGGGUGUCUGGAGCAAUGCCUCAAAAGGUAAACAAAUAAAACUCAUGCCGCAGUCGGGCGUCUAAGCGACACCACAUAAAGGGCUUUAAAAGAAAUGCCACAGUCGAACGUCUGAGCGACAUCACAUAAAGGGCUUUAAAAGAAAUGCCACAGUCGGACGUCUGAGCGACAUCACAUAAAGGGCUUUAAAAGAAAUGCCACAGUCGNNNNNNNNNNGGUUAUUUGCAAAAGUGAGAUCUGAUAGAGACAGAUAAAUGGUAAAGUAAAUAUUUUUGGUAUUUUUGGUUUAUAGACUGGAAAGUAAAGAUUGUAAAAUAGUAGAUCGGAAACUGUAUAUUGUAAAAUAGACCCGUGGGCCAUAGGUUUCACUAGUGGCUUCUCUCAAGAUAGUAAAUAUUACGGUGGGUGAACAAAUUACUACCGAGCAAUUGAUAGAAGAGCGCAUAAUUAUGAUGAUGUCUAAGUCAAUGAUCAUGAAUAUAGGCAUCACGUCUGUGUCAAGUAGACUGAAACGAUUCCGCAUCUACUACUAUUACUCCACACAUCGAUCGCUAUCCAGCAUGUAUCUAGAGUAUUAAGUUCAUAAAGAACGGAGUAACGUAUUAAGUAAGAUGACAUGACGUAGAGGAGUUAACUCAAGCAAUAUGAUGAAAACCCCAUCUUUUUAUCCAUGAUGGCAACAAUACAAUAUGUGCCUUGCUACCCCUACUGUCACUGGGAAAGGACACCGCAAGAUUGAACCCGAAGCUAAGCACUUCUCCCAUUGUAAGUAAAACCAAUCUAGUGUCACGACCGGUUUUUCAAUAAAAUAAUUAUUGAGAAAAUCGAUCUUUAAAUCCUAGUAUAGGAAAAGUCAUCCUCAUUGGUAGACAAAUACUUGAUGAACAGAGGACCAGUAGCAUUAAAUAUAUUACAGGGUUGAGCUGAGGCUGCUUAACAAUUUAUUACAAACUCGCCAAUAUCUUACAUAAGGGCGGUUAUGUCACAUGGAUGUGGUGGCAUGCUACUAGCUCGAGGUAAAAAGUGGUGGAUAACUUGACUCCUAACUGGCAGCUCAUCGAGCGUCGAGGUGAGGCUCGAUGAAUUUAUUUCCGGGGUUGCGGAAGCGAAUAAUACAAUGACCAAACAGGAUCGCACGAGACUGACUGGAACUCCUCUAGGCGUCGGACUCGCUACCAAACUCUUCAUCCAUUUGGCCAAAUCAACAAGCCAGGUGAGUACUUUGAAAGUACUCGCAAGACAGUUCGGACAAAAGAUAUAAUCAAUGAAUGCAUGAAUGCGUCACGAAUAAAAAUGAUGCUCAUACAGCAAUAAUAAUAUUUAUGCACGACUUGAUAAGUAAGCAAAUAAAUGAAAGCGAUCGGGUGUCUGGAGCGACGCCCCGAAAGGUAAACAAAUAAAACUCAUGGUGCAGUCGGGCGUCUAAGCGACACCACAUAAAGGGCUUUAAAAAAUGCCACAGUCGGACGUCUGAGUGACAUCACAUAAAGGGCUUUAAAAGAAAUGCCACAGUCGGACGUCUGAGCGACAUCACAUAAAGGGCUUUAAAAGAAAUGCCACAGUCGGACGUCUGAGCGACAUCACAUAAAGGGCUUUAAAAGAAAUGCCACAGUCGAACGUCUGAGCGACAUCACAUAAAGGGCUUUAAAAGAAAUGCCACAGUCGGACGUCUGAGCGACAUCAUAUAAAGGGCUUUAAAAGAAAUGCCACAGUCGGACGUCUGAGCGACAUCACANNNNNNNNNNCGAAAGGUGAACAAAUAAAAAUAAGGAAAAUGAUGCCACAGUCAGGCAUCUUAGCGACACCACAUAAAGGGCUUUUUUAAAAGAAAUGCCACGGUCGGAUGUCUGAGCGACAUCGCAGAAAGGGCUUUAAAAGAAAUGCCACAGUCGGACGUCUGAGCGACAUCACAUAAAGGGCUUUAAAAGAAAUGCCACAGUCGGACGUCUGAGCGACAUCACAUAAAGGGCUUUAAAAGAAAUGCCAAAGUCGGACGUCUGAGCGACAUCGCAGAAAGGGCUUUAACAAAAAUGCCACAGUCGGACGUCUGAGCGACAUCACAUAAAGGGCUUUUAUUCACAAGUAAAUAAUACUCAUAAUAAAUNNNNNNNNNNAAGGGCUUUAAAACAAAUGCCACAGUCGGACGUCUGAGCGACAUCACAUAAAGGGCUUUAAAAGAAAUGCCACAGUCAGACGUCUGAGCGACAUCACAUAAAGGGCUUUAAAAGAAAUGCCACAGUUGGACGUCUGAGCGACAUCACAUAAAGGGUUUUAAAUAAAGUAAAUACGAUUAUGCCACCGUCGGACGUCUGAGCGACAUCACAGACAGGGCUUACAAUAAAUGUAAAUACAAGUAUGCCACCGUCGGACGUUUGAGCGACAUCACAGACAGGGCUUGUAACAAAAGUAAAUGACAAGAUUAGUCCAUCCACAAGAAUAAUCUUUUAACCGGAUUUAUCACACAUGUAUUCCACCGGAGUUUUGUCACUGAGGCUGAUACCUGACAAGAUAAGAUGAAUAUAGUACUUGAACAAAGUACAAGAUAAUUGAAAGAUUUGAGACUCUGCAGAGUUAAUAUUGACUGACCACAGCCAACGGAUUUCCGUAGUCACAAAUGGACUAGUUCCGUUUAUGGUAUUUCAGUAGAAACACAUUUAACUAGUAUACACCCAUUUCACCUCACGAUGCCAGGAAUCACUCUGGACAACGUCCAAGAAAAAUUUUGAGACGGGGAGGUCACAACCUCGAAUAGCAUGGGAUCAAAUUUCUAUACGCGCACUCUAAGGGGUGCCCCCCUCUCGGUCCCAACCGGAAACACCCAUGCCCCUUGACCGGAUGACGGGCUUUAAUCCAUGGCCAUGGAAACCUCAUCCCGGCCUCUCUAUUUGGUGUGUACCAGGAAAACGAUUUGCAACUUACUAAGCCAUAUUCCUUUCGAAAACAUGUGACAGUACAGGAAGGAAUGAAUGGAAAUGUGAUUUGUUUCACGAUGACACGGAAGUCAAAUAAUCUGGCAUAAGACUGGCAUGUCACAACACUACCAUCUUACCCAUCCUCAUGCCAUCACAUGGCCAUGCAAAUAUGUAUCCAACAACAUAAUGCUUUUCCGAAACUUACUUUCCACUUAUAUGCAUGAAAUAUAACAUUCAAGAAAUGUUCAUAAACAUGCCAUGACUAUACAAAAAUGCAAACAUGCAACAGCCACUCAUCAUAUCAAGAGUUCAGACAUGCUUGCCUGGUUCGGAGUAGUCGGAGUUUAACUGUGUGAAGUUUGCGGCUCCGUCACCUCCUCCGGUAUCUACGGUAUAAGAAAAAUAUGUACGUAACAUAAAUAACGUGAGUGCACAGAAAAAUGGUCCAAAUAUUUUUCAAAUAAAUAUGACAAAAAACUAGACAGAAAAAUAAAGGUGACAGAAAAGGAAUCAAACAAAAAUCAUUUUUUUUUAAGUUAUAAGAGUUUUGGUCCAAGGACCCAUGUGUAAUGAAACAGAAAGUUUCCAGGGGGCUCUGCGGAAAAGUCUAGAAAAACGUUUCGUUUAAAAGAAACGACUGAGAGGCUGACAGGUGGGCUCCACCUGUCAAGCUUGAAAUUUCAAACGGGGAAAAGAGAGCGCGACGGUGCCCGAGAGAUGCGGUGGUCGCUGGCGGCGAUCCACGGUGAGGCAAGGUGAUCGGGGGUUACCUUCGUGAUCAGUGCACCUUUCCGCGUCUGUGAGUGGUGGUGGUGGUCGCCGGCGAGCACUGUGUCGACGGCGGCCCUUGCUCCGGCGGACGGCGGUUCGGGCAGUCGUGGAUCUUGCCGGAGGGAGCUACGGUGUUCAAAUUGAAGUGGGGGUUAGCCUACUGGAGGUGGUACGGGGCUACGGGCAAGAGCAGGGCGGCGGAGGAGUUCUCACCAAAGAGAAUGUUGUCGGAGCCCGAGGCAGACGGAGGUGGCCGGAGUCGAAGAAGAAAGGCCCCUCGAGGCUCUCCCAGUGGCUAGGCGGGGUCUAGUGAGGUGGUGGAGUUGUGCGGGGGCGAGAGCAAGCUCGAGGGGGUGCUAUUUAUAGCCGGCCCGAGGCGGUUGCCGUGAACGGAUAAGUCCGGUGGGUGAUUACGGCGGCGCUGUGGCGCGACGGUCGGCUUAGGAGCUUGAGCAUCGCCUAGAUGGAGCAGUGGUGCCAUUUCAGGGUCCAACUCAGCACGGGAGGGAGGGUUACGGCCUGCCCUCGACGGAACGACAGCACGGCCCGUCGGCGGCAGAGAACGUGCUCUGCGCGUGCCAGGCCACGGCGACGGUGAUGCAUCCGUGCGCUGGCAAGGAGAUGGCCACGCGGAGCUACCAGGAGGGUUGGGCGGCGCCGAACGGCGUUCUGCCGCGGUGUUGCCCCCUGUCGGCCGUUACGGUGGCUCUGCUGCCGCAAAGCACGCCGGCGCAGGCGGGCCAGGGCGCCGCCGACGCCAGGAAGGCGCCAAGCGCGCGUGUGAAGCUCCGGACAAGAGGGAAGGGCUGCGAGGAUCGAGCCAAAUGCACAGUGGGCAUGUCACUGAAGUUCUGUCGGGGAAACGACACUGAAACUCUGAAUUUACUGAAUAUGAACAAAAACAAUGCAUGCCAAGUGUUCGACAGAAUGAUUCUGGCAUGUAGGGAUUUUUCCUUGAGCUGAUUUUUGGUGGAGAGGUCUCUCAUUGCAACUAGAGUUUGCCUGAAUUUUGGUUGAAUUUUUGGAGAAGUGUAGAUAUGAAUUUCACCAAAUUUGGCAAAUCUGGUCCAAACUUGCAGAGAGUGAAAUUUGAAAUUUUUGAAAGGAAGAAGAGUGGAUCAAAAUGGUUCUAGGUUGUGGGUACUAAGGACUAUCUAGGGGAGUUGGUUUGGGAUGCAGGAUCAAAGGCAUUAGGGUACUUGCUUUGCAAAUCACCUAGGUUCACAAGAAAGGACAGAAUUGUUUUGGGAAAAGAAAUAAUUGGAAUAAAAUCCAAAAAUGGAUUUUAUCAGUUUGGACAGAAUGCUUGGGUUGUACCAAAGUGGAUGGAGAGGUUUUGGGGAAGUUUUUGCCAUAGGAGGUAUGGUAAACAAGAAGGGAUCAAAAUCAAAUAAAAGCCCAAAACCAAAAGGGUUUCUCUUUAGAAGAAAAUAAAUCCAAGAAAAGAUUUUUAGAGGGCAAACUCAGAAGAGGGUUUUUAAGAAGGGUUUAAAUGACCUUCUUCAAACCAAGCAAGGCUCUUUCUGAAAACAAAACCACAAAAAAAUUUGGAGUGUCACAGCACCUACCCCCUUAGGAAAAAUCUCGUCCCCGAGAUUUCAGCUGAUCCUUAAACAGGUGUGGGUGCUCUGUCCGAAGAAAAUCCUCGCUCUCCCAAGUUGCUUCAUUCUCGGUGUGAUUGCUCCACUGAACUUUGAAAAACUUGAUGGUUUUCUGUCGGGUCCUCCUCUCAGACUCUUCUAAUAUUUUUAUGGGGUGCUCCCGGUAGGUGAGGUCUGGUUGCACGUCAAUAUUCUCAUGUGAUACUUGCUUCUCUGGGUUGCUCACGUAUUUUCUCAACUGCGAGAUGUGGAACACGUUGUGGAUACCGGAUAAAUCUCCGGGUAGGUCUAGCUGGUAGGCUACCGUGCCUCUUUGGGCCACUAUGUGAAAUGGUCCGAUGAAUCUUGGUGCUAGCUUUCCCUUAAUCCUGAAUCGCUGCAGACCCUUCAUAGGAGAAACUCUUAGGUAAACCAAUUCUCCAGGUUCAAAACUGAUUUCCCGAUGCUUUCGAUCGUAAUAACUCUUCUGCCGACUUUGAGCUGUUUUGAGUCAAUUUCUAAUGGUUUUAACUUUCUCCUCAGCCUCCUUGAGCAUAUCUGGGCCGAAGAUAUGGCUGUCUACGGUCUCUGACCAAUUUAGCGGGGUACGGCAUCUUCUCCCAUAUAGAGCUUCAAAGGGUGCCAUUUGCAAGCUGGCUUGAUAGCUGUUGUUGUAUGCGAACUCUGCAUAUGGCAAACUUUCUUCCCAGCUGUUCCCGUAGGUGAGGACACAGGCUCUUAGCAUGUCUUCUAGGAUUUGGUUUACGUGUUCAGUCUGCCCAUCAGUUUGGGGAUGGUAUGCGGUACUGAAUGCUAGUUGGGUUCCCAGUGCCUGUUGCAGGUGAUCCCAAAAUCUAGAGAUGAACUGUGUGCCUCUAUCGGAGAUGAUAGUCUUUGGAACUCCAUGUAGGCAGACGAUACGGGCAAGAUAAAGUCUGGCCAGUCUCUGCGUGGUGUAAGUUGUCUUCACUGAAUAAAAUGUGCCACUUUGGUUAAUAUUUCGGUUAUGACCCAUAUGGCAUCGUUUCCGUGUCGUGACCGUGGCAGUCCAACGAUAAAGUCCAUUCCGAUCUCGUCCCACUUCCACUCGGGUAUCUUGUUUGGUUGUAAUAGCCCGGCUAGUUUCUGGUGCUCGGCCUUGAUACGUUGACAAGAGUCACAUGAUGCAAUGAACGUGGCUAUAUCUCUCUUCAUACCGUGCCACCAAAAAUUUCCCUGAAAGUCUUUGUACAUUCUUGUCCCUCUAGGAUGGAUUGAGUACGGAGCUGUGUGACUUUCAGUCAAUAUCUGCUGUUUGAGUUCCUUGAUAUUUGGUACGCAUAGUCUUUCUCCGUACCACAAUAUUCCUUGCUCAUCUAUGUUGAAUUCUGAGGCUUUGCCCAAACUCACUUUCCUUUUUAUGCCCUCAAUGCUGGGGUGUCCGUGCUGGGCUUCCUUGAUCUUUUCCAUCAGGGUAGGCUGUAUUUCUAGGUUCGACACACUGCCUUCGGUAACCAUUAUUAAAUUGAGUCUGGCAAAUUCCUGUUGAAAUUCUGGCCUCAACUUUGGUAUACCGUCGUCGUCCGGGCUGGGAUUCCGACUAAGUGCAUCUGCCACAACAUUUGCUUUUCCGGGAUGAUAGUGGAUUCCAACAUCAUAAUCCUUCACCAACUCUAACCAGCGUCGUUGCCGUAAAUUUAGUUCCGGCUGUGUGAAAAUAUACUUAAGACUCUUAUGGUCUGUGUAUAUCUCACAACGAUUUCCAAGUAGGAAGUGUCUCCAUUCCUUGAGUGCAUGGAUGACCGCUGCUAAUUCCAAGUCAUGAGUGGGAUAAUUCUCCUCAUGCUUGCAGAGCUGUCUGGAGACAUACGCAACUACCUUGCCUUCUUGCAUCAAUACGCAUCCGAGGCCUUUCCGGGAUGCGUCGCAAUAUACUUCAAAAUUCUUGUGUAUGUCUAGCACAAUUAAUACUGGUGCCGUUGUUAAUUUGCUUUUUAGCUCUUGGAAACUUUUCUCACAUGCUUCUGUCCAUUCGAACUUCUUGCCUUUCUUGAGCAGUUGUGUCAUUGGCUUUGCUAUGGUGGAGAAUCCUUCAAUAAAUCUCCGAUAAUAGCCUGCCAUUCCCAAGAAAGUCCGUACAUCCGUUACGUUAGCUGGUGGUUUCCAGCUAAGUACGGCCUUGACUUUUUUCGGGUCUACUGCAAUACCUUCUUGGGUUAGCACGUGGCCCAGAAAACCCACCUACCUUAGCCAAAAUUCACAUUUGCUGAAUUUGGCGUACAGUUGAUGUUUCCUGAGUUCUCCGAGUACAAUCCUGAGAUGCUCGGAGUGCUCUUCUGGUGUCUUGGAGUAUAUCAGAAUAUCAUCGAUGAAUACCACAACAAACUUGUCCAUAUACUUCAGAAAUACUUUGUUCAUGAGGUGAACAAAAUAUGCGGGGGCGUUGGUUAGCCCGAAUGGCAUCACUGUGAACUCAUACAACCCAUAUCUGGAGGUGAAGGCAGUCUUGGGAAUAUCUUUUGUUCGCACUUUUAAUUGGUGGUAUCCUGAUCUCAAGUCAAUUUUCGAGAAGACUUUGGCCUGUGCGAGCUGAUCAAAUAAAUCAUUUAUUCGGGGCAUUGGGUAUUUGUUCUUGAUUGUGACCAUGUUAAGAGCCCGAUAGUCAAUACACAACCUCAUUGUUCCAUCCUUCUUCUUGGCAAAUAAAAUUGGAGAACCCCAAGGUGAGGAGCUGGCUCGUAUGUAUCCUUUCUCCAAUAAUUCUUUUAUUUGCUUCUUUAACUCUACCAAUUCGGAUGGUGCCAUUCUGUAUGGUUUCUUGUAAAUGGGAGCGGUUCCGGGUGCUAGCUCAAUGCUGAAUUCUAUCUCUUGGUCCGGUGGUAUGCCUGGUAGUUCUUCUGGAAAUACGUCUGGAAAUUCACACACUACUGGAACAUUGUUUAGCUCAGAAACGUCCACUUUGUUUAAUCUUGGUUGCCGAGGUAUAUGUCUUUCUUUGGCUAAAACUUUUAUUUUCUUCCCCUAAUGGUGUGUGAGAAUCACGGUCCGAUUGAAGCAGUCAAUAAAACCUUUGUUGGUGGUUAACCAAUCCAUCCCUAGGAUGACAUCCAAUCAUUUGCUUUCCAAUACAAUAAGGUUGGCGUAAAACUUCAAUCCUUCAAAUUCAAUAACCACACCUUGACAGUAACUCUGGGUCACUUGCUUAAUCCCAGGGGACUUGAUGAUCAUUGAUUUCUCCAAGGGAAGCAUCGAAAAAUUAUUUUGCAAAGCAAAACUCUUCGAAAUGAAAGAGUGAGAAGCUCCAGAAUCAAACAAAAUCAUGGCAGGUAUUGUGUUGACGGGGUACAUACCGAGUACGAUAUCUGGGGCGUUCUGUGCUUCCUCUCGGGUCACGUGGUUCAGGUGACCUUUUCGGUGGUUGUUAUUGGGGUUGAAAUUGUUUCGCUUGGGCGCUGAAUUAUUGCCACCAUUAUUGGGCUUUGGGGUCGAGUUCCUUGGCUUGGGGCACUGCUUGGCAUAGUGCCCUUCUUCUCCACAAGUGUAACAAGUAACGCCUGGGCGAUAGGUGAACUCCUUGUCUCUUGAAUGGAAAUUCUUGAUUGGACGUGAAUUUUCGUCGGGGUUUUGUGUGUUCCACCCUUCUGAAAUUCCGUCUUGCUUCUGGGGUUGCGAGUAAAAGUAGUGUGGUCCCUUUUUCGUUUGCGGAUAUCUUCCAGGCUACGUCGCUCAUUUUCUAGAGUAAUGGCCUUAUCCACCAGUGUUUUAAAAUCUCGGAAGGUAUGUACAACCAGCUGGCAUUUAAGGGCGGGUGCCAGGCCUUCCAAGAAUUUUUUUCAUCUUCUUGCUCUCAGUCAUGCGCUCUUCAUUGGCGUAGCGAGACAACAGAGUAAAUUGGCUGUUGUAUUCUGACACUGUCAUGGUCCUUUGCUUGAGGUCAUCAAAUUCUCUCUUCUUGAUUUUCAUGACGCUCUUAGGAAUGUGUGCCCCACGAAAACCUUCUUUGCAAUCCUCCCAGGUUAUUUCAUUUUCGUUGGGGUGCAUGUGCAGGAAGUUUUCCCACCACGAUGCGGCUGCUCCCGUGAGGUAAUGUGGUGCAUACAAUACUUUUUCACGAUCUGAACACUGUGCAAUAAUUAUUUUUCUCUCCAUGUCUCGAAGCCAGUCGUCGGCCUCAAGAGGCUUGUCAGUAUGAGAAAAUGUUGGAGGACGCGUCUUCUGUAACUCAGAUAAUUUGGAUUACGGUUGAUACUGACCACGGUUGCUUCCCAUAUUGAUGAAUUGGUUCAUCAUUUCCUGGUGUUGUUGCUGACUUUGUUCAUACAGACGACACACUUGUGUAAAAGCUGUUUCACUGUCCUGUUGACUUGUCUGACCCUGAGUGAAAUUGUGGUUUUGCGGUGUGCCAUAAUUUUCUCCUGGCUGAUUUGGCAUGGAGCGCGUCCAAGGACGAUACAUCUUUCACUUUGGGGAUAUAUUUUGUGAAACUCGUAGGAUAAGGAAGAGAGUCGCAAAAGUCAAUAAAAUCACACACAAAGAACAUUUUAAAACUCCAGGAUAUUUUUGAAAACACACGAUUGCGCGCGGAGAAGGACUAUUACAUAUCUUACACGCAAGCAUAAUUAUACAUUACAUCACUCAGGAUAUGCGUACAUAAUUCUGACAUGUUAUUUAACUAGUGCACUUCUCCAGAUCCUACAUGAUGCGCAAACAGGCUACUUCUCACAACCUAUGUAGAUAUAACAUAUUACACAAGUCGGUACAUCGCAUGGCGUCUACGCGUACUCAGUCGGAGAUGGUGAGGAUCUCCCUUGGCCUGCCGAGGGUGAGACGCAGUGACGCUGGGGAAUCAACUUCCUCCUCGCUAAUAGGUUCCAGACGAGGAACGCUACGCUGAGCUGAUGGAGCAGGUGCCGUAGGCGGAGUACCCUGAAUAAGAGUGGGCGGAAUAGGUGGAGUAGCACGUAUGGGAGUGGGUGCAAAAAGUGGUGCAACGCGAACGGGAGUGGGUGCAAUAGCCUGGUUAAAUUCCUCAGUGGUAGGCAAACGACGAGCAGUGGCGAGAAUGGUAGGUGAAUGAGAAGUUGAGGACGAGAUAAAAGUCAGCGGUGGAGCGGUGUGUAGGAGUUCCCUCCUGUUAGCAGCACAGCCAUGAACCGAGUCCAUGUGGGCAGCUACGAGGUCGUCCACCAUGCUGUAGAAGGCUGCCUCCAGGGCUCGGAGGUACUCGACCAGCAUCUCAAAAGCCUCGUCUUGCUCUCCUCUGGGGCAAGGGAAUGAGUAGUGACAGGUGUAAGGCACAUGGCAUGGAAGGUAGCGGUAGCGACGGGUCUUCGUUUCAGGAAGGACAUCCCGAAGACGAGCUAUCGCCUUGCGGGCUGCCAUCUGCAUAGCAUGCCUCUCUGUAGGCAUGGCUCUCCCCAAGAAACGGAAGCGGCGCAUCUCAACACUCCCUCCCCUGAAUUGCACCGUGGCCUGGUGCAUGGUCAGACUGUCGUUGAUCUUGUGCGGAUAAAGUGUGAAGACUAGGCGCACGGAUGGCCCCAUCGCGACCUGAACGAUGAAGGAGAGGAGUUUGACGAACCCCUCAGGCACGUUGGCGAACAUUUGAGACUCGCAGUCGCUGCCAGCCAUCUACAAAAAUAGGCAAAAAUUCUGAGUGAUCAGAUCAUAAAUUUUAUGCUGACUGUCAGAAAAAUGACUACAUUUGUAAAAACAUGAAUAACUCUAUCCUGCUAAUAACUAAUUAGCGAUCACACCUAGUGGUUUCCUACAGUCAGCCUGGCUCUGGUUACCAAGUCUGUCACGACCGGUUUUUCAAUAAAAUAAUUAUUGAGAAAAUCGAUCUUUAAAUCCCAGUAUAGGAAAAGUCAUCCUCACUGGUAGACAAAUACUUGUUGAACAGAGGACCAGUAGCAUUAAAUAUAUUACAGGGUUGAGCUGAGGCUGCUCAACAAUUUAUUACAAACUCGCCAAUAUCUUACAUAAGGGCGGUUAUGUCACAUGGAUGUGGUGGCAUGCUACUAGCUCGAGGCAAAAAGUGGUGGAUAACUUGACUCCUAACUGGCAGCUGAUCGAGCGUCGAGGUGAGGCUCGAUGAAUUUAUUUCUGGGGUUGCGGAAGCAGAUAAUACAAUGACCAAACAGGAUCGCACGGGACUGACUGGGACUCCUCUAGGCGUCGUACUCGCUAUCAAACUCUUCAUCCAUGAGAUCGCCUUCAUCAACAUCUGGCCAAAUCAACAAGCCAGGUGAGUACUUUGAAAGUACUCGCAAGACAGUUCAGACAAAUUAUAUAAUCAAUGAAUGCAUGAAUGUGUCACGAAUAAAAAUGAUGCUCAUACAGCAAUAAUAAUAUUUAUGCAUGACUCGGUAAGUAAGCAAAUAAAUGAAACCGAUCGGAUGUCUGGAGCAACGCCUCGAAAGGUAAACAAAUAAAACUCAUGCCGCAGUCGGGCGUCUAAGCGACACCACAUAAAGGGCUUUAAAAGAAAUGCAACAGUCGGACGUCUGAGCGACAUCACAUAAAGGGCUUUAAAAGAAAUGCCACAGUCGGACGUCUGAGCGACAUCACAUAAAGGGCUUUAAAAAAAAUGCCACAGUCGGACGUCUGAGCGACAUCACAUACAGGGCUUUAAAAGAAAUGCCACAGUCGGACGUCUGAGCGACAUCACAUAAAGGGCUUUAAAAGAAAUGCCACAGUCGGACGUCUGAGCGACAUGACAUAAAGGGCUUUAAAUAAAGUAAAUACGAUUAUGCCACCAUCGGACGUCUGAGCGACAUCACAGACAGGGCUUACAAUAAAUGUAAAUACAAGUAUGCCACCGUCGGACGUCUGAGCGACAUCACAGACAGGACUUGUAACAAAAGUAAAUGACAAGAUUAGUCCAUCCACAAGAAUAAUCUUUUAACCGGAUUUAUCACACAUGUAUUCCACCGGAGUUUUGUCACUGAGUCUGAUACCUGAAAAGAUAAGAUGAAUAUAGUACUUGAACAAAGUGCAAGAUAAUUGAAAGAUUUGAGACUCUGCAGAGUUGAUAUUGACUGACCACAGCCAACGGAUUUCCGUAGUCACGAAUGGACUAGUUCCGUUUAUGGUAUUUCAGUAGAAACACAUUUAACUAGUACACACCCAUUUCACCUCACAAUGCCAGGAAUCACCCUAGACAACGUCCAAGAAAAACUUUGAGACGGGGAGGUCACAAUCUCGAAUAGCAUGGGAUCAAAUUUCUAUACGCGUGCUCUAUGGGGUGCCCCCCUCUCGGUCCCAACCGGAAACACCCAUGCCCCCUGACCGGAUGACGGGCUUUAAUCCAGGGCCAUGGAACCCUCAUCCCGGCCUCUCUAUUUGGUGUGUACCAGGAAAACGAUUUGCAACUUACUAAGCCAUAUUCCUUUCGGAAAACAUGUGACAGUACAUGAAGGAGUGAAUGGAAAUGUGAUUUGUUUCAUGAUGACACGGAAGUCAAAUAAUCUGGCAUAAAACUGGCAUGUCAUAACACUGCCAUCUUACCCAUCCUCAUGCCAUUACAUGGCCAUGCAAAUAUGUAUCCAACAACAUAAUGCUUUUCCGAAACUUACUUUCCACUUAUAUGCAUGAAAUAUAACAUUCAAGAAAUGUUCAUAAACAUGCCAUGCCUAUACAAAAAUGCAAACAUGCAACAACCACUCAUCAUAUCAAGAGUUCAAACAUGCUUGCCUGGUUCGGAGUAGUCGGAGUUUAACUGUGAGAAGUUUGCGGCUCCGUCACCUCCUCCGGUAUCUACGGUAUAAGAAAAAUACGUACGUAACGUAAAUACCGUGAGUGCACAGAAAAGUGUUCCAAAUAUUUUUCAAAUAAAUGUGACAAAAAACUAGACAGAAAAAUAAAGGUGACAGAAAAGGAAUCAAACAAAAAUCAUUUUUUGUUUAAAAGUUAUAAGAGUUUAGGUCCAAGGACCCAUGUGUAAUGAAACAGAAAGUUUCCAGGGGGCUCUACGGAAAAGUACAGAAAAACGUUUCGUUUAAAAGAAACGACUGAGAGGCUGACAGGCGGGCUCCACCUGUCAGGUUUGAAAUUUCAAACGAGGAAAAGAGAGCGCGACGGUGCCCGAGAGGUGCGGUGGUCGCCGGCGGCAAUCCACGGUGAGGCAAGGUGAUCGGGGGUUACCUUCAUGAUCGGUGCACCUUUCCGCGUCUGUGGGUGGUGGUGGUGGUCACCGGCGAGCACUGUGUCGACGAUGGCCCUUGCUCCGGCGGACGGCGGUUCGGGCAGUCGUGGAUCUCGCUUGAGGGAGCUGCGGUGUUCAAAUUGAAGUGGGGGUUAGCCUACUGGAGGUGGUACGGGGCUACGGGCAAGAGCAGGGCGGCGGAGGAGUUCUCACCAAAGAGAAUGUUGCCGGAGCCCGAGGCGGACGGAGGUGGCCGGAGUCGAAGAAUAAAGGCCCCUCGAGGCUCUCCCAGUGGCUAGGCGGGGUCUAGUGAGGUGGUGGAGUUGUGCGGGGGCGAGAGCAAGCUCGAGGGGUGCUAUUUAUAGUCGGGCCAAGGCGGUUGCCGUGAACGGAUAAGUCCGGCGGGUGAUUACGGCGGCGCUGUGGCGGGACGGUCGGCUUAGGAGCUUGAGCAUCGCCUAGGUGGAGCAGUGGUGCCAUUUCAGGGUCCAACUCAGCACGGGAGGGAGGGUUACGGCCUGCCCUCGAUGGAACGGCAACACGGCCCGUUGGCGGCAGAGAACGCGCUCUGCGCGUGCCAGGCCACGGCGACGGUGCUGCAUGCGUGCGCUGGCAAGGAGAUGGCCACGCGGAGCUACCAGGAGGGUUGGGUGGUGCCGAACGGCGUUCUGCCGCGGUGUUGCCCCCUGUCGGCCGUUACGGUGGCUCUGGCGCCGCAAAGCACGCCGGCGCAGGCGGGCCAGGGCGCCACCGACGCCAGGAAGGCGCCAAGCGCACGUGUGAAGCUCCGGACAAGAGGGAGGGGCUGCGAGCAUCGAGCCAAAUGCAUAGUGGGCAUGUGACUGAAGUUCUGUCGGGGAAACGACACUGAAACUCUGAAUUUACUGAAUAUGAACAAAAACAGUGCAUGCCAAGUGUUCGACAGAAUGAUUCUGGCAUGUAGGGAUUUUUCCUUGAGCUGAUUUUUGGUGGAGAGGUCUCUCAUUGCAACUUGAGUUUGCCUGAAUUUUGGUGGAAUUUUUGGAGAAGUGUAGAUAUGAAUUUCACCAAAUUUGGCAAAUCUGGUCCAAACUUGCAGAGAGUGAAAUUUGAAAUUUUUGGAAGGAAGAAGAGUGGAUCAAGAUGGUUCUAGGUUGUGGGUACUAAGGACUAUCCAGGGGAGUUGGUUUGGGAUCAAGGAUCAAAGGCAUUAGGGUACUUGCUUUGCAAAUCACCUAGGUUCACAAGAAAGGACAGAAUUGUUUUGGGAAAAGAAAUAAUUGGAAUAAAAUCCAAAAAUGGAUUUUAUUAGUUUGGACAGAAUGCUUGGGUUGUACCAAAGUGGAAGGAGAGGUUUUGGGGAAGUUUUUACCAUAGGAGGUAUGGUAAACAAGAAUGGAUCAAAAUCAAACAAAAGCCCAAAACCAAAAGGGUUUCUCUUUAGAAGAAAAUAAAUCCAAGAAAAGAUUUUCAGAGGGCAAACUCAGAAGAGGGUUUUUAAGAAGGGUUUAAAUUACCUUCUUCAAACCAAGCAAGGAUCUUUAUGAAAACAAAACCACAAAAAAAAUUGGAGUGUCACAGGACGCGCACGGUUCGGGACCUAAGGCCGGAGACGAGUCCGAGGGUCCGGUGGCACAGAUCUCUUUGGAAGUGGAGUCUGUGUUCUGCUCCAUCGCUGAUAAGUGUGCGGCCUCCAUGGCAGAGUCCAUCCACCCGUCCUUGGAUGGCGCGAUCUGCUCCAGAUUAAGGGCCAGGGCAGCCACAGGUGCGAUAUCCCGAACACCAUCUGAUGGCAGAUCUGAGUCAUGCACGUCGUGACUGUUCGGCGCUCCUGACGUAGGCUCGAACCCAUCGAAGAUCAAGUCUCCACGGAUGUCGGCGGUGUAGUUCAAGUUUCCAAACCUGACCUGAUGGCCAGGGGCGUAGCUAUCGACCUGCUCCAAAUGGCCAGCGAGUUGGCCCACAGUACGAAGCCGCUGAAUACAAAGAUCUGUCCGGGAAGGAAAACCUCACUCUGGACCGCAUCGUUACUGAUGAUAGAAGGAGCCAUCACUAGUGCAGAACCAGGCUUUAGCGUCGGUUCGUAACGGCCUUUAGUGCUGGUUCGGCAACCGACACUAAAGAGUGGGGACUAAAGGUCCCCCCUUUAGUACCGGUUCAUCACGAACCGGCGCUAAAGUGCCACCACGUGGCACGAGCCAGGCCCGGGUGCGUGUAGGACAUUAGUUACCGGUUGGUAACACCAACCGACACUAAAUCUUUGGGCGUGUUUUGGUUUUAUUUUUUAUUUUUCCUUUAAUUUUGUGUUUUCAAUUUAAUUGAGUGAUUGUUAUACAUUAUAAUGAGUUUUUAAAUCAUUAGGUGAAAGUACCACAGAUUAGUUUUGACUGGAUGCAUGUGGAUCCUAGCUAAGUGAUCAAGUAUAUGUCAUAUCCAUAUUAUACUUGAUCACCUAAUUAGGUGAUCAAGUAUAAUAUGGAUAUGGCAUAUACUUGAUCACUUAGCUAGGAUCCAUCCAGCUGAAACUAAUCUGCGGUUUCUUUCAUAAAUGAUAUAAUAACUCAUCAUCAUCAUCAUCAUAUUAAUAUAAAAACUCUUGCAUCAUAUCAUCAACAACAGUAUAUACUAGCUAGCUAAAAAUCAUCAUAGUCGUCAUUACCACUAUUUAAUCAUCAUAGUCAUUACCGCUAUCUAAUCACCACCAACACUAGCUUAAAGAAGAAACAUUCACUUGUACCAGAAGCAAAGAUAUCAUCGAGUUCAACAUGGUCAUGAUAUUAUAAGCGUUCAUAACACCACAAAAGCAAAUCACUCUUUGAGAUUAAGUUCAGGACGAAGAACAUGGACAUGAGAGGACAAGUACUAAGAGCACGAACUAAUCACUCCUGAUGCUCUCUCUUAGGUAAAAUAGCAUAGAACAUGUAUAGCUCUCCUGAUUCAUCAUACUGGAGCAUGCAGAUGAACCUGUCUCCUAAUCGUGGGUUGCGCUUCUCAUUGCUGCCCCCUAGUACUUCUCUGUGAUUGUUAACAAUUUUGCUCCAAUCUUUCACUAUUAAGCAUUCAUCGCUUUCAGAAAUCCUAAAUGCAUUCAUGCGCAAUGUAGGAUAUCUUGGCCGUAAGCUAACAAUUGACAUGAGACCUUCAGUCUCGAUCCACUGAGGCACAACUAUCAUCGGGAGUCCCUGUUGAAGAACAUCGUAUAGUAAUUAAUAUACUUAGCAAUGAAAGUUUAGCAAAAAAAAUUAUGUAUGCAAAGAUGCACUGAGGACAAAUAGUAAAAAUCUUACCAUCAUUCCUAAAUAGAUGUGACCAUAGUUCAAUACGAUCACUAUUGAUCACACGUUUUGAGUACUAACAUUUUUAAGUGCAGGAACAAAAUUUGUCUUGACAGUAUGAAGAUCUUCAAGCCAUGAAACAUAAUGACUUAUCUCCUCACAGUUCAGUUCAGCUCCGAGAUAGUAGUAGGUCCUGUCUACCAAGCGCCGGACAUGUUUGCUUGAAUGGAAAUAAGCUGUCAAUAGAAAUUAGUUGUCAACUAUUUUUGAAUAAAAAAUAUCAAAGACAUAAAUAUGGUUGAGAAACUCACAUAAUGGUAGAACUGGAGGCGUCUGCACAUGGACCCAGAUGUCUCUAUUACCUUCAAUAUCAUCUUCCAGACGAAUAUCAAAGGUGAUAAUCAUAUCAGGCGCAAAUGCAUAAGCCUUGCAUAGUGCUUGCCAAGUUUUGCAUUCAAAAUAGGUGUACGUGUCUGCAUUGUAUACUUUGACGUUGAAAGUAUAACCAGGCUCAGUUUUCAGGUAAACUCUAUUUACCACCAUAGUUUCCAUUUCACUGAAACCUAUCUUAUCCAAGACAAAAAUUCUUGCAUGGUAGGGGAUGCGCUAAUAAAAUAGUGAAAAUUAAAAAUUAUAAGUUGAAGCAAAUGAAGCAUAUAUAAGUCAUGCUUAAUUACGAAAAAAGACUUGUCGUUGUGACUCUAUAUCGAAUUCGAAGGUCUCAUCCACGUUGAUGCUGAAUCGCCUAUCAUCAACAAGGAAAUUUCUGUCGCACAGGUCGCGCUGGUCUUCACAGUAUUCGCACAUAAUGAAAUCUAUUUCUUCGUCAGACGAAAUUUCCUAUGUUCAUAUAGGUGAAACAUUAAAUACUUACUAAUUCUAUUAAUUCAACUAAUUCAACUACUUCUAUUAAUUCAACUAGUUCUGUUAAUUCAACUCAUUCAACUAAGCAUUUACUAAUAAUAAACUUGUUCUAUUAAUUUUCUUACUAAAAUAAACUAGUUCUAUUAAUUCAACUAAUUCAACUAGGAAUUUACUAAAAACAAACUACUUCUAUUAAUUUACUUACUAAAAUAUAUAAAGUAGCUACACUACAAGAAAAUUGAGAUACUAUGACGCAAAUCCUUGUGACGGUGGUUGACAUCGUCACAAAACUAUCUAAUGUGUGAUGUUCUGGAGGUCGCGUCACCAAUUACUAUAUGUUAGUGACGGUUAAUGUCACUGAGUCAUGUGAGCCGCUGAGUGCCACUUGGCUGUCAUUUUUAUGAUGUUUUGGUAAUUUCCGUGAUGAACCCACUAUAGUCACCGAUUAUUACAAAUGUGUAAUGCUUAUUUCUUUAUCAUGUAACUACAAGCAAUGGGACCCGUCGUAGCUGCUUCGGGUUAUUAAGCAGUUGGACCCACACGCCCAUGUAUUUAUAUGGGUCUCGUGUGUGAAUGGCUCAAUGCUGGUAGUUGGACCCGCCAUAGUUUGUUCAUAAGUUAUUGAGUGAUGCAAUUAUUUAUUGAGUCUAAUAUACCAAUCUAAUAUAACUAAAUAGUGGUAAGAGAAAAGCUUAUUGGUGGUGUUCGUGAGUCAAUGAAUAUGGGGGUGCAAUUGUACACAUGUUGUUUUGCGGGGAGUACACAUAUGGUGUCUAGUACAUGAUUUUUAUUUUUUUAAUCGGAUUAUACACACAUGGUACGUGGCACAUGCUUUUUACUUUUUUUAUAGAUUAUACACUUACAUGGUACAUGCCAUUUUAAUUUUUUGAUCAGAUUAUACAUGUACAUUGUACGUGUCAAAAUGACUUUUUUGUGUUAAAAAACACCCAUUGUAUUUUUACGUAAGCAUGUCAAGGCCACUAGUUUGUAUUUUUUUGAGGGAGAAUCGAUUUGCCCUCUGGUGUGCAGAGAAUGAAAUUUUAAGUUUUUUAGCGAAGCCCAUUGGCUGACCCUAAUCCUCGUUUUACAUCUGGCGCCAUCCUCUUCCUUUCUUAAUCCCGAUCCAAUCUACCAAUCCCCUCCACCGCUCAUGUCCCAUGCUCCCACCCCCGUCCACCUCCGUCGCCCCCACCAUCUACGCAACAACCAUCACCAUCGAGACCUCGAAGGAUGCCACCGCAGAGCCGCCGCCGCUGCAGGCAGUCGGGCACGGCAGGAGGAGCCCUCCGUGCGCCUGCUCGUCCUGACGCUGUCUGGCCACUCGCCAUGGCGUUAUCUCCAUUGCCGCGUUUCCUCCCCGAUGCUGCACCCCCGAACACGGCUGGCCAAUCCAGCUCGUUGACGCCCAUGUCACCACCUUCGCAGUCCUCCCCCAGCAUCCACCACGGGGGGAGCAAAGGUGCAGCCCUGCCAUGACGGACACCUCCUUCCCGCACUCCUGCGCCUCCCGGCAUCUGCUCGUCGUUGUCAGCCACCACGGUCAGCAAGGCCAACCUCCACGGCAACUGGAUCGGCCACCACUGCCGCGAGGACCAUCCUCCAUGGCCACCCCACUGCCCGCCUCAACGUCGGAUCCGCUGUCCAGAGCCUACACGCGCGCAUGGUCGGCACAUGUAGGGGUCGCCGGCCACCUCUACAACGACGAGCACCGUGACUUUUAUCUAUCUAUUUCUGUUUUUGUAGAAUAUCCAGUAAAUUUUUGAAGUUUUGAUCUACUGAUGAACUAGGUGAUGUGAAACUGAUGAACUAAUUUACUUACUAUAAGUUAAUGGUUAGAAUUUGUGUUAUAUACAUUUGGGGCACUUUGAGAAAUAUUACAACAGUUUGUUUGUGCAGCACAUCAGUUUUACUAUCAUCGUUUUGAGAAAUAUACAAUUCUAGUGCAACCUGUAUUUGCAUUCGAAGUUAGCUACUUUAUCACAUUCAUGUGUGCAUUCACAUGUAUUCGCAUUCUAAGUUAGCUAAUUUCUGGAGAGGCCUGUUUUUGCUAGUUGUUCAUCUAAGCUGCCUGAUGCCUGAACUGCGGUUUCUAAUCGGCAACAAGUAGCUGUACAGUAUUUGCAUCAUGUUUGAGAGUAAAGUUGACAAAUCCAUGUAUGCAGAGUUGUGCUAAUUGAUUUGUCAUGCAGUGGGUAGUUCUCUAUUCCCUACUAAUGCAAUGUGCUUGGUGUUAAUGAGGUAAAACAGAAACUCGAGGCGCCUUGGUGCCAUGUUGUUGCUGAACUUACGAACCUCCACACACAAUAGGGCGCAGGUUUCCUAGCUAGCCACGGGAAGGUAUACUUCACAGAUCUGAUUAUUUUAUAUGGCCAUUAGUUGUUAAUUGAACAUGUAUCUAAGUUAUACUUUGCUGUUGAAGGAGCAUGGCUGCGGAUGGUGUCCGGCAUGGACAAAUUAACUCAGUCUGCUUCUCUGCAUUUUUUUCCUUUUUGUAGUCGGUUGUGUUCUCAAUAGAAAAGGCAUGUGACUUUCUUAAUAAUUUUGAAUCUUAGUCACGUUUUGUUGACAAAGUAAGGAAGUACUGAAUUUAUAUUCUAACUAGCCAAGAGAUAUAUAUGAUUUUACACAAAGUUGGUUAUGUAUUUCUCUGUCCUAAGUUGGAUUCAUUAAAUGAUUAGCUGAUUGUAGCCUUGUCCGAAACUGAGGUUAUAUCACUUAAGUGUGUUCGCUUUGAAUCGGUACGUUUGAUAUUGUUGUGCAUAUCGCUUGCAGUUUCUCUUCCGCAAUAGUUUGUAUGUUGUAUUUUAUCAGGCUGCCAUUAUCAUCAAAUUAACUUUGAACUACAAAUUUAAUCUUCAUAGGGACCAAUAUCUUCUUUUACUAAUAUGUUAAUAUUCGUGUUGCAAAUUCUAACCUCUGCUUGAUGAUGAUGCAAGUCAUAUUUUAAGAAGUAGGGAUGGACAAAGGACUCAAACAACUGUUGAUGCCUUCAAGAAGUCACGACAAGAGGAAACUAGCUUAUGCUUCUUGUUCUGAUGAUGACGAGGGCUAUUCAGUUAUGUUCAAGAGGAAAAAAUACUCAUUUAUUAAUCUAGUCCAUGUUAUCUAUCGAUGGUACAUGUGGCAUCAGGCUGCUAUGUAGCUCGUGUUAUUUGUUCUCAUGUGUUAUGUGAACUAUGAGCAUGGGGUAUGCCUCAAGAUCUGGCAGGUCUGGGAGCUCCACUUCAUCAACAAAGAUCCGAGUUCUAGAAGAAAGAAUUGAACAGAAAGAUAGAGGCAAGAGAUGCAAAUGAUAGGUAAUUGUCUUGUUUCUUUUUGUGUUAUUAUUGUUUCUUUUUGCUUGCAUUUGUGUGCACAGUGCACUAUUUAUAGUGAAAAUGAAAACACAAAUGUGUGUGAAUAAGACAUUCAUCUUUAGUUCCUGUAGAGAAAGUUGCAUUAAGGAGUGGUUUGCUAUUUAUGUAUGGUAUGAUCCUUAUCCAAUCAGCCAAAGUGGCAUAAAAAACAAAUGCUUGUAAUGAGAAAUACAUGGUUUGUUGCACGGUUUUAAUGCAUGGUUUUUAAUCCAGAAAUCAAAUAUGAUUUGUUCAUUUGUCUAUGUGUUGUUCUAGCAUAGUUGCUUCUUUUAACCUGGGUUGUUGACUUGGCAUCCUAUUAGUGAUGCUUCCUGUAAUCAAGCUCUUGGUUAUGCAUGUUUUUAAACAUUAUAAGUCAUUCUUGGGUUUACUGUUUCAUUGGCCCGUCAACAUGCUUGCCUUGACAUUUAAUAAUGUACUUUUCUAUUUCAAAUUCAUCAUUUGAUAGAUUGUAGGCUUCUAUCUUGCCUAGUCAUACUCUUGUACCCUUUUAUCUUGUCUAUUUUAAUCUCAAUACGAUGCAACGUAGUUGUGUUUUGUCUAUUUAUAGGCAUCGGAGGAGUUAGCCGCAAGACCUGAAGCACGAGAGAAAGAAUUUAAAGAGAUAUAGAAGAAGCAACAAGAAAAAUUGGAUGCUCUAAAGAAGAGCCAACAAGAGAAGAAUGAAGCCUGGGCAAAGAAGCAACAAGAGAUGAUAAUCUUAUUAGUUUCCUCUUGACGGCUCAAGCAACUCAGUAGUUCCAGUCCAAACCUAUUGGUGCAUGAAUGCCAUCCUUCCGUGAUGGAAAGAUAGUUGCUGAAUCAUACGUUGCAAUCAUUGGGACAACACAUGUUGUCUUUAGUUAAUUAUUAGUUUUCAUCUUUUUCUACCGUAUGGGUCAAACUUGAGUCAGUGUUAUUUUUUACCAUCAUUUUUGUUUAAAGAAUAAUUUAGCUGAGAUGAUUUCAUAUAUAAUAUAAUUUUUAUUUCAUAUCAACAUAUGAUGUGAUUCGGCUCUUUGAUUGUUUAUAUAAUCUUAUCUGAAUUAAAUAAUUAUUAUGAGAUGCAUUUGGAAUAUAGUGGAUUUGAUAAUUCAUCAUAAUUUAAAUUCGAAAGAAAGUAAUUUAUUUUCAUGACUUCAUCUUCAUUCAUAAUAAAAGUAGCGACGCUACUAGUGGGAUAGCUGCUCAUUCAGUGACGUUGCUUCGUCACUGGACAUGGUACAAUAUGGCAUAUUUUUUCAUAACAUGUGACAUUCAUCGAACGUCAUGGAAGUAGUGGAUGACGUUCUAUGUAACGUCACUGAAGGUCCCAAUUUCAAUGACGUUUUUGCGCCUGCGCCGUCACUAGGAGUGAUCUGUGACGGGGAUUCCGUGAUGAUGCUCGUGACGCCCAUAAAAUGACUGGGGAGUAAUUUGUGACGUUAUAAGCUAUUUGAUGGCAUUUUUUGGCUCGUCAUAGUAGGCCCGAUCUCUUGUAGAUCAUCAAAUCUCAUAUACCUAAAUUUUCUUACUAAAAAUAAACUAGUUCUAUUAAUUCAACUCGUUCAAAUAAUCUCAUAUACCUAAGUUUUCUUACUAAAAAUAAACUAGUUCUAUUAAUUUUCUUACUAAAAAUAAACUAGUUAUAUUAAUUCAACUAGUUCAAAUCUCAUAUAUAUAUACCUAAUUAAUAUCUAGCUAAUUCAUCUAGCUAACAAUUGACAUUAAUAUUUAACAACUUUUCUAUCUAAUUCAUCUAACAUUAACAUUCUAACAUUCUUAUCUACAUAAUUCAUCUAACAUUAAUCUAAACAAUAGAAAACAGAAAAUAAGUAAAAAAAAUAUGUGUGUGUCUAUGUGUAGUAAUGUGUGUGUAGUGUGUGUGUGUGUGUAUGUGUGUGGGUGUGUGUAGUGUGUGUGUGUGUGUAUGUGUGUGUAUGUGUGUGUGUGUACAAGCGGGGGGCGGCGGCGUACGGGUGGCGGUGCGAGAGAGCGACGCGACGGGGACGGCGCGACGACGGGCGGCGGGCCGGGGGCAAUCGAUGGCGCGAUUGAGACGGCGACGUAGUACGGGGCGGCGGCGUGAGACGACGACGACGAGGACGGCGACGACAGGCGGCGGGGGGGACGGUGCGCGGCGGGGGCGGCGAGGGCGGCGGGGGUGACGGCGCGCGGCGGGGGCGGCAGCGGCGAUGUCGCGUGAAGUUGGAGAAGAAGUGGUGGUCGAUGAAACUAAAUUUUUUGUAAGUGUCGCAUAUAUAGGAGGGGCCUUUAGUACCGGUUGGAGCCACCAAGCGGUACUAAUGGCCAAUUUGGCCAGGCCAAGCGCAGGAAACGGCCGCCUUUAGUACCGGUUCAUUACCCCAACCGGUACCAAAGGCCGACCCAUUAGUACCGGUUGGAGCCACCAACCGGUACUAAUGGUUGUGCGCUGCCACCCGUGGUGCACUAUGCUUAGUCCCACCUCGCCGAGCGAAGGGCAGCCGCACUGGUUUAUCAACCCAGUCGUGGCUGCUCCUUCAAACUCCUCUAUAUAGCAGGCUUUUGUGCCUAACUAGGGCGCGCUGCCCUGUGAGCCUGUCGGCCCUUCUGGGCCUAAAUUUGCACACCCUAGGUCUGACAGGCCCACUGGACAGCGCCCCAACAAUUUUUUAUGUAGUUUUUUUUAUUUUCUGCAUUAUUUCUUUUCUUCUAUUUAUUUUUGAGUAAUUUUUUUAUAUAGUUUUUUCUUUUCUGCUUUAUUUUUCUUCUUCUAUUUAUUUUGAGCAAAUGAUGUCAGAACGUGUUGGAAAUUGAUGACGUCACUUCGAAUGCGGCAUAAUGCCGGCUCAAAAAAAGUCUGGAGUUCAAAUAAGUUUAAAAAAAUGAAGUGCUCAUGUAACAGAUAAGUUCUCGUCCGAAACCCUGAUACUCCGAAAGAGAUUGUCCAGUUUGUACACGAAGUGCGUCCAGUUUUUGCCGUGACACUCUCUACUCUUUCGCACAUGCUAUGCGGGUGAAAUGAUGAUACCAUGCCAAGUUUCAACAUUUUCAGAGUUCAUUUUGUUGUGAUUUAAUGUUUCACGGUCAUUUAGCUCUCUAAACAAACUGGAAAAUGACUGGAAAACAGCAAAUGAUGUCAGAACAUGUUGGAAAUUGAUGGCGUCGCUUUGAAUGCUGCAUAUUGAACGCAAAAAAAGUCUGGAGUUCAAAUGAUAUCAGAACGUGUUGGAAAUUGAUGACGUCGCUUAGAAUGCUGCAUAAUGCCGGUUCAAAAAAAGUCUGGAGUUCAAAUAAGUUUAAAAAAAUGAAGUGCCCGUGUAAGAGAUGAGUUCUCGUCCGAAACUCUGAUACUCCAAAAGAGAUUGUCCAGUUUGUACACGAAGUGCGUCCAGUUUUUGCCGUGACACUCUCUACUCUUUCGCACAUGCUAUGCGGGUGAAAUGAUGAUACCAUUCCAAGUUUAAACAUUUUCAGAGUUCAUUUUGUUGUGAUUUACUGUUUCACGGUCAUUUAGCUCUCUAAACAAGUUGGUAAAUGACUGAAAAACAGCAAAUGAUGUCAGAACAUGUUGGAAAUUGAUGACGUCACUUUGAAUGCUGCAUACUAAACGCAAAAAAGUCUGGAGUUCAAAUAAGUUUAAAAAAUGAAGUGCCCAUGUAACAGAUGAGUUCUCAUCCGGAACGCUGAUACUCCAAAAGAGAUUGUCCAGUUUGUACACGAAGUGCGUCUAGUUUUUGCCGUGACCCUCUCUACUCUUUUGCACAUGCUAUGCGGGUGAAAUGAUGAUACCUUCAACAUUUUCAGAGUUCGUUUUGUAGUGAUUUUCAAUUCCACGGUCAUUUAGCUCUGAUCUAAACAAAUUGGUGACUGAAAAAUAGCAAAUGAUGUCAGAACAUGUUGGAAAUUGAUGACGUCGCUUCAAAUGCUGCAUAAUGUCGGCUCAAAAAAAGUCUGGAGUUCAAAUAAGUUUAAAAAAUGAAGUGCCCGUGUAACAACUGAGUUCUCGUCCGAAACCCUGAUACUCCGAAAGAGAUUGUCCAGUUUGUACAUGAAGUGCGUCCAAUUUUUGUCGUGACCCUCUCUACUCUUUCGCACAUGCUAUGCGGGUGAAAUGAUGAUACCUUCAACAUUUUCAGAGUUCGUUUUGUAGUAAUUUUCAAUUUCAUGGUCAUUUAGCUCUGAUCUAAACAAAUUGGUGACUGAAAAACAGCAAAUGAUGUCAGAACAUGUUGCAAAUUGAUGACAUCACUUCGAAUGUUGCAUAAUGCCGGCUCAAAAAAAGUCUGGAGUUCAAAUAAGUUUAGAAAAAUGAAGUGCCCGUGUAACAGAUGAGUUCUCGUCCGAAACCCUGAUACUCCGAAAGAGAUUGUCCAGUUUGUAAACGAAGUGCGUCCAGUUUUGAAGUGAGUGGCGGCCGGCGGGGGAGGACCGGCACGGGGGAUUGAGGGGGAGACCGAGUGAGUGGAGAGAGUGAGGGCGUAAACAUGUAAAAAUAUACAUAAAAAUACAUUGAUUAUCAAUGAUCUUUUUGUGUACAAUCUGAAUUGUCAAUAUGAGUCAUCAACAGUUUAGAAACCGGUGAAGACACAUAUUGAGUCCACAGAUUAUACACAUAGAGUUCAAUGAAGACCAAAUGCUUGUGAUAGUUUGAGAAGUAACAUACUUAAGGCGGUAAAAAUCUUGCUAGGGGAGCGAGGUGGGACUAAAAAUAGCCUGCCACAACCUCUUUACUACCGGUUCGUCCCACGAACCGGUACUAAAGGUGUUGGCCGGGCCCCAGCAUCUUUAGUACCGGUUCGUGCCAUGAACCAGUACUAAAGAUCUCCUCCCGCCUAGCCAUUUGAACCGGCACUAAUGGACACAUUAGUGCCGGCUCAAAUGCAAACUGGGACUAAUGUGUCUCACAUUUGACCCUUUUUCUACUAGUGCAUCAAGCCUUAUCGCGACGACACAGUGGAACUCUCAAUGAAAGCACCAAUAUCGGUGUCAAAACCGGCGGAUCUCGGGUAGGGGGUUCCGAACUGUGCGUCUAAGGCUAAUGGUAACAGGAGGCGGGGGACACGAUGUUUACCCAGGUUCGGGCCCUCUCGAUGGAGGUAAUACCCUACUUCCUGCUUGAUUGAUCUUGAUGAUAUGAGUAUUACAAGAGUUGAUCUACCACGAGAUCGAAGAGGCUAAACCCUAGAAGCUAGCCUAUGAUUAUGAUUGUUGUCCUCCUACGGACUAAACCCUCCGGUUUAUAUACACACCGGAGGGGGCUAGGGUUACACAGAGUCAGUUACAGAGAAGGAGAUCUACAUAUCCAAAUUGCCAAGCUUGCCUUCCACGCCAAGGAGAGUCCCAUCCGGACACGGGACAAAGUCUUCAAUCUUGUAUCUUCAUAGUCCAAUAGUCCGGCCAAAGUAUAUAGUUCGGCUGUCCGAGGACCCCCUAAUCUAGGACUCCGUCACCAGGAACAAAAGAUCUAGGGGUGCAGGCACCUGAGGAGGGAAUCAGAUCACCCUGGAAUCCCGUGACGCUGGCAGGCCUAGUAGGGGAAUCCAUCGGUGAUCCCGAGGAGGAACCAGGCGCCGCUGGCGCGCUUGUCACAGAACAGGGCCGGCCCACCGGAUGGCGAGCGGGCACGUGGGCGGCAACCUGCGGCGGGUCGGGGUUGAAGGGAACCAGGCCAGUGGCAGGCCCCGUCGCUGAGGAGGACGGGGCGGGCGAAGGGGCGAUCGGGCCAUCCAAGGCCGCCAUGUGGGCUAACGGGCGGGGCGCAACCCCGCGCUCACCUGGCGCAUCGUUGUCGGCAGGUGACGCGUGAUCCGAGGCCGGAUCCGCUCCUGAUCCUGUGUCAGGAUCCUCCUGGGUGGUAGGUGAAGUAGAUCCUGUCGCACCUGGGUUUGUCUGCACCGGGGUAGAUCCUACAUCCAGGUUAGUAGAUGAAGCAGAUACGCCAUAAUUCAUGUGGUCAUGCAGAAAUAACGGGAUGGUGUGUUCUACAACGCGAGGUGGUAUGGGGGAGGCAGAAGGGCUGGCAAAAGGAAAAAAAUUCUCAUCGAACGUGACAUCACGAGAGAUAUAAACACAAGCUGUGGGCAGAUGAAGGCAUUUAUACCCUUUGUGGCGAAUGCUAUAACCAACGAACACACAUUGUUGAGGUCUAAAGGCAAGUUUGUGUGUGUUGUAGGGGUGCGUGUUGGGCCAACAAGCACAACCAAAUGGACGAAGUGACAUGUAGUCUGGUUUGGUGUUGAACUAUUUCUCCAUACGACUAAGGUUGCCAAUGACACGACUAGGAAGUCGAUUGAUAAGAUAACAUGCUGAAAGAUAGGCCUCAUCCCAAAAAUGUAGCGGCAUAGAUGCAUGUGAUAGUAAAGAGAGCCCCAUGUCAACAAUAUGAUGGUGCUUCCUUUGAGUUGAAACAUUUUGCUGGUGUGUGUGUGGGCAAGAUACAUGAUGCAUAAUGCCUAGUUGACGAAAAAACGUGUUGCUAAGCUUCUCGUAUUCCUCACCCCAAUCAGAUUGAACACAUAAAAUCUUGUGAGACAGGAGGCGUUCAACAUGAGCAAGGGAGUCACGAAAAACAUCAAACACAUCACAUUUUCUUUUGAGAAGAUAGAUCCGCACAAACUUAGUAUAAUCAUCAAUAAAUGAGACAUAGUACUGGAACCCACCAGAUGAUGUUUUGGCGGGUCCCCACACAUCCGAAAAAACAAGUUCUAAUCAAAAGGAAGAAACACUUGAGGAUCUAGGAAAAGGAAGCUGGUGUGCUUUGCCUUGUUGACAUGCAUUACACACAUGGGUCAUAGACCGACUAGAAGAAGCUAGUUUAUUGGAUGAUAAAACAUGCUGAACGACUUGAGUGGAUGGGUGGCCAAGCCUUGCAUUCCAAUCUUGAGUUGACAACCUAACCGAAGACAAGACACGAUGAGAUGAUGGCCGAAUGGGGUAAAUCCCAUUUUCACAUAUGCCUUGAAGUAGAACCCUCUUGGUUAUCAAAUCCUUCAUAAGAAAAUGAGUAGGGUAAUACUUUAGAUACACACGAUUAUCAAUGGCAAGACGAUUGACAGAAAGAAGGUUCUUGUUAGCAUUAGGAACAUGCAAGAUAUUACGGAGUUUGAGAUUUGCAGAAGGAGUAGGAAGAAUUGCAUGACCACGAUGAGCUAUGUGCAAACCUGACCCGUCAGCUGUGUGGAUGCGAUCUCUUCCGGAUACUUCUCCCGGACCAUGAGGCAAUCCAGAUCGCCGGUGAUGUGGUCCGUGGCCCCGAUGUCAGUGAACCAGGCGGGGUCACCUAGGAUGGCUGGAGGAGAAGCAGCAACAAGCCCUGCCAUCUUGGACUAUUGAGGCUGAAAGGCAUGAUUGUAACGCUGGCCGCACUCCCAGGCGUAAUGCCCAGGGCCACAGCAGAGCUGACACUGCACGCGGUUGUCACCGCGGUCGCCGUAGUCACCGCGAUCACCACCGUGGUUGCCACCAAAAUCGCCUUGUUGGCGCGUGCGACCACCACCACGGUUCCCACGAUCGCCACCACGAGAGUUGUUGUUUGAUAAUCCCCAAGUGCAGGAAAUCAUCGUAGCAAUUCCCAAAGGUGGAAGUGAUAAGUAUGGAGUGUCGAACCCACAAGGAGCUAAAGGUAAGAUCAAUAUUCUCUCAAUCCCUAUCUGCCACUGAUAUGACUCUACGUGCACCGAACGUUUGCUUCCAACUAGAAACAAGAAAUAAAACUGUGUUGUGGGUAUAAAGAGGAUAACUUUGUAUGAUAUCGGAGAGCUAAAAUAUAAAAGUAGGUGUUGUUAUAAUAAAGUUAGAAUAUACUACUAAAUAAUAUAAAUAGCGAGUGUGGAAUAAUGGUGGAUCGGUGUGCGGAAUUGUCCUAAGCAAUUGUUAACAAGAUCGAUAGUCGUCAUUGCAAUUUCAUAUGAGGGAGAAGCAUAAGUUAACAUACUUUUCCAUCCUUGGAUCAUAUGCACUUAUGAUUGGAACUCUAGCAAGCAUCCGCAAAUACUAAAGAUCAUUAAGGUAAAAACCCAACCAUAGCAUUAAAGCAUCAAGUCCCCUUUUAUCCCAUACGCAACAACCCCCUUACUCGGGUUUGUGUUUUAGUCACUCACGCAACCCAUUGUAAGUGAAUCAUGCACGUAUUGCAACACCCUAUAGCAGGAAUCCCUCACGCUUGCGCGACACGGCGGGCACCAUAGGACAGCAUCAAAGUGAAACAUACAACUCAUACCAAUCUAGAUCAUCAAUCACCCCAAAGACAAAAGAUAUCUACUCAAAACAUCAUAGGAUGGCAACACAUCAUUGAAUCAUAAUAUGUAGCAUAAAGCUCCAUGUUCAAGUAGGGAUUACAACGGGGUGCGGGAGAGUGGACCGCAUAAAAGAGAUGAGGAUGGUGAUGAUGAUGGUGAUGUUGAUGAAGACGAUCACCGCGGCGAUGAUUCCCCUCCCGAUGGCACUCCGGUGCCACCAAGAGAGAGGAGGAGAGGUUCUCCCCCUUGUGCUUCCUCCUCCAUGGCUUUCCCUCUCUGGUCCUUGGCCUUCAUGGUGAUGAUGGCCCCUCCGAGAUCCUCCUCCAUGGCCUUCGGUGAUGAUGGCCCCCUCCGGCAGGGUGCCGGAGAGGGCCUAGAUUGAUUUCUCGUGGCUACAUAGGCUUACGGCGGCGGAACUUCCGAUCCAGGUUAAUUCCCGAAGGUUUCUGUAUUUAUAGGAAUUUUUGGCGUUGGUUUCACGUCAAGGGGGCCUCCGGGCUGUCCCCGAGAUAGGGGGCCGCGCCCUAGGGGGGGCGCCCCCCACUCUCGUGGGCAGCCCGGGACUCCUCUGGCCCAACUCAGAUGCUCCGUGGUCUUCUUUUGGUCCAGAAAAAAUCCUCAAAAAAUGGCACGUCAAUUGGACUCCGUUUGGUAUCCAUUUUCUGUAAAACACUAAAACAAGGAGAAAACAGAAACUGGCACUGGGCUCUAGGUUAAUAGGUUAGUCCCAAAAAUCAUAUAAAAUGACAUAUAAAUGCAUAUAAAACAUCAUAGAUGGAUAAUAUAAUAGCAUGAAUACUUCAUAAAUUAUAGAUACGUCGGAGACGUAUCAGCAUCCCCAAGCUUAAUUCCUGCUCGUCCUCGAGUAGGUAAAUGAUAAAAGAAAUAAUUUAUGAAGUGUGAAUGCUAGCAGGUGCACAAGUUUGAUCAAUGAUAAUUUCAAUCACAUUUUCUAGCAUCAAUAUGUGUCAUUAUAAUAGCUUAUCUCAUAAAACUUUUCAUGAUCAAGUAACAAUCUAUUCACAAUGUCAAGUGUGGUUCAGAAACUUCAUUGAGAACUAACAAACUAUAAUCUCAGUCAUUGAAGAAAUUGCAAUUUAUCAUAACAUUAGAAAGAGUCAAGAAUAGAGCUUUUCAGCAAGUCCACAUACUCAACUAUCGUAUAGUCUUCUACAAUUGUUAACACUCAAGCAAUACUUGUGGUUAUGGAGUUUCAGCCGGACACUGAGAAAGAUAGGGGCUUAUUGUGUUGCCUCCCAACGUAUUCACCUUUAGGUGAUGUCAACAAUAAUAGCCCAUGCUAACUUACAUCCAAUUGGAUAUAUAUAUCAUGAUCUUUCAAACACGAGGAGCUUGCCAAAGGAUAAAAUGAAAAAGGGAAAGGUGAGGAUCACCUUGACUCAAGCAUAAAGUAAAAACAUAAAGUAAAAGAUAGGCCCUUCGCAGAGGGAAGCAGAGGUUGUCAUGCAUGUUUAGGGUUGAUGCACAAAAUCUUAAUGCAAAAGAACGUCACUUUAUAUUGCCCCUUGUAUGUGGACCUUUAUUAUGCAGUCCCUCGCUUUUAUUACUUCCACAACAAGAUCGUACAAAGCUUAUUUUCUCUGCACUAAUAAGUCACACAUAUUUAGAGAGCAAUUUUUAUUGCUUGCACCGAUGACAACUUACUUGAAGGAUCUUACUCAAUCCAUAGGUAGGUAUGGUGGACUCUCAUGGCAAAAAACUGGGUUUAAGGAUAUUUGGAAGCACAAGUAGUAUCUCUACUAAGGAAUUUGGCUAGCAUGAGGGGGAUAGGCAAGCUCAACAUAUUUGGAAGGUCAGUGACAAUAUACUUUAACUGAGAUGUGAGAAAACACAAAUCAUUACGUUGUCUUCCUUGUCCAACGUCAACUCUUUUAGCAUGUCAUACUUAAUGAGUGCUCCCAAUCAUAAAAGAUGUCCAAGAUAAUAUAUUUGUAUGUGAACCUCUCUUUCCUUAUUACUUCCUAUUAAUUGCAAUGAUGACCAAAACUACGUUUGCCAACUCUCAACAAUUUUUAUGCCUCAUACUCUUUAUAUGUGAAGUCAUUACUAUCCAUGUUAUAAGCAAAUGAAACAUAUAUAAAUUCAGAUUCAUGACAUUCAACUCAUUCAAAAAUUUACUCAUAGGAUAUAAGUGAAGCACACGAGUAAAUGAAAAACUACUCCAAAAGAUAUGAGUGAAAGACACUGAAUAGUCAAAUAAUUAACUAGCCAUGGGAGGGUUCCAUUUUUUUAUUCAAUAAUCAGAUCCAAUGAUUUUAUUCAAACAUCAAGUAAAAUUGAAAUAAAAUGACAUUGCAAGGAUAACACAACUCAUGUGAAGAAGCAAAAACUUAGGCUCAACCGAUAAUAACCGAUAGUUGUUGAACAAGAGAGGUGGGAUGCCUGCCGGGGCAUCCCUAAGCUUAGAUGCUUGAGACUUCUUGAAAUAUUAUCUUGGGGUGCCUUGGGCAUCCCCAAGCUUGAGCUUUUAUGUCUCCUUAAUUCCUCUCAUAUCACGGUUUCUCUUUUUAUCAAAAGCUUCAUUCACAACAAACUCAACAAGAACUCGUGAGAUGGGUUAGUAUAAACCAAUACAAAACCUUAUCAUUUUCUACUGUAACAAAUCACUAAAAUUAUUAUUAAACAUUGAACACUAAAUGCCUCUGCAUAUUUAAUACUCCUAUCCUCAAAUAGAAUCAUUAAACAAGCAAACAUACGCAAACAAUGCAAACAUAACAGCAAUCUGCCAAAACAGUACAAUAUGUAAAGAAUGCAAGAGUAUCAAUACUUCCCUAACUCUGUAAAUUAUAAGAGAAAGUUCCCACUGUAAUAAAUUUAUCAGAUCUUAAUAUGCAAAAAGAUUCAACUUUAUACCAUUCUCUUACUUUUCUAGGGAAUUUUUGCAACAACGGUGAACUUUCUGUUUUGAAACAACAACAUGUAUGCUAGCAAAAUAAGCAUGGUAAAGGCUUUCCUUGACAUUUUUAUUGAAAUUAAAGAUGCAAAACAUUAUUAUAAAUAACAGCAAGAAAAUACUAACAAGAGGAAAUGACGCUCCAAGCAAAACACAUAUCAUGUGGUGAAUAAAAAUAUAGCUCCAAGUAAAAUUACCGAUGAACGAAGACGAAAGAGGGGAUGCCUUCCGGGGCCUCCCCAAGCUUAGGCUCUUGGUUGUCCUUGAAUAUUACCUUGGGGUGCCUUGGGAAUCCCCAAGCUUAGGCUCUUGUCACUCCUUAUUCCAUAGUCCAUUGAAUCUUUACCCAAAACUUGAAAACUUCAACCACACAAAACUCAACCAAACAUCGUGAGACAGGUUAGUAUGAUAAAGAGUAGACCAUGCACUUUGGUACUGUAAAAGACAAGGUUCAUAAUUGUUUUCACAUAAUGCCUACUGUACCAUAUUAUUUCUACAAUUUAUAUUGAGAAAUAUAAGCCAUAGAAACUAGAAAACAAGCAAACUAUGCAGUGAAAACAGAAUCUGUCAUAAACAGAAUAGUCUGUAAUGAUCUGAACAAUAACCACACUUCCGCUACUCCAAAAAUUAUGAAAUAAACUGGUGGACGUGAGGAAUUUGUCUAUUAAUAUUAUGCAAAAAUAAUCAACUCAAAACCACUCUUCUGUAAAAAAAUGACAGCUAAUCUCGUGAGCGCAAAGUUUCUGUUGUUUUACAGGAAGAUCACAUUAACUUUCACCCAAGUCUUCCCAAAGGUCUUACUUGGCACUUUAUUGAAACUAAAGCUAUAAAACAUGAUUACUACAGUAGCUUAAUCAUGUAGACACACAAAAACAGUAAGGAUAAAUAUUGGGUUGUCUCCCAACAAGCGCUUUUUUCUUUAAUGCCUUUUAGCUAGGCAUGAUGAUUUCAAUGAUGCUCGCAUAAAAGAUAAGAGUUGAAACAUAAAAAGAGCAUCAUGAAGAAUAUGACUAGCAUAUUUAAAUCUAACCCACUUCCUAUACCUAGGGAUUUUGUGAGCACACAAUUUAUAGGAACAAGAAUCAACUAGCAUAGGAAGGCAAAACAAGUAUAACUUCAAAAAUUUAAGCACACAGAGAGGAAACUUGAUAUUAUUGCAACUCCUACAAGCACAUAUUCCUCCCUCAUAAAAAAUUUCAGUAGCAACAUGGAUAGCAACUUUUUUCUCAUACUCAAUUGGAACCUCUUCCGAAAUAGUGGAAUACUAACUAAAUUUGACACUCUUCCAAAUCCACUUUCAUAAAUAUCAUACAAAGAUUCAACCUCCUCCAAGAUAGUGGGAUCAUUAAUUCCUAAAGUUGACACUCUUCCAAACCCACUUUAAAUUAUAGUAUUAUUCAUACUCCAAAAGAUAUAAGUGAAGCACAUGAAGCAUUCUGUAAAUCAAUGAAGAGCUAGCUCAUACUAGAAUGAUUCUUAAAGAAAAAUACAAACACAAAGGACACAAAUCAUGUGAACAAAACGAAAACCAAGGUAUACCGAUAUUUGUUGAAGAAGAAAGAUGGGAUGCCAAUCGGGGCAUCCCCAAGCUUAGAUGCUUGAGUAUCCUUUGAAAUAUUUACUUGGGGUGCCUUGGACAUCCCCAAGCUUGAACUCUUGUCUCUCUUUAUUCUUCUCACAUCGGUAACUCCUCGUUCUUCAAACACUUCAUUCACAAAAACUUAAACAAAAACUUGUGAGAUCCGUUAGUGUAAUAAAGCAAACUACCACUUUAAGGUACUGUAAUUAACUCAUUCUUUGUUUAUAUUGGUGUUCAACCUACUGUAUUCCAACUUCUCUAUGGUUCAUACCCUACAUACUAGCCAUAGAUGCAUCAAAAUAAGCAAACAACACACGAAAAACAGAAUCUUCAAGAACAGGACAGUCUGUAGUAAUCUGGAAGUUUAGUAAAUAUCCGUAACUCCAAAAAUUAUGAAAUAAAUUUGACAAUUUGAACAAUUUGUACAGAAGUAAUAUGCAAAAAGUUUCAGACCCAUUUCACUUUCCAGUAAAAAAUGUAAAUUCAUGCACUACAGCCAAAGUUUCUGUUUUUGUUCUGCACAUAGUAAGCAAGCAAUCUUAUCACACUAAAACCAAAGCUUGGCACAUUAGUUUUAUAAUACAGGGUAUAUACAAGGGGAUAAUUAUUUACAGAGAAAAUUCCAUGAAAAAUUCUACAUUGUUUCCGUCAGCAUGAACACAAGUGCUCAAGGUCGACCCUCACUUCUUCAAUGCAUAACUUUUCAAUCACUUCUCUUUUGAAAAACUUUUUUAGGCAUGAGAGGCAAGUAAUUCUUUUUUGGUAUUUUCAUUCUUUUGAAAAAAAAAUUGUAUGUUUCAUCCACAACUAAACAGAAACAAAAAGGAAAACAAAAUCUACUUAGUGAAGAAAGCAAACAAGCACACACGAGAAUAUCAACCCCACGCUAUUGCUCCCUGGCAACGGCGCCAGAAAAGAGCUUGAUAAUCCCCAAGUGCAGGGAAUCAUCAUAGCAAUUCCCAAAGGUGGAAGUGAUAAGUAUGGAGUGUCGAACCCACAAGGAGCUAAAGGUAAGAUCAAUAUUCUCUCAAGCCCUAUCUGCCACUGAUACGACUCUACGUGCACCGAACGUUUGCUUUCAACUAGAAACAAGAAAUAAAACUGUGUUGUGGGUAUAAAGAGGAUAACUUUGUAUGAUAUCGGAGAGCUAAAAUAUAAAAGUAGGUGCUGUUAUCAUAAAGUUAGAAUAUACUACUAAAUAAUAUAAAUAGAGAGUGUGGAAUAAUGGUGGAUCGGUGUGCGGAACUGUCCUAAGCAAUUGUUAACAAGAUCGAUAGUCGUCAUUGCAAUUUCAUAUGAGGGAGAGGCAUAAGCUAACAUACUUUUCCAUACUUGGAUCAUAUGCACUUAUGAUUGGAACUCGAGCAAGCAUAUGCAAAUACUAAAGAUCAUUAAGGUAAAAACCCAACCAUAGCAUUAAAGCAUCAAGUCCCCUUUUAUCCCAUAUGCAACAACCCCCUUACUCGGGUUUGUGUUUCAGUCACUCAAGCAACCCACUAUAAGUGAAUCAUGCACGUAUUGCAACACCCUACAGCGGGAAUCCCUCGCGCUUGCGCGACACGGAGGGCACCAUAGGAGAACAUCAAAGUGAAACAUACAACUCAGACCAAUCUAUAUCAUCAAUCACCCCAAAAGAUAUCUACUCAAAACAUCAUAGGAUGACAACACAUCAUUGAAUCAUAAUAUGUAGCAUAAAGCACUAUGUUCAAGUAGGGAUUACAGCGGGGUGCCGGAGAGUGGACCGUGUAAAAGAGAUUAUGAUGGUGAUGUUGAUGAAGACGAUCACCGCGGCGAUGAUUCCCCUCUCGAUGGCACUCCGGUGCCACCAAGAGAGAGGAGGAGAGGUUCUCCCCCUUGUGCUUCCUCCUCCAUGGCUUUCCCCCUCUGGUCCUUGGCCUUCAUGGUGAUGAUGGCCCCUCCGAGAUCCUCCUCCAUGGCCUUCGGUGAUGAUGGCCCCCUCCGGCAAGGUGCCGGAGAGGGCCUAGAUUGAUUUCUCGUGGCUACAGAGGCUUGCGGCGGUGGAACUUCCGAUCUAGGUUAAUUCCCGAAGGUUUCUAUAUUUAUAGGAAUUUUUGGCGUUGGUUUCACGUCAAGGGGGCCUCCGGGCUGUCGACGAGAUAGGGGGUCGCGCCCUAGGGGGGGGGGGGCGCCCCCCACUCUCUUGGGCCGCCCAGGACUCCUCUGGCCCAACUCUGAUGCUCCGUGGUCUUCUUUUGGUCUAGAAAAAAUCCUCAAAAAAUGGCACAUCAAUUUUUUAUGUAGUUUUUUUUAUUUUCUGCAUUAUUUCUUUUCUUCUAUUUAUUUUUGAGUAAUUUUUUUAUAUAGUUUUUUCUUUUCUGCUUUAUUUUUCUUCUUCUAUUUAUUUUGAGCAAAUGAUGUCAGAACGUGUUGGAAAUUGAUGACGUCACUUCGAAUGCGGCAUAAUGCCGGCUCAAAAAAAGUCUGGAGUUCAAAUAAGUUUAAAAAAAUGAAGUGCUCAUGUAACAGAUAAGUUCUCGUCCGAAACCCUGAUACUCCGAAAGAGAUUGUCCAGUUUGUACACGAAGUGCGUCCAGUUUUUGCCGUGACACUCUCUACUCUUUCGCACAUGCUAUGCGGGUGAAAUGAUGAUACCAUGCCAAGUUUCAACAUUUUCAGAGUUCAUUUUGUUGUGAUUUAAUGUUUCACGGUCAUUUAGCUCUCUAAACAAACUGGAAAAUGACUGGAAAACAGCAAAUGAUGUCAGAACAUGUUGGAAAUUGAUGGCGUCGCUUUGAAUGCUGCAUAUUGAACGCANNNNNNNNNNNNNNNNNNNNNNNNNNNNNNNNNNNNNNNNNNNNNNNNNNNNNNNNNNNNNNNNNNNNNNNNNNNNNNNNNNNNNNNNNNNNNNNNNNNNNNNNNNNNNNNNNNNNNNNNNNNNNNNNNNNNNNNNNNNNNNNNNNNNNNNNNNNNNNNNNNNNNNNNNNNNNNNNNNNNNNNNNNNNNNNNNNNNNNNNNNNNNNNNNNNNNNNNNNNNNNNNNNNNNNNNNNNNNNNNNNNNNNNNNNNNNNNNNNNNNNNNNNNNNNNNNNNNNNNNNNNNNNNNNNNNNNNNNNNNNNNNNNNNNNNNNNNNNNNNNNNNNNNNNNNNNNNNNNNNNNNNNNNNNNNNNNNNNNNNNNNNNNNNNNNNNNNNNNNNNNNNNNNNNNNNNNNNNNNNNNNNNNNNNNNNNNNNNNNNNNNNNNNNNNNNNNNNNNNNNNNNNNNNNNNNNNNNNNNNNNNNNNNNNNNNNNNNNNNNNNNNNNNNNNNNNNNNNNNNNNNNNNNNNNNNNNNNNNNNNNNNNNNNNNNNNNNNNNNNNNNNNNNNNNNNNNNNNNNNNNNNNNNNNNNNNNNNNNNNNNNNNNNNNNNNNNNNNNNNNNNNNNNNNNNNNNNNNNNNNNNNNNNNNNNNNNNNNNNNNNNNNNNNNNNNNNNNNNNNNNNNNNNNNNNNNNNNNNNNNNNNNNNNNNNNNNNNNNNNNNNNNNNNNNNNNNNNNNNNNNNNNNNNNNNNNNNNNNNNNNNNNNNNNNNNNNNNNNNNNNNNNNNNNNNNNNNNNNNNNNNNNNNNNNNNNNNNNNNNNNNNNNNNNNNNNNNNNNNNNNNNNNNNNNNNNNNNNNNNNNNNNNNNNNNNNNNNNNNNNNNNNNNNNNNNNNNNNNNNNNNNNNNNNNNNNNNNNNNNNNNNNNNNNNNNNNNNNNNNNNNNNNNNNNNNNNNNNNNNNNNNNNNNNNNNNNNNNNNNNNNNNNNNNNNNNNNNNNNNNNNNNNNNNNNNNNNNNNNNNNNNNNNNNNNNNNNNNNNNNNNNNNNNNNNNNNNNNNNNNNNNNNNNNNNNNNNNNNNNNNNNNNNNNNNNNNNNNNNNNNNNNNNNNNNNNNNNNNNNNNNNNNNNNNNNNNNNNNNNNNNNNNNNNNNNNNNNNNNNNNNNNNNNNNNNNNNNNNNNNNNNNNNNNNNNNNNNNNNNNNNNNNNNNNNNNNNNNNNNNNNNNNNNNNNNNNNNNNNNNNNNNNNNNNNNNNNNNNNNNNNNNNNNNNNNNNNNNNNNNNNNNNNNNNNNNNNNNNNNNNNNNNNNNNNNNNNNNNNNNNNNNNNNNNNNNNNNNNNNNNNNNNNNNNNNNNNNNNNNNNNNNNNNNNNNNNNNNNNNNNNNNNNNNNNNNNNNNNNNNNNNNNNNNNNNNNNNNNNNNNNNNNNNNNNNNNNNNNNNNNNNNNNNNNNNNNNNNNNNNNNNNNNNNNNNNNNNNNNNNNNNNNNNNNNNNNNNNNNNNNNNNNNNNNNNNNNNNNNNNNNNNNNNNNNNNNNNNNNNNNNNNNNNNNNNNNNNNNNNNNNNNNNNNNNNNNNNNNNNNNNNNNNNNNNNNNNNNNNNNNNNNNNNNNNNNNNNNNNNNNNNNNNNNNNNNNNNNNNNNNNNNNNNNNNNNNNNNNNNNNNNNNNNNNNNNNNNNNNNNNNNNNNNNNNNNNNNNNNNNNNNNNNNNNNNNNNNNNNNNNNNNNNNNNNNNNNNNNNNNNNNNNNNNNNNNNNNNNNNNNNNNNNNNNNNNNNNNNNNNNNNNNNNNNNNNNNNNNNNNNNNNNNNNNNNNNNNNNNNNNNNNNNNNNNNNNNNNNNNNNNNNNNNNNNNNNNNNNNNNNNNNNNNNNNNNNNNNNNNNNNNNNNNNNNNNNNNNNNNNNNNNNNNNNNNNNNNNNNNNNNNNNNNNNNNNNNNNNNNNNNNNNNNNNNNNNNNNNNNNNNNNNNNNNNNNNNNNNNNNNNNNNNNNNNNNNNNNNNNNNNNNNNNNNNNNNNNNNNNNNNNNNNNNNNNNNNNNNNNNNNNNNNNNNNNNNNNNNNNNNNNNNNNNNNNNNNNNNNNNNNNNNNNNNNNNNNNNNNNNNNNNNNNNNNNNNNNNNNNNNNNNNNNNNNNNNNNNNNNNNNNNNNNNNNNNNNNNNNNNNNNNNNNNNNCUCGGGUAGGGGGUUCCGAACUGUGCGUCUAAGGCUAAUGGUAACAGGAGGCGGGGGACACGAUGUUUACCCAGGUUCGGGCCCUCUCGAUGGAGGUAAUACCCUACUUCCUGCUUGAUUGAUCUUGAUGAUAUGAGUAUUACAAGAGUUGAUCUACCACGAGAUCGAAGAGGCUAAACCCUAGAAGCUAGCCUAUGAUUAUGAUUGUUGUCCUCCUACGGACUAAACCCUCCGGUUUAUAUACACACCGGAGGGGGCUAGGGUUACACAGAGUCAGUUACAGAGAAGGAGAUCUACAUAUCCAAAUUGCCAAGCUUGCCUUCCACGCCAAGGAGAGUCCCAUCCGGACACGGGACAAAGUCUUCAAUCUUGUAUCUUCAUAGUCCAAUAGUCCGGCCAAAGUAUAUAGUUCGGCUGUCCGAGGACCCCCUAAUCUAGGACUCCGUCACCAGGAACAAAAGAUCUAGGGGUGCAGGCACCUGAGGAGGGAAUCAGAUCACCCUGGAAUCCCGUGACGCUGGCAGGCCUAGUAGGGGAAUCCAUCGGUGAUCCCGAGGAGGAACCAGGCGCCGCUGGCGCGCUUGUCACAGAACAGGGCCGGCCCACCGGAUGGCGAGCGGGCACGUGGGCGGCAACCUGCGGCGGGUCGGGGUUGAAGGGAACCAGGCCAGUGGCAGGCCCCNNNNNNNNNNNNNNNNNNNNNNNNNNNNNNNNNNNNNNNNNNNNNNNNNNNNNNNNNNNNNNNNNNNNNNNNNNNNNNNNNNNNNNNNNNNNNNNNNNNNNNNNNNNNNNNNNNNNNNNNNNNNNNNNNNNNNNNNNNNNNNNNNNNNNNNNNNNNNNNNNNNNNNNNNNNNNNNNNNNNNNNNNNNNNNNNNNNNNNNNNNNNNNNNNNNNNNNNNNNNNNNNNNNNNNNNNNNNNNNNNNNNNNNNNNNNNNNNNNNNNNNNNNNNNNNNNNNNNNNNNNNNNNNNNNNNNNNNNNNNNNNNNNNNNNNNNNNNNNNNNNNNNNNNNNNNNNNNNNNNNNNNNNNNNNNNNNNNNNNNNNNNNNNNNNNNNNNNNNNNNNNNNNNNNNNNNNNNNNNNNNNNNNNNNNNNNNNNNNNNNNNNNNNNNNNNNNNNNNNNNNNNNNNNNNNNNNNNNNNNNNNNNNNNNNNNNNNNNNNNNNNNNNNNNNNNNNNNNNNNNNNNNNNNNNNNNNNNNNNNNNNNNNNNNNNNNNNNNNNNNNNNNNNNNNNNNNNNNNNNNNNNNNNNNNNNNNNNNNNNNNNNNNNNNNNNNNNNNNNNNNNNNNNNNNNNNNNNNNNNNNNNNNNNNNNNNNNNNNNNNNNNNNNNNNNNNNNNNNNNNNNNNNNNNNNNNNNNNNNNNNNNNNNNNNNNNNNNNNNNNNNNNNNNNNNNNNNNNNNNNNNNNNNNNNNNNNNNNNNNNNNNNNNNNNNNNNNNNNNNNNNNNNNNNNNNNNNNNNNNNNNNNNNNNNNNNNNNNNNNNNNNNNNNNNNNNNNNNNNNNNNNNNNNNNNNNNNNNNNNNNNNNNNNNNNNNNNNNNNNNNNNNNNNNNNNNNNNNNNNNNNNNNNNNNNNNNNNNUCGCUGAGGAGGACGGGGCGGGCGAAGGGGCGAUCGGGCCAUCCAAGGCCGCCAUGUGGGCUAACGGGCGGGGCGCAACCCCGCGCUCACCUGGCGCAUCGUUGUCGGCAGGUGACGCGUGAUCCGAGGCCGGAUCCGCUCCUGAUCCUGUGUCAGGAUCCUCCUGGGUGGUAGGUGAAGUAGAUCCUGUCGCACCUGGGUUUGUCUGCACCGGGGUAGAUCCUACAUCCAGGUUAGUAGAUGAAGCAGAUACGCCAUAAUUCAUGUGGUCAUGCAGAAAUAACGGGAUGGUGUGUUCUACAACGCGAGGUGGUAUGGGGGAGGCAGAAGGGCUGGCAAAAGGAAAAAAAUUCUCAUCGAACGUGACAUCACGAGAGAUAUAAACACAAGCUGUGGGCAGAUGAAGGCAUUUAUACCCUUUGUGGCGAAUGCUAUAACCAACGAACACACAUUGUUGAGGUCUAAAGGCAAGUUUGUGUGUGUUGUAGGGGUGCGUGUUGGGCCAACAAGCACAACCAAAUGGACGAAGUGACAUGUAGUCUGGUUUGGUGUUGAACUAUUUCUCCAUACGACUAAGGUUGCCAAUGACACGACUAGGAAGUCGAUUGAUAAGAUAACAUGCUGAAAGAUAGGCCUCAUCCCAAAAAUGUAGCGGCAUAGAUGCAUGUGAUAGUAAAGAGAGCCCCAUGUCAACAAUAUGAUGGUGCUUCCUUUGAGUUGAAACAUUUUGCUGGUGUGUGUGUGGGCAAGAUACAUGAUGCAUAAUGCCUAGUUGACGAAAAAACGUGUUGCUAAGCUUCUCGUAUUCCUCACCCCAAUCAGAUUGAACACAUAAAAUCUUGUGAGACAGGAGGCGUUCAACAUGAGCAAGGGAGUCACGAAAAACAUCAAACACAUCACAUUUUCUUUUGAGAAGAUAGAUCCGCACAAACUUAGUAUAAUCAUCAAUAAAUGAGACAUAGUACUGGAACCCACCAGAUGAUGUUUUGGCGGGUCCCCACACAUCCGAAAAAACAAGUUCUAAUCAAAAGGAAGAAACACUUGAGGAUCUAGGAAAAGGAAGCUGGUGUGCUUUGCCUUGUUGACAUGCAUUACACACAUGGGUCAUAGACCGACUAGAAGAAGCUAGUUUAUUGGAUGAUAAAACAUGCUGAACGACUUGAGUGGAUGGGUGGCCAAGCCUUGCAUUCCAAUCUUGAGUUGACAACCUAACCGAAGACAAGACACGAUGAGAUGAUGGCCGAAUGGGGUAAAUCCCAUUUUCACAUAUGCCUUGAAGUAGAACCCUCUUGGUUAUCAAAUCCUUCAUAAGAAAAUGAGUAGGGUAAUACUUUAGAUACACACGAUUAUCAAUGGCAAGACGAUUGACAGAAAGAAGGUUCUUGUUAGCAUUAGGAACAUGCAAGAUAUUACGGAGUUUGAGAUUUGCAGAAGGAGUAGGAAGAAUUGCAUGACCACGAUGAGCUAUGUGCAAACCUGACCCGUCAGCUGUGUGGAUGCGAUCUCUUCCGGAUACUUCUCCCGGACCAUGAGGCAAUCCAGAUCGCCGGUGAUGUGGUCCAUGGCCCCGAUGUCAGUGAACCAGGCGGGGUCACCUAGGAUGGCUGGAGGAGAAGCAGCAACAAGCCCUGCCAUCUUGGACUAUUGAGGCUGAAAGGCAUGAUUGUAACGCUGGCCGCACUCCCAGGCGUAAUGCCCAGGGCCACAGCAGAGCUGACACUGCACGCGGUUGUCACCGCGGUCGCCGUAGUCACCGCGAUCACCACCGUGGUUGCCACCAAAAUCGCCUUGUUGGCGCGUGCGACCACCACCGCGGUUCCCACGAUCGCCACCACGAGAGUUGUUGUUUGAUAAUCCCCAAGUGCAGGAAAUCAUCGUAGCAAUUCCCAAAGGUGGAAGUGAUAAGUAUGGAGUGUCGAACCCACAAGGAGCUAAAGGUAAGAUCAAUAUUCUCUCAAUCCCUAUCUGCCACUGAUAUGACUCUACGUGCACCGAACGUUUGCUUCCAACUAGAAACAAGAAAUAAAACUGUGUUGUGGGUAUAAAGAGGAUAACUUUGUAUGAUAUCGGAGAGCUAAAAUAUAAAAGUAGGUGUUGUUAUAAUAAAGUUAGAAUAUACUACUAAAUAAUAUAAAUAGCGAGUGUGGAAUAAUGGUGGAUCGGUGUGCGGAAUUGUCCUAAGCAAUUGUUAACAAGAUCGAUAGUCGUCAUUGCAAUUUCAUAUGAGGGAGAAGCAUAAGUUAACAUACUUUUCCAUCCUUGGAUCAUAUGCACUUAUGAUUGGAACUCUAGCAAGCAUCCGCAAAUACUAAAGAUCAUUAAGGUAAAAACCCAACCAUAGCAUUAAAGCAUCAAGUCCCCUUUUAUCCCAUACGCAACAACCCCCUUACUCGGGUUUGUGUUUUAGUCACUCACGCAACCCACUGUAAGUGAAUCAUGCACGUAUUGCAACACCCUAUAGCAGGAAUCCCUCACGCUUGCGCGACAUGGCGGGCACCAUAGGACAGCAUCAAAGUGAAACAUACAACUCAUACCAAUCUAGAUCAUCAAUCACCCCAAAGACAAAAGAUAUCUACUCAAAACAUCAUAGGAUGGCAACACAUCAUUGAAUCAUAAUAUGUAGCAUAAAGCUCCAUGUUCAAGUAGGGAUUACAACGGGGUGCGGGAGAGUGGACCGCAUAAAAGAGAUGAGGAUGGUGAUGAUGAUGGUGAUGUUGAUGAAGACGAUCACCGCGGCGAUGAUUCCCCUCCCGAUGGCACUCCGGUGCCACCAAGAGAGAGGAGGAGAGGUUCUCCCCCUUGUGCUUCCUCCUCCAUGGCUUUCCCUCUCUGGUCCUUGGCCUUCAUGGUGAUGAUGGCCCCUCCGAGAUCCUCCUCCAUGGCCUUCGGUGAUGAUGGCCCCCUCCGGCAGGGUGCCGGAGAGGGCCUAGAUUGAUUUCUCGUGGCUACAUAGGCUUACGGCGGCGGAACUUCCGAUCCAGGUUAAUUCCCGAAGGUUUCUGUAUUUAUAGGAAUUUUUGGCGUUGGUUUCACGUCAAGGGGGCCUCCGGGCUGUCCCCGAGAUAGGGGGCCGCGCCCUAGGGGGGGCGCCCCCCACUCUCGUGGGCAGCCCGGGACUCCUCUGGCCCAACUCAGAUGCUCCGUGGUCUUCUUUUGGUCCAGAAAAAAUCCUCAAAAAAUGGCACGUCAAUUGGACUCCGUUUGGUAUCCAUUUUCUGUAAAACACUAAAACAAGGAGAAAACAGAAACUGGCACUGGGCUCUAGGUUAAUAGGUUAGUCCCAAAAAUCAUAUAAAAUGACAUAUAAAUGCAUAUAAAACAUCAUAGAUGGAUAAUAUAAUAGCAUGAAUACUUCAUAAAUUAUAGAUACGUCGGAGACGUAUCAGCAUCCCCAAGCUUAAUUCCUGCUCGUCCUCGAGUAGGUAAAUGAUAAAAGAAAUAAUUUAUGAAGUGUGAAUGCUAGCAGGUGCACAAGUUUGAUCAAUGAUAAUUUCAAUCACAUUUUCUAGCAUCAAUAUGUGUCAUUAUAAUAGCUUAUCUCAUAAAACUUUUCAUGAUCAAGUAACAAUCUAUUCACAAUGUCAAGUGUGGUUCAGAAACUUCAUUGAGAACUAACAAACUAUAAUCUCAGUCAUUGAAGAAAUUGCAAUUUAUCAUAACAUUAGAAAGAGUCAAGAAUAGAGCUUUUCAGCAAGUCCACAUACUCAACUAUCGUAUAGUCUUCUACAAUUGUUAACACUCAAGCAAUACUUGUGGUUAUGGAGUUUCAGCCGGACACUGAGAAAGAUAGGGGCUUAUUGUGUUGCCUCCCAACGUAUUCACCUUUAGGUGAUGUCAACAAUAAUAGCCCAUGCUAACUUACAUCCAAUUGGAUAUAUAUAUCAUGAUCUUUCAAACACGAGGAGCUUGCCAAAGGAUAAAAUGAAAAAGGGAAAGGUGAGGAUCACCUUGACUCAAGCAUAAAGUAAAAACAUAAAGUAAAAGAUAGGCCCUUCGCAGAGGGAAGCAGAGGUUGUCAUGCAUGUUUAGGGUUGAUGCACAAAAUCUUAAUGCAAAAGAACGUCACUUUAUAUUGCCCCUUGUAUGUGGACCUUUAUUAUGCAGUCCCUCGCUUUUAUUACUUCCACAACAAGAUCGUACAAAGCUUAUUUUCUCUGCACUAAUAAGUCACACAUAUUUAGAGAGCAAUUUUUAUUGCUUGCACCGAUGACAACUUACUUGAAGGAUCUUACUCAAUCCAUAGGUAGGUAUGGUGGACUCUCAUGGCAAAAAACUGGGUUUAAGGAUAUUUGGAAGCACAAGUAGUAUCUCUACUAAGGAAUUUGGCUAGCAUGAGGGGGAUAGGCAAGCUCAACAUAUUUGGAAGGUCAGUGACAAUAUACUUUAACUGAGAUGUGAGAAAACACAAAUCAUUACGUUGUCUUCCUUGUCCAACGUCAACUCUUUUAGCAUGUCAUACUUAAUGAGUGCUCCCAAUCAUAAAAGAUGUCCAAGAUAAUAUAUUUGUAUGUGAACCUCUCUUUCCUUAUUACUUCCUAUUAAUUGCAAUGAUGACCAAAACUACGUUUGCCAACUCUCAACAAUUUUUAUGCCUCAUACUCUUUAUAUGUGAAGUCAUUACUAUCCAUGUUAUAAGCAAAUGAAACAUAUAUAAAUUCAGAUUCAUGACAUUCAACUCAUUCAAAAAUUUACUCAUAGGAUAUAAGUGAAGCACACGAGUAAAUGAAAAACUACUCCAAAAGAUAUGAGUGAAAGACACUGAAUAGUCAAAUAAUUAACUAGCCAUGGGAGGGUUCCAUUUUUUUAUUCAAUAAUCAGAUCCAAUGAUUUUAUUCAAACAUCAAGUAAAAUUGAAAUAAAAUGACAUUGCAAGGAUAACACAACUCAUGUGAAGAAGCAAAAACUUAGGCUCAACCGAUAAUAACCGAUAGUUGUUGAACAAGAGAGGUGGGAUGCCUGCCGGGGCAUCCCUAAGCUUAGAUGCUUGAGACUUCUUGAAAUAUUAUCUUGGGGUGCCUUGGGCAUCCCCAAGCUUGAGCUUUUAUGUCUCCUUAAUUCCUCUCAUAUCACGGUUUCUCUUUUUAUCAAAAGCUUCAUUCACAACAAACUCAACAAGAACUCGUGAGAUGGGUUAGUAUAAACCAAUACAAAACCUUAUCAUUUUCUACUGUAACAAAUCACUAAAAUUAUUAUUAAACAUUGAACACUAAAUGCCUCUGCAUAUUUAAUACUCCUAUCCUCAAAUAGAAUCAUUAAACAAGCAAACAUACGCAAACAAUGCAAACAUAACAGCAAUCUGCCAAAACAGUACAAUAUGUAAAGAAUGCAAGAGUAUCAAUACUUCCCUAACUCCGUAAAUUAUAAGAGAAAGUUCCCACUGUAAUAAAUUUAUCAGAUCUUAAUAUGCAAAAAGAUUCAACUUUAUACCAUUCUCUUACUUUUCUAGGGAAUUUUUGCAACAACGGUGAACUUUCUGUUUUGAAACAGCAACAUGUAUGCUAGCAAAAUAAGCAUGGUAAAGGCUUUCCUUGACAUUUUUAUUGAAAUUAAAGAUGCAAAACAUUAUUCUAAAUAACAGCAAGAAAAUACUAACAAGAGGAAAUGACGCUCCAAGCAAAACACAUAUCAUGUGGUGAAUAAAAAUAUAGCUCCAAGUAAAGUUACCGAUGAACGAAGACGAAAGAGGGGAUGCCUUCCGGGGCCUCCCCAAGCUUAGGCUCUUGGUUGUCCUUGAAUAUUACCUUGGGGUGCCUUGGGAAUCCCCAAGCUUAGGCUCUUGUCACUCCUUAUUCCAUAGUCCAUUGAAUCUUUACCCAAAACUUGAAAACUUCAACCACACAAAACUCAACCAAACAUCGUGAGACAGGUUAGUAUGAUAAAGAGUAGACCAUGCACUUUGGUACUGUAAAAGACAAGGUUCAUAAUUGUUUUCACAUAAUGCCUACUGUACCAUAUUAUUUCUACAAUUUAUAUUGAGAAAUAUAAGCCAUAGAAACUAGAAAACAAGCAAACUAUGCAGUGAAAACAGAAUCUGUCAUAAACAGAACAGUCUGUAAUGAUCUGAACAAUAACCACACUUCCGCUACUCCAAAAAUUAUGAAAUAAACUGGUGGACGUGAGGAAUUUGUCUAUUAAUAUUAUGCAAAAAUAAUCAACUCAAAACCACUCUUCUGUAAAAAAAUGACAGCUAAUCUCGUGAGCGCAAAGUUUCUGUUGUUUUACAGGAAGAUCACAUUAACUUUCACCCAAGUCUUCCCAAAGGUCUUACUUGGCACUUUAUUGAAACUAAAGCUAUAAAACAUGAUUACUACAGUAGCUUAAUCAUGUAGACACACAAAAACAGUAAGGAUAAAUAUUGGGUUGUCUCCCAACAAGCGCUUUUUUCUUUAAUGCCUUUUAGCUAGGCAUGAUGAUUUCAAUGAUGCUCGCAUAAAAGAUAAGAGUUGAAACAUAAAAAGAGCAUCAUGAAGAAUAUGACUAGCAUAUUUAAAUCUAACCCACUUCCUAUACCUAGGGAUUUUGUGAGCACACAAUUUAUAGGAACAAGAAUCAACUAGCAUAGGAAGGCAAAACAAGUAUAACUUCAAAAAUUUAAGCACACAGAGAGGAAACUUGAUAUUAUUGCAACUCCUACAAGCACAUAUUCCUCCCUCAUAAAAAAUUUCAGUAGCAACAUGGAUAGCAACUUUUUUCUCAUACUCAAUUGGAACCUCUUCCGAAAUAGUGGAAUACUAACUAAAUUUGACACUCUUCCAAAUCCACUUUCAUAAAUAUCAUACAAAGAUUCAACCUCCUCCAAGAUAGUGGGAUCAUUAAUUCCUAAAGUUGACACUCUUCCAAACCCACUUUAAAUUAUAGUAUUAUUCAUACUCCAAAAGAUAUAAGUGAAGCACAUGAAGCAUUCUGUAAAUCAAUGAAGAGCUAGCUCAUACUAGAAUGAUUCUUAAAGAAAAAUACAAACACAAAGGACACAAAUCAUGUGAACAAAACGAAAACCAAGGUAUACCGAUAUUUGUUGAAGAAGAAAGAUGGGAUGCCAAUCGGGGCAUCCCCAAGCUUAGAUGCUUGAGUAUCCUUUGAAAUAUUUACUUGGGGUGCCUUGGACAUCCCCAAGCUUGAACUCUUGUCUCUCUUUAUUCUUCUCACAUCGGUAACUCCUCGUUCUUCAAACACUUCAUUCACAAAAACUUAAACAAAAACUUGUGAGAUCCGUUAGUGUAAUAAAGCAAACUACCACUUUAAGGUACUGUAAUUAACUCAUUCUUUGUUUAUAUUGGUGUUCAACCUACUUUAUUCCAACUUCUCUAUGGUUCAUACCCUACAUACUAGCCAUAGAUGCAUCAAAAUAAGCAAACAACACACGAAAAACAGAAUCUUCAAGAACAGGACAGUCUGUAGUAAUCUGGAAGUUUAGUAAAUAUCCGUAACUCCAAAAAUUAUGAAAUAAAUUUGACAAUUUGAACAAUUUGUACAGAAGUAAUAUGCAAAAAGUUUCAGACCCAUUUCACUUUCCAGUAAAAAAUGUAAAUUCAUGCACUACAGCCAAAGUUUCUGUUUUUGUUCUGCACAUAGUAAGCAAGCAAUCUUAUCACACUAAAACCAAAGCUUGGCACAUUAGUUUUAUAAUACAGGGUAUAUACAAGGGGAUAAUUAUUUACAGAGAAAAUUCCAUGAAAAAUUCUACAUUGUUUCCGUCAGCAUGAACACAAGUGCUCAAGGUCGACCCUCACUUCUUCAAUGCAUAACUUUUCAAUCACUUCUCUUUUGAAAAACUUUUUUAGGCAUGAGAGGCAAGUAAUUCUUUUUUGGUAUUUUCAUUCUUUUGAAAAAAAAUUGUAUGUUUCAUCCACAACUAAACAGAAACAAAAAGGAAAACAAAAUCUACUUAGUGAAGAAAGCAAACAAGCACACACGAGAAUAUCAACCCCACGCUAUUGCUCCCUGGCAACGGCGCCAGAAAAGAGCUUGAUAAUCCCCAAGUGCAGGGAAUCAUCAUAGCAAUUCCCAAAGGUGGAAGUGAUAAGUAUGGAGUGUCGAACCCACAAGGAGCUAAAGGUAAGAUCAAUAUUCUCUCAAGCCCUAUCUGCCACUGAUACGACUCUACGUGCACCGAACGUUUGCUUUCAACUAGAAACAAGAAAUAAAACUGUGUUGUGGGUAUAAAGAGGAUAACUUUGUAUGAUAUCGGAGAGCUAAAAUAUAAAAGUAGGUGCUGUUAUCAUAAAGUUAGAAUAUACUACUAAAUAAUAUAAAUAGAGAGUGUGGAAUAAUGGUGGAUCGGUGUGCGGAACUGUCCUAAGCAAUUGUUAACAAGAUCGAUAGUCGUCAUUGCAAUUUCAUAUGAGGGAGAGGCAUAAGCUAACAUACUUUUCCAUACUUGGAUCAUAUGCACUUAUGAUUGGAACUCGAGCAAGCAUAUGCAAAUACUAAAGAUCAUUAAGGUAAAAACCCAACCAUAGCAUUAAAGCAUCAAGUCCCCUUUUAUCCCAUAUGCAACAACCCCCUUACUCGGGUUUGUGUUUCAGUCACUCAAGCAACCCACUAUAAGUGAAUCAUGCACGUAUUGCAACACCCUACAGCGGGAAUCCCUCGCGCUUGCGCGACACGGAGGGCACCAUAGGAGAACAUCAAAGUGAAACAUACAACUCAGACCAAUCUAUAUCAUCAAUCACCCCAAAAGAUAUCUACUCAAAACAUCAUAGGAUGACAACACAUCAUUGAAUCAUAAUAUGUAGCAUAAAGCACUAUGUUCAAGUAGGGAUUACAGCGGGGUGCCGGAGAGUGGACCGUGUAAAAGAGAUUAUGAUGGUGAUGUUGAUGAAGACGAUCACCGCGGCGAUGAUUCCCCUCUCGAUGGCACUCCGGUGCCACCAAGAGAGAGGAGGAGAGGUUCUCCCCCUUGUGCUUCCUCCUCCAUGGCUUUCCCCCUCUGGUCCUUGGCCUUCAUGGUGAUGAUGGCCCCUCCGAGAUCCUCCUCCAUGGCCUUCGGUGAUGAUGGCCCCCUCCGGCAAGGUGCCGGAGAGGGCCUAGAUUGAUUUCUCGUGGCUACAGAGGCUUGCGGCGGCGGAACUUCCGAUCUAGGUUAAUUCCCGAAGGUUUCUGUAUUUAUAGGAAUUUUUGGCGUUGGUUUCACGUCAAGGGGGCCUCCGGGCUGUCGACGAGAUAGGGGGUCGCGCCCUAGGGGGGGGGGGCGCCCCCCACUCUCUUGGGCUGCCCAGGACUCCUCUGGCCCAACUCUGAUGCUCCGUGGUCUUCUUUUGGUCUAGAAAAAAUCCUCAAAAAAUGGCACAUCAAUUGGACUCUGUUUGGUAUCCAUUUUCUGUAAAACACUAAAACAAGGAGAAAACAGAAACUGGCACUGGGCUCUAGGUUAAUAGGUUAGUCCCAAAAAUCAUAUAAAAUAACAUAUAAAUGCAUAUAAAACAUCAUAGAUGGAUAAUAUAAUAGCAUGAAUACUUCAUAAAUUAUAGAUACAUUGGAGACGUAUCGUUGUUGUAGCCGUCGUGAUCUCCGGAGUUCCCGCGGCCCUUGCCGCGGUAGUUGCCCUUGCCCCGGUUGGUAUUGUUGGUGUUGCCGUUGGAGUCCCGGGCGAGGUAGUUGACAGAGGAGCCGCCGUGCUGAAGAUGAAGACAAGCGGCAUUGUACUCGCGGCGUCGCUCGAAGGCAAUCGCAUGGGAGUAGAACUCACCAAGGGACAUGCCCUCGGGGCGGGUGGUAGCAGCUGUGAUGAGGGGCUCAUAGUCGCUGUCGAGGCCGGUGAUGACGGCGGUGAUGAUGUCCUCAUCACGCAUGGGGCGGCCGACAGUGACAAGCUGAUCAGCGUUGGCUCGGAUCUUGCGGAGUAGUCCGCCAUUGAAAGAUUGCCCUUCCUGAAGACUGCCAUGUCCAGUUUGAUCUGGACGAUACUGGCGCGGCAGUGGAUGGUCUAGAUUGGUAUGAGUUGUAUGUUUGUUUCAACAUGUAAACGAAGGAGAAGUAGAUUGGAUCGACACCCAACAUGGUGGCCUCGGGAUGUAUUUAUAUGAGUGCAACUAGGGCACAGAUUACAGGUUGUUACAUGAGAUAAGUAUAGAUAUUAACAGACUCCUAGAUCACAACAAUAUACAGUUUAACACUCAUGACCGAGGAUUGGGACAUAUAAUUGUGUGCGUUCGGCUGAAAAGAAUGAUAUGUGUUGAUUUGUGCGUAAAUGAUGUCCAACGACUCUUGGUACAUUUUUUGCGGGAAAACUUUUGAUCUUUUCAUCUUCAAUCAUCGUAGUACAAUGAAGACUAAAAAUAAUAAUAAUUACAUUCAGAUCCAUAAAUCACUAGUGAUGACUACAAGCACUGAAGCCUAGUAGAGGCAUUUGGAAAACGUUGUUAGUGUCGCGGACUGGAGAAGCCACUAUUAUGACACCAAUGAUAAGGCUCACUAGUGGCGCCGGCUUCCAACGCCGAUAUAAACAUUUUCCAAAUGCCCAUAUUACUGGCGGCGGCGGCCAACGUCGCUGAUAACUUAGGUAUUGUUGGCGCAGGUCGGCCGGCGCCACAUGUACUUAUUGUAUUCGUGGUGUACGGUAAAAACCAACUGACUAUAAAAUAUGGCCGAAUAAUAAUAAUAAUAAUAAUAAUAAUAAUAAUAAUAAUUGUGUUGCAUAUAAAAUCUCGUGACAUUAAAAUUGUAUUGCUUAUGAAAUCGCAUUACAUUACAUUAUAUAAUAGCAUUCAUAUGAAGUCACAUUGCAUUGCCUAUGAAACCACAACUAGGUCGAGUGCUAUUUGCCAAGUCUAUUUGGGCUUUUGCUGUGUGCCAAGCCUUUGGCACACGGCAGACGUUCAAAUUCGGUAGUGAACUUUUCCUUGUUGUAUAUUUGGACUGAGUCUUUUUAAAGAGAAAACAUCAUACGUGAUUUCUUUUUCACCAAACUCCAUUCGCCUCAUCGAUAUGUGCAUUCUCUUCUUUUUCCAAUCUCGUGUAUAUGCAUUGACUAUAUUCUCUUGCUUCUUGAGCACUCCCAUUUAAUGAUUUCCUCACGUAUACCGUGUCAAGAUGAAUCUUGCAUUGCUAAUUUUCUUUGCGUGAACAAAUAUAGGAUCCUUUAUUCAGGACUUGGAAAGCUGUCAAUUAUGCAAACAGAUCCGCGCGCUGUUGGACAGCUAGGGUUUUAUGUCCGUUCUGUGGACCUCUUUCCAUUUCACCUACCAUAUAUAUGAACCAAGGAUGCAGCUAAUUUUGCCGAUAUGGUAACCAUCCUAGCUUUAUAGUAGUGGGAUUAACAAACUACGGGUUGUAAUCACAAUGUUUACAUGCAUGCCAAAAUACAUCACCGCACUGGAUCGAGAACAAUGACGUGGAAGCACAAGCUAUAGGCACUAGACAGAAGCCACCCACGCAGAUCAUGAACAACUUAUGUCUGUUUCCUUGCACCUUUUUAUCUUUAUCUAGCUAUAUAAACCGCCCAGAGAUCAAGAGUGUAGUUAUCCAUAUACACAACUGAUUAAGAUAGUACUAAAACCGAGGCAGAAAGUCUGUUCGCAGAGGAAACAAUGUCGAUGAAGACCAUGUUCUCGGUGCUCCUGCUAUGUAUGCUUGUGGCAACACCCAUAGCGGCCGAGUACGGCGCAUGGAGCGAUAACAGUGGUCCCUGGAUGUGCUAUCCCGGGUAUGCCUUCAAGGUGCCCGCGCUCCCUGGCUGUCGUCCAGUGCUGAAGCUCCAGUGCAAUGGCAGCCAGGUGCCCGAGGCUGUCCUAAGGGACUGCUGCCAGCAGCUCGCCGACAUCAGCGAGUGGUGCAGGUGCGGUGCCCUCUACAGCAUGUUGGACAGCAUGUAUAAGGAGCAUGGCGUGCAGGAGGGACAGGCGGGGACAGGCGCGUUCCCACGCCGCCGGAGGGAGGUGGUGAAGCUGACGGCGGCGAGCAUCACAGCGGUCUGCAAGCUACCAGGGUUGGGGCCACUGUUGUGCAGAACGUGCGGCCCGCACAGGGCCCAAUUUUUUUUAUAUAAGACUAUAUACCAAACAUUAGGAAUUAGAAGCAAGGGAUAAUUAGACGGAUUGGUAAUGGUCAAACGACAAACAUCUGGACGGACAACUGGAUCCCGAAGGAAACCACGCCAAUACCAAUCACUUCCCUGGUGGCGAAUCCACCGAGGAUGGUUUCAGAACUGCUGUCACCAGCAACAGCAGGGUGGGACGAAGUUUUGGUGCCUUCGGUCCUCUUACCCAUAGAUGCGAAUGCAAUACUAAAGAUACCCACAUGCACUAAUAAUACUGAGGAUUUUUGGGCUUGGUACCCGGAUAAGAAAGGGAAAUUUUCAGUUGCGUCGGCAUAUAAAUUUUUACUCAAGGUUAAACUGCAGCGAGAUGAUUGGUUAGAGGGACGAGGUGGAUCAUCUAACACCCACAUGGAUGAAAAAUCUUGGAGUCCUUUGUGGAAAUUGAAGGUUCCGUCCAAAGUGCGGAUUUUCUUAUGGCGACUUGCACACCACUCACUCCCGACCACUGACGUCUUGAAGAAGCGUAAUAUGUCAGUACAGGAUGUGUGCCCACUGUGUGGAUGUCAAGAUUCAUGGAGACAUGCCCUUGUCUCUUGCACUAUGUCCAGAUGCAUUUGGGCGAUGACGGACGAUGAUCUUGUCUCACGCAUGACAGCUAAUGCAGAACCUAAUGCAAGACUCUGGCUGUUUGAGCUCAGCGACAAACUUGAUCAAGCGAGCUUCACAAGGAUGGCUGUUACUCUGUGGUCAAUCUGGUAUGCUAGAAGCAAGGCAGUGUAUGAGUCUUUGUUUUAGAGCCCUCAGCAAACAAUCCGUUUUGGGGACAAUUUUAUAUCUGAAUUGGGCCAACUUGAAAGUGGGCAGGGACGUAGGGAGCAAAGAGCACCUCUAACUGCUCAGCCUAAGCGGUGGCUCCCACCACCCAAUGGUUCUGUAAAGAUUAAUGUAGAUGAUGCUAUUGUAAGAUCACAACGUGGAGGAGCUGUCGCGGCAAUGUGCAGAGAUCAAACGGGCCAAUAUUUGGGAUCUUCGGCUGUGGUCUUCCUAGGAAUCAAUGACCCUUUAAUUCUGGAGACCUUUGCAUGUCGUGAAGCAUUAUCGCUAGCAGAUGAUUUGGCCGUCCAAAAUAUCCGUGUUGCUUCGGAUUGUCAAGAAGCGGUUAAUGAUAUUACAAAGGGGACAGGAGGUCCAAAUGCGGCUAUCGUACAUGAGAUAUCAAGCCGAUGUAAUACUUUCAAUUCCAGUUUCUUUCUUUUCGAGCGUAGGAAUUUUAAUUUUAAGGCUCAUAAUCUUGCCAAGUUUGCUUGUAACCUAGGCGUAGGAAGGCAUGUGUGGUUGGGCAAUCCCCAUGACCCAAACCUUGUACCCAAGACCAUGGUUUUGAAUGAAUAAAGAUGGCGGGAUUUCUCAAAAAAAAAAAGGGAAUAGGGCUAGUGCCGGAACGCUUGGCCACAUCCCACUGGGCACUGGGCUGCAAUCACAUUCGCGACUCUGCCUGGGCGUGCGUCAGUCGCGAUCCUUCCUCACCCGGUCAACGCUCGCAUGCACUCUGCCCAGUUACAUAAUCUUGUUUCCAGGCCAAAGUGCACCGUAGAAAAAAAAACUGAGGCCAAAACUGAGGCCAGUUGUUAAGUCUGUAGUUCAGGACAGACAGGCCAAUGCAUGCUUCCCCAUGCACCUUUUGCUCGGUAGCUCCUUUUAACAUUUAUUUCAGUGAACUUUAGGUUCACAAUUUUUCAAAUAUCCCCAUCAUAGGCUACUAGAGCACAUAGAAUUAAUCUUGAGAGACGAUCGAUUAGGCUACCGACGGGAGAACUGUCAUGACUCGAGCACCAAGCUCUCAAUUCGUUGUAUGUUCUUGACCUCCUCUACCCAGCGCGAUCGGCUGAUAGAGGUCGGCAAUUCGGCGGAGAGAUGUCGUGAGGUCCAUUCUCAACAGGAGCAGCACUACAGUACUUUGACCCGGAAUAAUCACCACGAAUUUAGCAAUUCUUUCAAUACUUCAAUAGAUCAAUGAUGCACAUCCCUUAAUUUUGUUUUAUUUCUUUCUUAUUUAGUGCUUCAAGAAUCUAGAUGGGUCACCAAUCAAGUCUUUUACAAGCAUAUGUAAUGUUUUCUUAUUUCUGUAAUUUUGUUUUUAUAAUGAGAUGGGGCCUCAUUUUUUAGUUUGUACAAGCAUAUGUAAUGUUUUCUUAUUUCUGUAAUUUUGUUUUUAUAACGAGAUGGGGCCUCAUUUUUUAGUUUGGCACAGGGCCCCAGAUUUUACCGGCCUGGCCCUGCAAGCUACCCAUCGUCGUUGAUGCGUCCGGAGAUGGAGCGUAUGUCUGCAAGGAUGUGGCCACAUACCCAGACGCCUAGUCAAGCGAAUGAGUAGCUACUAUGUUGUGUCAUGCAUCUGCCUCUUAAUUUGUGGGGUGCACACAAGCUGAAUAAAAUGGUGUAUGCGCCUAUGCGAAAUGCAUCGUUAAUGAAUAAAAGCGAAGUUCCUUGUUGAUCGAGAAAUUUUGAUCCAGCAUGCAAAAGAAUAA